GUCAUCUUCCUCGACAAUGGUUAACAUCUUUAGUAAUCGAGGUAUGAACUCUGUUCUGUUGAAAGCAAUCUGGGUAUUUUUUCCAGUGUAGACCAUAUUUUUUUCUAAAUGCACCGUACAUACAAGUUUACCCAUAUUUCUACCCUAUAUAUUUACUCACCUAAUGGCUAUGAAGACCCCUCGAAUGAGAUAAUUUUUUCAUUCUUUUUACCUAGUGUCUCCUUGGUUAUCUUCAUAUACACUGAUUUUUUUCCAGCUUGAUAUACGUUUUAAGUCUGUGUGCAUAUAUCUUAGUCUUCAACGCACUAUUCAUUGUAUUAUCUUUGCCUUUCUCAUGUAAUAUAGCAUCGGAAAGUCCCCUAGUUUUCUUUGUUGAUUUUUUUUUGGUUAGGAACGAGUACUCUGUCUGACCUCACAUUAGUUAGUUAUUGUUUUGUUGUUCCUUACCAUCUAUUUAAUGAUCAGGUGUAUCAUAGUUGAUGUUGUGUCUCCGAGUCUCAACUCUUCUUUGUGUCUCUGUAGUCAUUUGUGUUCUUUGUAGACCCCUGCUCUGAAACUAACAAAUCUUACAGACGCAAAAUAAAUAAAUUGAAUUGGAUUAACUCGUAAGACUUUCAAGAAGCAGCAUCCUUGAUCAGUAAUUAACCCCUGCUAUUAUAAUUUUUUUCUGAAAAUUGUAGGGUGCGGAGAAUGGCAGCGGAUCAAAAGACACAAUUACUGUGAUUGAAGCACCGAGGCAGUCUGAUCUAAUGGUAGAACUGAUAACCAAGCUAAAGCCACAAGUGGUAAUUACAGGGAUUGCUCAGUUUGAAGAUGUCACUAGUUCUGCCUUUGUACACCUUUUAGAUGUUACCAGACAAAUUGGGUCUCGGCUUUUCUUGGACAUAUCUGAUCAGUUUGAGCUGUCAAGCCUUCCAAGUACCAAUGGGGUACUAAAAUACCUUGCAGGAAAUGUGUUGCCAUCGCAUGCUGCAAUCGUCUGCGGCCUUGUGAAAAACAAGGUAUUUGUUCAGUAUCAAUCAAGGCUCUCAUGUUAAUUAGGACAACUUGUACACUUUACCUCACCUUCCCUUGUUCUAAUUUUCUUUUGCAGACCUGUUUAGCUACAUUGACAUGUCUGACAGAUAACGUUCAUCUCCCUCUUUGACCCUUAUGCUCAAGAUGACAACUUUAAUUGUUUUCAGGUUUAUUCAGAUUUAGAAGUUGCUUUUGUCAUCUCAGAAGAAGAGGCCAUCUUCAAGGCAUUGUCCAAAACAGUGGAAGUACUAGAGGGGAAUACUACGCCAAUUAGGCAAUAUUACUAUGGUUGCCUUUUCCAUGAGCUUCUGGCAUUUCAGCUUGCAGAUCGUCAUCCAUCUAUAGAGGUUUUUCCACUGUUUUGUUCCAUCCAUGUCUUAAAUCUUAAAUCAUAUUUCUUUUCUUUGAACAUGAACUCCUUCGUGAAAGCUUGAGAGCGAAGUUUGCUAACUUAAUUUACUUGACUCAUCUCCAGAGGGUUAAUGAGAAAGCCAAAUCAGCUGAGUUGAUAGGGUUUUCAAGUUCAGCAAUCUCCGUUCUUGAUAAUUCCGAGAUGUCAAUUGGCGAGAAUGAGAAGUCGUCCUUGAUUCACAUGGAUGUAGACCAAAGCUUCUUGCCUACUCCAGCAGCUGUCAAGGCCUCAAUCUUUGAAAGCUUUGCAAGACAGAACAUGACAGAGGCUGAAGUUGAUGUUAGUCCUAGCAUCAAACAAUUCGUUAAAAGUAACUACGGACUUCUAACUGACAGCUCUUCAGAGUUUAUUUAUACGGACAGCACACAAGGUAUUCUCAAUAGGUUGAUCCUCUGCUGCAAUCAAGAAGGUGGGACAUUAUGCUUUCCAUCUGGCUCGAACGGUAACCACAUUUCUUCUGCCAAGUUUCUGAAAGCAAGCCUCGUCACCAUCCCCACUGAGGGCUUCAAGCUGACCGGCGAACAGCUCAACAAAGUACUCGAGUCGGUCAAGAAGCCAUGGGUAUACAUUUGUGGUCCUACAACGAAUCCAGCAGGAUUGAUCUACAGUAAUAAAGAGAUGGAUAGUAUAUUAACCACUUGUGCCAAAUUCGGGGCAAGGGUUAUCAUUGAUACUUCAUUCUCAGGAUUGGAAUUUGAUCAAGGUUGGGGUGGAUGGAAUUUGGAUUCCAUUUUAUCAAAGGUCACUUCCCCUUCUUUUUGCGUCUCCCUUUUUGGAGGAAUGUCUCUGAAGAUGUUCAGUGGUGCACUGAGAUUCGGGUUUCUGAUUUUGAACAACCCCGAGUUGGCCGAUUCGUUUCAUGGUUUUCCCGGAUUGAGUAAGCCUCACGUCACAAUGAGGUAUGCUGUAAAGAAAUUACUUGGUCUAAACGAGCAGAAAGUUGGGGAGCUGACAAACGCAGUUGCUGAAAAUACAAAAACUCUGAAAUCCAGAGCUCAGCGCCUGAAAGAGGUAAAUUAUAUAUAUUAUUUAGCAUAUAGCAGCAUUCAUUAUUUUCUUAGGCACUUGGAAUAACUUAUAUCACUCCAUUCAACCUUCUUCCCACACCACUCAAUUCAUCUUUUUUUAACAAUUCUCAAUUCUACUUUCCUAGAAAACAUAAUUCUAGACGGCAACUCUCAGCACAUUAGAGUACUUGUAAGUUGUAACCAUUCCAAACAAAUGGAUAAUAGUCUUUGUUUGAUGGAUUGAUUGCAACAGACACUAGAGAAAUACGGGUGGGAGGUGGUGGAGCCUCAAGGUGGCAUUUCCCUGGUGGCAAAGCCCUCAGUGUAUCUGAACAAGGAAGUGAAUAUCAACGAUGGCAAGAAGGUUAAGCUGAAUGACUCCAACAUCAGGGACGCCAUUUUGCAGCGCACGGGGCUAUGCAUCAACAGUGCCAAGUGGACAGGGGUCCCUGAGUAUUGCCGCUUCACAACAGCGCUUUCAGACAGUGAAUUUGAGAGAGCAUUGGAUUGCAUCAGGACGUUCAAAGAUGCCCUCAACGGCUGACAAUAGAAUCAGUGAAAUCCUGAAUGGCUUUUCCAAAUGUUGGUGAUGUUUCGAGUGGGAGUGGGGUUGUUGGCAACGGGUGGAAAGCAAUUCAUGAUGCAGGAUUUGGGAAAUAAAGGAAGAAAUAAAACUUGAUUUGGUCUUCGUAAUUUGUAUGUGGAUGAUAACUUUUGUAACUUUGCCUGCCACUGUGGAGGGAGGUUGCCUGAUGAUGAUUUUGGUGUUCAUGCGCCACCUCUAGGCAGUGUAUUUUCUUACCACUUGGUAUAUUUGUAUGACCCUGAACUCCGAUUACCAUCCAAAUCAAUUUCUCUUCCUUACUAAAAUAACGCACCUACCUAAAUUAGAUUGAAACAAAAAUAAAAUAGGAAGUGGGGGUUCACAGGGUGGCUUGUUAUAUACUUGGGAUUCUCAAUUCCAAUCCUUAAUUCUUGAAACAUAAAUCAUCAUUCAGACCAAUCUUAAUACAUUUGAGUUCGAAAAUUCAUUACUCGAGUGUAAUUAAGAUCCCACGAUACAAAUUAUUGUCUAUGCAUGAUGAACCCCAAAGUAAGAAAUGGCACGACAUCUAUUGGUUGAGCUACAAAAUCUAUCUCGAGGUGCUGUUCAAUCCGUCAGACAAAAUCCACGUGUUGGUAGUUAAAGAACGUUUCUUCCGUAGCUUCAGGAACAAUCUAAAACCUGCAUUUCUUCCAGCCUUCUCUGUUUCUCUCCAGAGUAUUCUUGUAGCCUCCUCCUAUCUUCUUUGUACCAAAGGCAUAAAGAACACACUAGAUAAUCUACUGAUUCGAAUCCACCGAACUUAUAUAUACCCCAUCUCCCUUCAAACUUCAUAUCAUCAUACACCCAACAAUUGAAAAACCCCAAAGCUCUCAUCUUUAAUCACUACUCGUCACACCCAGAAACACAAAAUUAGAAUGGCGGCCAUCCCUACAAUACUAGCAAUCCUCAUAAGCUUAAUGGCAACACCUUCAGAAUCCCUAAUGCCUUACUCAAGGUCACUGUGGGAUCACAUGAUGAUGCUACCAGAGGACCCAUUUCGAAUCUUGGAACAAUCUCCACUCACCAUUCCCAAAGGAAUGGAGAGUACUACUACUCUGGCUCUGGCGAGUGCUGACUGGAAAGAGACCCCCAAAGCACACUUGAUCACCCUCGAUAUUCCUGGGAUGAAGAAGGAGGACGUGAAGAUCGAGGUGGAAGAGAACAGAGUGCUUCGGAUCAGCGGGGAGAGGAAAUCGGAACAAGGAGUCGAAGGGGAAAUCAAGUGGCACAGAGCUGAGAGGACUUCUGGAAAGUUCUGGAGGCAGUUCAGGCUUCCUGGGAAUGCCGACUUGGAUAAGGUGAAAGCUUCCCUGGAAGACGGAGUGCUUACUGUUACUGUGCCGAAGGUUGCUGAGGAGAAUAAGAGGCGGGCUAAGGUUAUCAGCAUUGCCGCUGAGGGGGAGAAGCAUUCCUCUGCUCAGGAGAUUGAGGCUACCAAGGCUGCUGCUUGAUCAUCGUUUUUACAAUUGUAAUGUUUGUGAUGGUUGAUGGCUUGUUAUGAUGGUUGAGGAGAAUAAGAGGCAGGCUAAUGUUUGUGAUGGUUGAUGGCUUGUUCAAUCAUUUGUAACUAGUCACAUACUUACUCGAUUUAAUAAAUGGUUAUAAUCUGCGAGUUUCCGGUGACUUGUUGUUCGGCAGAAAUUAAUGACUAGGAAGUAACCAGUUAUAUUCUCAAAUAACUAAUAUAAUUUGGCGAGGUCAUCCGAUCAUAUUCAUAGUUUUCCAGCUAGUUUCUUCAUCCUCUCUCCGAUGUCUGUGUUCUUCGCCCAAUUUUUUGCUAUCGUAUCUUUUGCCAGAUUUCAACUCCCUCAUGUUUCGGCAUUCUCUUUCUUGCUACUCUUCUACUCCUCUACUUAGGGUUUUCACUCUUUGUUCCUGUUUUUGCUCAUUAUUGUAAUGUGAGUGGAGAAACGAUGGUUUUGAUACUGGUAGCUUUUCAGUUCUUCGAAUUGUGAAUCUUAGAACUCUCUCGAGUUUUAUGUUUUGGGAGCAAGAAUCGUUGCCUUUAAGUUAAUUCCUGGUCUCGUUUUUGAAUAAGCCAAUUUCUAGCUGCUGCUAUUUGAGGCCGGGAGUAAAAUUAAUGUCCUGUGUUGCAGAUUUUCGUCUUUUUGUUUCACAAAACACGCCUGAUUGUUUGAUGCAUCAAAUUUUCUUCACUGUUGUUGCCUCAUACCAGGUUUGCUACACCAAGCUUUUGGCUUGGCGUCUUAAUCGUUUAUUAAAAAGAUGUGGAACUUGCAAUUGACUGGUAUCUUGGAGAAUGUAUGGUCCUUUCAGUUCGAAGUCUGAUGUUUGAUUUUCUUGGCUGUGUAUCUAUGUUCAUGUUGUUGCCUUUACUUAUACAGAUGACCGGAAAAGACAAGGUCUAUAGAUACAUGGCUACUUCGGAUCUGUUGAAUGAGUUGAAUCAGGAGGGACUCAAAGCUGAUGCUGAAAUGGAGACUAAAUUGUCGAAGAUUGUCCUCCAGCAUCUCGAUGAUGUUGCUGGUGAUGUUUCUGAAUUGGCGGUAAAAUGGUAUAUGGUGGUUCUUUCAAACUGCUAGUCAUUCUCAUUCGUUGCUUCAAUUUUAUGUACCUACAGAUUUCAAUGCCUAUUAGCGAAAUGCAGUAGUCAAAUUAGAAUGUUGUCGGAAUAUAGGCUUUGUUUAGUACCCUGUUUAAUGCAUGAAAAUCUAAGAAUCAAUCAUCUAGCAAAGAACUGUAUGUGUUCCCAUCAUCUUUGCUGGAGUAGAAGUGUCGGUUUUCUCUUCACAUAUUUAUGGCUAUGGUCGGAAUUAAAGUAUGCUUAGAUUACCAGUUUCUUGUAUGAUCUCGUUGUUCACCUUCCUUGAUAACUAGUCCAGUGAGCAAUGGCAGACAUCUGUUCGUACUGUUCACCUUGGAGGAUAUCUUGUGCUUAUUUUGUUUGCUUUGAUUGAACCAGGGGAUGGUCACAGAGAUAAAAUGUGAAUGUCUGGAUAUUUUGUGCGAAGUCCUCCACAAAUUUGGAAAUCUAAUGGCAACAGACCAUGAGUUACUCCUUGGUGUUCUUUUGUCCCAAUUAAACUUUAACCAAGCAAGUGUCAGAAAGAAGUCUGUUUCAUGUGUCGGUACGUUGGAAGUACUUUCUAUUUGAAACUUGAAGGAUUGGGCUUUGGAUACUAUUCAUCUAAAAAAACUUGUUUUGAUGGUACCCUCUAUAUAGUUCCAAUUACAUGAACAAUGCAAAAACCAACACAGAUUGCCUCUGCUCUUCAACCCCUACACAAACAAAGCAAAAUGAAAAUACACAAACUUUUUCAUGAGCUUCCAUUUUCAGAUUGCAAAGUACCAUCUCUCAAAGCCUUUGUAGUUACAUUUCUGAUUGCCAAGGAAAGGCUUACUUACUACAACUUUGUGCUUCUUUUGCAGUAUCUAUUUCUCCCUUAUCAAGUUAAAGGUUCACUGAAGUUCUGCAAGGCUUCUGAUCAGGCGAACACCGACACUGAGUUUCGUUACACAGUCAGAGAAGCACCAUAGUCUGCACCAGUUAGAUUCAGAAUCAUUGUGGCUGCCUUUUUUAUCACACAAGACAACACAAUGUUUUAUGGGUGAUGUUGAUUAUAUCUUGAACAGAUAAUUGACUGGCACUCAAAAGGAUAAACAGUCAAUACCAUGCAUCAGGGGCCUGGUAAAGAGAGGCUGAAGUUCCGAAGCAUGAUGCUAGCACUGCUGUGAAUGCUGACUUGGACAAGGUGAAAGCUUCUCUGGAAGAUGGAGUGCUUACUGUUACUGUGCCCAAGGUUGCUGCGGAUAAUAAGAGGCAGGCUAAGGUUAUUAGCAUUGCUGAGGGGGAGAAGCAUUCCUCUGCUCAGGAGAUUGAGCCUAGCCAAACCAUCCAAAGGUUGGAUGAGUUAAAAAUAAUUUGAUUGUGUGAACUGCAAAAAUGGGUAAAUUGUCGAUUUAAAGAUUUAAACUGUAAAUUUACUUGGUUGUAAGCUUUACUUAUUUUGUAGUGAAAUUAAGAUCUUUUUCUACAUAUUAUUUGUGAAUCUACGGGGUGGUAAUCAAUGAUUAAAGGUAAAAAUUGAUCGGAAGUUAAAUUUUAAUAAUAAGAUCUUACGAUUGAAAGUUGUUUGCUACAUCAAAUUUUCUCCUUCCUUUACUUCCCACCCUCACUAAUUUACUUACAAAUUAGGGGUGAAAGUUUUAUCAAGACAGUUAAAAAUUAGUCAUAUUUCAUCGAUUAAUUAAAAAUUUAAAAAAAAUUAAGUUAAUUGAUUAAUUGAUCAAUAUGAUAAUGAUCGAUUAAUUAACAGAUCAUAAAUAACAGUUACGUUCAAUGCCGAAUAAAUAAAUAAAUAUAUGAAAAAAAUCGGUUGAUUAUUCGUUGCAAAUUUGUGGUAAAAGAAAUCUUGAAAUCCUUGACCGAUUAAUCGACUGGAUUAUUUUAAUGAAUUUUAACCAUAACCGGCCGAAACCUGUUACAAACUCGACAAAAUAGGUUUUGCUGUUGGAGGUAGUCGUAGUCGAGAACGAAUUACUGCGAGGACCAGUGAUUCGCUUGCUCACGCUACGAUAAAAAGAGUGAUAGGAAGAAAGAACCUCUGAACCCUGCAAACCACUUCACGCAGACGCGAAAUCGCUCGACGGUCUUCCGAUCAUAUUCGAAGCUUUUCAGUUAGGUUUCUUCUUCUUCUCUCCGAUGUCUGUGUUCUUCGCCCAACUUUUUGCUAUCGUAUCUUUUGCUAGAUUUCCACUCCCUUCUUUUGUUUCGGCAUUCUCUUUCUUGCUAUUCUUCUACUCCUCUACUUAGGGUUUUCACUCUUUGUUCCCGUUUUUGCUCAUUAUUGUAAUGUGAGUGGAGAAACGAUGGUUUUGAUACUGGUAGCUUUUCAAGUCCUUCGAAUUGUGAAUCUUAGAACUCUCUUGGGUUUUAUGUUUUGGGAACAAGAAUCGUUGCUUUAAGAUAUUCACUAGUCUGGUUUUUGAAUUAUCCAAUUUGUAGCUGCUGCUAUUUGAGGCCGGGAGCUAAUGUCCCAUGCUGCAGAUUUUUGUCUCUUUGUUUCAAAAUGCGCCUGAUUGUUUGAUGCAUCAAGUUUUCCUCACUGUUGUUGCCUCAUACCAGGUUUGAUACACCAAGCUUUUGGCUUAGCGUCUUAACCACUUAUUAAAAAGAUGGCGAACUUGCAAUUGACUGGUAUCCUGGAGAAGGUAUGGCCCCCUUCAGUUGGAAGUCCGAUGUUUGAUUUUCUUGGCUGUGUAUCUUUAUCCAUGUAGUUGCCUUUACUUAUACAGAUGACCGGAAAAGACAAGGACUAUAGAUACAUGGCUACUUCGGAUCUGUUGAAUGAGUUGAAUAAGGAAGGAUUCAAAGCUGAUGCUGAAAUGGAGACGAAAUUGUCGAAUAUUGUCCUCCAGCAACUCGAUGAUGUUGCUGGUGAUGUUUCUGGAUUGGCGGUAAAAUGGUAUAUUGUGGUUCUUUCAAACUGCUAGUCAUUCUCAUUCGUUGCUUAAAUUUUAUAUACUAUAAAGUUCAAUGCCUAUCAACGAAAUGCAGCUGUCAAAUUGGAAUGUUGUCGGAAUAUGGGCUUUGUUAAGUACCCUGUUUAAUGCAUGAAAAUCUAAUAAUCAAUCAUCUAGCAAAGAACUGUAUUUGUUCCCAUGAUCUUUGCUGGAGUAGAAGUGUCGAUUUUCUCUUCACAUAUUUAUGGCUAUGGUCGGAAUUAAGGUAUGUGUAGAUUACCAGUUUCUUUUAUGAUCUCUUUGUUCACCUUCCUUGAUAACUUCGUGUUGCAGUCUUGCCCCACUGGUGAAGAAAGUUAAUGAUGCACAGGUAGUUGAGAUGACUGGCAAACUAUGUGAUAAGUUGCUAAAUGGUAAAGAUCAACAUCGUGACAUUGCAAGCAUAGCUCUGAAGACUAUUAUAGCUGAAGUCACUACUCAAUCUCUUGCUCAAUCAGUUCUUGUUGCUUUGACUCUACAAUUGACAAGAGGAAUAACUAGUCCAGUGAGUAAUGGCAGACAUCUGUUCGUACUGUUCACCUUUGAGGAUAUCUUGUGCUUAUUUUGUUUGCUUUGAUUGAACCAGGGGAUGGUCACAGAUAUAAAAUGUGAAUGUCUGGAUAUUUUGUGCGAAGUCCUCCACAAAUUUGGAAAUCUAAUGGCAACAGACCAUGAGUUACUCCUUGGUGCUCUUUUGUCCCAAUUAAACUUUAACCAAGCAAGUGUCAGAAAGAAGUCUGUUUCAUGUGUCGGUAAGUUGGAAGUACUUUCUAUUUGAAACUUGAAGGAUUGGGCUUUGGAUACUAUUCAUCUAAAAAACUCGAUAUGCUCUACUUGCAUUUUUUCCGUCCAUUCAGUUUUAGCUUGUACAAUCAUUUACCAAACAACGAAGGAUGCUUUCCCAUUUUUUUUAUCAUUGAUGGCAUUGGAAAUUUCCUUGAGUUUUUAUUAAGAAUGUUGCUGGAUUAUGCACCGGAUAUAAGAUCUAAUUCACAUCUGGAAGGUUGAUCACACUCUUUUAUUUUCAGCUUCUCUGGCUGCAAGUUUGUCCGAUGACCUGUUGGCCAAGGCAACCGUUGAAGUUGUUCAGAAAUUGAGAAGCAAGGGGGUGAAGCCUGAAUUGACCAGAACAAAUAUUCAAAUGAUUGGUGCUCUUAGGUAAGAAAUGGUGUGAAUGUCAUUAAUCUACUUGUUCUGCUAUUGAGUGUUUAUAAUGUAAAGCUGUUUGUUGAGUCCCGAUACAUUUGAGAUUAUUAAAUGAUGAGCAGUGUGCUUUGGAUGCUCUUAAGACUUGUAACUUCUGUAAUGCAUGCAUGUUCGUGGACUUGUGUAUAAUUCUGCCCAAAGGCCAAAAAAGAUUGAUAUUGCUACUUACUGCUUCAUUCUAUUGUUCCUUAGCCGUGCUGUGGGAUACCGCUUUGGACCCCAUCUUGAAGAUACCGUUCCUGUGCUUAUUAAUUACUGCACUAGUGCAUCUGAGAAUGACGAGGAGCUCCGUGAAUAUAGCUUACAGGUAGAAUAUUUGUUCUGAACGAACUCGGUUUUCUAGUUAUCACGAUUUGUUCACUUCUAUGUUCUCUGUGUUUACUUCUGGUACCAGGCACUAGAAAGUUUUCUGCUUAGAUGCCCGCAAGACAUUUCUUCGUAUUGCGAUCUUAUUCUUCGUCUUGCUUUGGAGUACCUAAGCUAUGAUCCCAACUAUACUGAUAACAUGGAGGAGGAUACCGAUGACGAGACCCAUGAAGAAGAAGAAGAUGAGUAUGUUAUCUAAGCAUAAUGCUAUCUUGUGUGUUUUAGAUGUAAAAUGAUCUUUUUUUUAGUCCAACCCUUUCUUACUUUGCAGUGAAAGUGCAAAUGAAUAUACUGAUGAUGAGGAUGUUAGCUGGAAAGUUCGAAGAGCAGCUGCUAAAUGUUUGGCUGCAUUAAUUGUUUCUCGUCCUGAGCUACUGGCGAACCUAUAUGAGGAGGUAUGAUUGAAUCAUAUGAAUCAUUAUCAUCUUAAAAAAACAGAAUUGCUUGCUUUUAUCUUCUAUGGUUUCAUUAUUGUCAGUCGCUUAACUUUACCUGAAAUAUAAAAUAUGUACUUAAAUUUUAUUGGAAGUGUAUUUCUCUGUGCCCUCCAUCUCAAACUUACUGUGUAUCUCCUUUCCUAACCUUGUCUGUGACUAUUGAUUUAUGCAGGCAUGCCCAAAAAUAAUUGAUAGAUUCAAAGAGAGGGAAGAGAAUGUGAAGGUAAAUCAUGAUCAGUUAAUGAUUCAACAAUUUUUUUUCACCAGUGAUUGUUAAUCAAUUGUGUUGAUCAAAAUGAAAGAUAGGUGGAUGUCUUUAAUAUAUUAUAAUUGCAGAUGGAUGUCUUUAAUACAUUCAUAGAGCUUCUACGUCAGACCGGAAACGUGACAAAAGGGCAGACUGACAUGGACGAAUCAAGGCAAGUUCUUUGGUUGGAGUUUACUCCGAAUGGCAUAAAUUGUUCUCUUGUGCCGUAAAUGCUUUACUUGUCCUUGUUUAGUUUAUCGUUGAAUGUAGUUUUGCACUGAGCUUUUAACACUUGUUGAGUCAACUAUUGUGGAUCAAACCGUCUAUGUGCUUAGCAGUUGUAUUUUUGUUGCGUAUGAACAUAUUAUCAUAAGUUGCAUGGAUACAAUUUUAAUUACUGUUAUGUUUCUGCAGUGCGCGAUGGCUAUUGAAGCAAGAAGUCCCAAAGAUUGUGAAGUCUAUAAUUAGACAGUUGCGUGAGAAAUCUAUCAAGACAAAGGUAAUGGUUUUCAACCUCUGUUAUAAGAUGAAUAAAUAUAAGCUCACUAUAACUUAGAUACUUUUAUGCUGCAGGUGGGUGCCUUUUCAGUUUUGAAAGAAUUGGUGAUUGUUUUGCCAGACUGUCUAGAAGAGCAAAUCGGAUCACUCAUUCCAGGAAUUGAAAAAGCACUAAAUGUAAGCAGAUAAUGUUAUAUUCACUAUUCCCUACCAUUGCAUGUUGGUUUACCUCUCCCUUUCCAAUUCUUGAAUGAUUUUGUACAGGACAAAUCUUCCACCUCAAAUUUGAAGAUUGAAGCCCUUGUGUUUACAAGAUUAGUGUUGGCUUCUCACUCACCACCUGUGUUCCAUCCUUUUAUCAAGGUAAUUAGUGUCGGCUUCUAUGGACACUAUGUUGGGAAAUUGUCAUUUGGAAGUGACAAGAACUCUGUUUACAUUGGAUCGAUCGAUGAUAUUUAAAAUUUUGUUGUUCUCAUCGUUCAGCGAGUGGGGAACUUGGCUAUAUGAGUAUAAAAUCAGUACAGUUGUUGAGUGUACUGAUUUGUUUGUUUGGCUGUUUGUCCAGGCUCUUUCUAGUCCUAUUUUAUCUGCUGUUGGUGAACGGUAUUACAAGGUUACAGCUGAGGCGUUAAGAGUAUGUGGGGAACUUGUUCGUGUUCUGAGGCCUAAUAUUCAGGUUUGCUUGUUUUGGACUUUUGUGAUUAGUGCCAGUAAUUCUGUUUCUUAUUGAGUAACUGGAGUUUGGAUACAGGACCACACAUUUGACUUCCAACCUUAUGUUUAUCCAAUAUAUAAAGCAAUUAUGUCACGUUUGACAAACCAAGAUCAAGACCAGGUUUAUAUAAUAAUUAUUGAGAUUUUUCAUGCUGGUGAUGUCUUAUUGCAACAAAAUUCAUUCCUUUUAUCCGUCUUCUUUUGUAGGAGGUCAAAGAGUGCGCUAUUUCUUGCAUGGGACUUGUCAUCUCCAGAUUUGGUGAUUGCCUUAGAGCUGAGUUAUCUGCUUGCUUACCUGUUCUUGUGGACAGGAUGGGUAAUGAUUUGAAUUUUUUUAAAUGCGUGGUAUUAAGUGGCCCAUUUGAUGUAUGUUUCACGUUCAUGUCAUGGCUUGUGACUACUAUAGUGAUUGUGUUCAGGCAUUUGCAGUCAUUGCUACUUCUCCUCUACGGAUUGAUCUAGCAUGUGUCUUGGAGCAUGUGAUUGGAGAGUUGACUGCGUUUCUGCGGAAGGUGUGCUACCUUUUUAUCUGCUCGUGUAUAGAUUGACUGUUGAUUGAGAGACUGCCAGACGGAUAACCAUCGUCAUUUUUAAUUAUAUUUAGGCCAACAGGGCGCUGAGACAGGCAACUCUAGCAACUCUAAAUUCUCUGGUGGUUGCUUAUGGUGAUAUGAUUGGUGCAUCUGCUUAUGAAGUUAUAAUUGUGGAGCUUUCAACACUGAUAAGGUUCUUUUCUCACUAUAGCUCUUCUUUUACAUUCCUUAUCUUCGUUGUGUUUUAGCUUAUUAAUCCUGGGAUUCUAAAUUUCCGAUUCCUUGGUAUUCAGUGAUUUAGACUUGCACAUGACGGCGCUUGCUCUUGAACUAUGCUGCACAUUAAUGGCUGACAGCAGGUCAAGUCAAAGUAUAGACUUGGCUGUGAGAAAUAAAGUUCUUCCUCAAGCAUUGGUGUUGAUCAAAAGUUCGUUGCUACAGGGUCAAGCCCUCAUGGUAUUUACUGUAUUGAUCCCAUGAAGCUAUCAUGUUUUAAAUGGAUUACGUAGAAUCUGUAUCCAUGCUUUUAAAAGUGCGCCAGUGUCAUGAGUGCUAGGCUCGUCUGUCAUGAUGCGAUGAUGCAUGAUAAAAGAUGCACCAGUUGAAUAUAGGGAUUAGGGGCAUCUAUACAAGACAGUCCUAUUUUCUGUGUGAUAUAUCUUCCCUUAGAAGACUUGCAUAGGUUGAAUAUCAGAAUCCCUUAAACAUGGAAAAAUAAAAGGUCCACACGUUUGACUAGAACUUUACUGUUGGUACUCGGUCAAUCAGUUUUGCUUUCUUACGUAUGUUAUUUUGUAAUAUUAGUUGCUGAUUCUGAAUGUUAUAUUUCAUUAUCCAGGCUCUGCAGAACUUUUUUGCUGCUUUGGUUUAUUCGGCGAAUACAAGCUUCGAUGUUUUAUUGGACUCGCUUCUCUCUUGCGCCAAACCAACUCCUCAGUCCGGCGGUAUUGCAAAACAGGCAUUGCAUUCAAUAGGCCAGUGUGUGGCAGUUCUCUGCCUCGCUGCAGGUGAUCAGAAAUGUUCAUCAACAGUUCGGAUGCUUACAGAGAUUCUCAAAGAUGAUAGCAGCACUAAUUCUGUGAGUUCUGUUAUCCAGCUUUACUGUGACUCCAAUAAUCUGUAGGUUUCUAUGUCAUCUCAUUACUGUGCAAUUGCUUUUAGGCUAAGAAGCACCUCGCCUUGUUGUGCUUGGGGGAAAUUGGGAGAAGGAAAGAUUUAAGUGCUCAUGCACAUAUCGAAACUAUCAUUAUCGAAUCUUUCCAGUCUCCUUUUGAGGAGAUUAAGGCUGCUGCUUCCUAUGCUCUGGGAAAUAUUGCUGUUGGCAAUUUGUCGAAAUAUUUGCCUUUUAUAUUGGACCAGAUUGAUAAUCAGCAGAAGAAACAAUAUCUUUUGCUUCAUUCUUUGAAAGAGGUAAGUCAUCAGGCUGUUGGGGCAUCUUUUUGCUGGACUUUUAAUAGUUGUGACAAACGUCUGCUGGUCUCUGUAACAUCUACCCUUUGCACCUUGUAGGUUAUAGUGAGGCAAUCAGUCGAUAGGGCUGAGUUCCAGGAUUCUAGCGUGGAAAAGAUACUUAAGCUACUAUUUAAUCAUUGUGAAAGCGAGGAAGAGGGUGUCCGAAAUGUUGUAGCUGAAUGCUUAGGCAAAAUUGCUCUAAUUGAACCAGUAAAACUCAUCCCUGCGCUCAAGGUAAAAUUUCUUACUGGCGUGUUGCCCAAACUAUUUAUUUGGAACAUCUGCUCCGGAAUAUUCACUUUCUGCUGUGUUGCUGUAGGUAAGAACAACUAGUCCGGCUGCUUUUACAAGAGCAACCGUGGUGAUUGCUGUCAAAUAUUCUAUAGUUGAGAGGCCAGAGAAGAUAGAUGAGAUUAUCUUCUCUGAGAUAUCGUCAUUUCUAAUGCUCAUCAGAGAUGUUGACCGGGUAUGUGGUAGUUUAUUCUGUAUGUGGUAGUUUCUUGCAAGUGGUUUGGAUUUCGAGUCCUAACUUUUACAUUUUGCAAUAUCAUGCAGCAUGUUAGGCGUGCAGCUGUGUUGGCCUUGAGUACAUUUGCUCAUAAUAAGCCCAACCUGAUUAAAGGAAUUUUACCGGAACUAUUGCCACUUCUCUAUGAUCAGACAGUAGUCAAGGUGGUUAUUAGAACUUCGAUCCUUUGGCUUGCUAAUGAUAGUUUUUGGUCACUUUAAGUUCUGAGUUGUGAGCUGUUGUUUUCUGCAGAAAGAAUUGAUACGGACUGUUGAUCUCGGGCCUUUCAAGCACAUUGUGGACGAUGGAUUAGAGUUGAGGAAAGCUGCUUUUGAGUGUGUGGAUACACUGUUAGACAGCUGUCUUGAUCAAGUGAAUCCAUCAUCCUUCAUAAUCCCUCACCUGAAAUCUGGGCUGGAAGGUACUGGGACAAACUUCCAUGAAUUUAUCUUUCUGAUUUGAUUAUCUUUGCAUCCUAAAUUGGGUCGUGCAUUGUUUCAAACUCGAAUCAUGGUUCUUUUAUCAAGGGACUAUUGCACUAUAAAGUUAAUCAUUACAGUGCAAACCUGAAGAGAAUAUUGCAUGUUACUUGCUCUGACUGGCUGAUUUUUGUGUGUGUGGAUGUUUCAGAUCAUUAUGAUGUAAAAAUGCCUUGCCACCUAAUUCUAUCAAAACUAGCGGAUAAAUGUCCAUCUGCUGUGCUGGCAGGUAAGAGAGCUAGCUAGCUAUUGAAUACCGAUUCAAUUGAAAUUGUAGAUAGAUGGUUCAAAUAAUCUGAUCGGAUUUGUUUUUUUUUUACACCACCUACCAUCAUCAGUACUGGAUUCACUGGUUGACCCUCUUCAAAAAACCAUCAAUUUCAAGCCAAAGCAAGAUGCAGUGAAGCAAGAAGUAGACCGUAAUGAAGACAUGAUCCGUAGUGCUUUACGAGCAAUAGCUGCUCUGAAUCGGAUAAGGUUAGAGUUCUAAACUGGUAAAUUCAUGAUGGUUAGACCCUUUAGUGAGAUCAGAGAUGUGCUAAACUAAGUUUGUCUGUUUGUGUGGUGGGUGCAGUGGAGGUGAGUGCAGCCAUAGAUUCAAGAAUCUGAUGAGCGAGAUCUCAAAAUCAGCUACGCUGUGGGAUAAGUACUACUCCAUCCGGAAUGAGUGAGACGCAAGUAAUGUCAGUUGUAUGAAUUAUGAAAGGAAAAAGGCUCUGCACACCAUCAUCAUCCCGUCCCGUUCACAAGUAUAACGAAGGAAGACGCCAUUUUGUAACAGUGGGUUGGUUGGGGAGGUUAGAAAUUUUAGAAAAUGAGAAUGCUUGUGGUUUUUGUCAUGUCCGAAGAGGGGUUGAAUGGCUACUGGGUUUGGUUUGGUUUGGUUAUAGCAGCAGUUUCUUUUUUCUUUUUUCGGAUGAAUAUAGCAGCAUUCUUUCGCUGUGGACAAAGAUGAGUAAAUAUAAUUAUUGAAUUUUCUAUCUGACCCGUUUUGCCUUGGGCAAUUGCCUUGAUUUGCCGACCACAAUUUUUUCACCUUCUGGCAACUGGAGUAAGAGAGGAGCCUCUACACAAAACAAAGCAAAACCGGUUGCCUCUACACAAACAAAGCAAAAUACGCAUAAGCUCGUUCUUGAGCUCUCAUUUUCAGAUUGCUAGGCGCCAUCUUUUGUACUCGUGUUUCUUUUCUGAUUGCCAAGCAAAGGCUUACUUAAUACAACUUUGUGCUUCGUUUACAAUAAUCCAUUUCCCCCAUAGCCCGUUCCUGAAUCCUCAACUACUACUUUCACCGGCAUUUGCUUGUACACGACAGACCAAAACUAUAUCGAAGAAGGGAAAGAAUAGCCUGCAACUAACUUAUCUAGUUAAAAUUUCACUGCUUUUAAGUUCGUCGCACGGUCAGAGAAGCACCAUUGUCUGCACCUGUUAGAUUCAGAAUCAUUGUGGCUGCCUUCACUGCCCUGUUUCAUCACACAAAACAACACAAUGUGUUUAUGGGUGAUCUUGAUUUUAUCUUGAGCAGAUAAUUGAUUGGUACUGGGAAGGAGUAAACAGACAGAAUACCAUGCAUCAGGGGCCUGGUAAAGAGACGCUGAAGUUCCGAAGCAUGAUGCCAGCAUCUCUGUAUGGAUCACCCCUGGAUUAAGCGCAACAAUUGCCAUUCCAUCGGGCAACUCUUUUGCAACUGAUCUCGACAGCCCUUCUAUUGCCCAUUUCGACGCGCAAUAAGGUGCAACCUGCGACAAACGUAUGUUACAAAUAAAAAUCGAAGAAGAGUAGAACGACCAAUGGUGCAAGAUACUAUAGCUGUCUAUCAAAGAGCCUUUUCUCCACCAGAAACAAAGACAAUCAACCCUCUAUGAAAUAGCUUACACUCUCAUCCAGAGCAGAGUAUUCAAAGCUGACUCCUUCAAUCAUCUCAACUUCCAACUUAUUUAAGCCCUUUGGACACUGCAUUCUACCAAUCGAAUGGUAAGCAACAACUUUACAUCUAGCAAAAACUAUAUAGCUUAACAUACUAUAUCUUAUAUCAAAGUUUUCACUAGCAAAUCCCCCCAGAAGUAGAAAUCACUUGCACAAGCAUCUCGACCAUUCACUACCAACUAAAUCCGGAGACAAUCUCAACUUCCAUUGCAUGUAAAUGUAUCUGUCCAUUGGAAAAAGAAACACAAAGCAAUGAAGGGAAAUGAGUAGUACCAGUGCAGCACCAGAUCUUCCCCAUCCAGAAGAGAUGUUAACUAUGAUGCCUUGCUUGUUGGGAAGCAUUAAAGGGAUGAAAUGGCGCAACACAUUAGCUACACCUUUCAAAUUCGUAUCAAUAACAGCAUCAAAUUCCUCCUAAGGCACUUCCCAUAUCUUGUUAUUCUUGUUAAUCGUUCCAGCAUUGUUCACUGCAAUAACCGAUUCUCCAAAUCAACCCUACCCCCAAUUUCCAAAUCUAUCUAUCCUCACAACACCUAUAGAACGAAAUGAAAUAGCGGAAAUAUAUAAGUGAGAUUCAUCAUUCAUGGAAAAAAACCUAUAAUAUCAGGAACGCCCUUCUUCUCCAUUACCAAUCGAGCCAGCUCUCCGACACUGCUGUCUGACCUCUGAAUGCAUAGAAUGAACAUCUAUAAGCUAAAAAAAUGGAAACGGAAAUUUCAAGCAGCGGAGAAGAAAAGACAGGUGAAAUUACAAUGUCAGCGUCGAGAAGGAGGUGGCGGUCGGAGGAUUCCAGCUCGGAUUGAAGAGAAUUGAGCUUCUCUUGAGUUCGAGAGCAACCGAUUACCGUAUGACCUCUCUUGGCUAAUUCUUGUGCUAAAGCUCUUCCCAAUCCUCUGCUCACUCCCGUUAUCAGCACUUUCUUCCCUCCGCUGCCUCUGGCUUUGUUCACCAGGCCCAAAGACGAAGCAGCAACCGCAGCCGUCAUCUCCGAAACUACGAUCUCGGCAAUUAUCUGCUCAGUUCAGUUCUUCGUCGCUAAUAAUUCGUGGGAAAUCGUUGAUACACGUGGCAAGUUUAAGAGCAGAACUCGUGUUUUAAGUGGCGUUUUGCGUCUGUGAGAGUGGCGUUUUGGAAGCCAACAGUUGUGGUGGCGGAUCUUCAUUAUCCUCAGCAGCAACGGACACUCGCUUCUGCUCUUAGCGGCUCCCUCAUUUUCUCUAAUUUUUUCCAACUUUUCCAAAGUAACACCAUUGAAGAUUAGACAAGCUUCUCAAGUGGUGCUAGACUUCUUGGUUUCAUUAUUUUUGGUAAUUAUUCCUAACUUCAAGCACCAUACAUGUUGAAUUGAAUGCUCUCAAAGGUCUAGGGUUCCUGCUCCCUUAUAUUGUUCUCUGUCUGUAAUUUCUCUUUCCCCCACUGGGAGCUGCAAGUUGGAAGUGUGGAUCAUGAUUCAUGAACGUUGAGGUUAGAAAGAAGGCUAAAGCUCAGAUCUUUUGACAUGCUAACGUAUUAGCUGAUAUAUAAUUGUUAGGAAUUUGGAUAUGGGGCUCUAAUUUCUAUUUUGCUGAUUCGUGACGUACUCAGACAUUGCUGAAUCGUUAGUAGGAUAUGUCAACCUCCAGACCUGGUAUUACACUGAUGUGCUACUGGAAUGGGAGAAUAUCAAAUGGAUCAAACGGCAUCUUCUACGAAGGAGCUACAACGAAGCCCAUCAGGGUCAGCUGUGAGAUAACCUACAAUGAAUUACUGGAUACGAUAUACAGAAUUACAGAAUUUGACAAGCUACGGUUUGCGAUAAAGAUCAUCUGUAGGUAUCCAGCUUGCAGAGAAUUCAUUCCUGUUCCCAUAGAGGAUGAUGAUUCUGCAGAUAUAGUCUUUGAUGUUGCUCGUCAACCUGAAACAAAUUGCUUGGAGUUGUAUGUUGAGAAAGUUCCAAUCCCUAUUGACAAUACAACACCAAAUGCCGCGACACUGCUUCGAUUCGAUGAUCACGUCAAUGAUGGUGCAAUAGCAAUGGAGGUUGAUAAUCAAGCUGUUGCUGGAUCAUUAGACUGCACUGAUAUCACAGUACCAGUACCACGUCGCAUUUCUAAGCGUCCAACUGCUAGAACAAGGGACAUCAACAAACAAGUACUUGAGAUUGAGUCCUUCGCUUGUGGUUCAAUGUAAAUAUAGCUUCUCCAAGUUGUUAUGCUUUCUUUUUCCUGUAGAAACCAGCAGAAGCAGCCAAAAGGGAAGGUGGUAGCACUGAUGGCUUUUUGGAUCCAGGGCCAAUCGACAAAUCGGUUCUUGUGCUGCAGGACCAGCAUAGAUCUGAAGCAAUAUGGAAUGGACAAGUCAGUGCUUCUUCUUUAUUACCAGUUUCUUACGCUUAAAUCGACUAGAUGAAAUCAUGAUGACCAUAUUCUUAGCAUCAUGCUUGCUUGAAAAAAAUUCAGGAUCCUGGUGUUAUAAAAUGCAGACAAAUGUCAGGCGCAAUGAUGAGAGAUUGGCAAUUCGAUCCACGUCUUCGCCCAUAUCUCAUCCAAUCCGGAUUCUACGAAUUCCAUAAACUCGGGUUUAUUCCGCUCGAUUGGCCAUUGCUGACUGCGUUAGUAGAGAGGUGGAGACAGGAGACACACACAUUCCAUUUUCCUGUCGGGGAGAGCACCAUAACCUUGCAGGAUGUGGCUAUGCUCCUAGGCCUUAGAGUACACGGUCCUGCCGUGACAGGUAAAAGCGAUCUUCCAUGGGGCGACCUCUGCGAGGAAUUGCUGGGAGUUAGACCGGAUCCUGGUGUUCUUCAUGGUUCCACUGUCAAGCUUAGUUGGUUAAGAGCUCAUUUAAGGGAUCCUCCACUGGAUGCUGAUGAAGAAACGUUACAGCAUUAUGCUAGGGCUUACCUUUUAGGGUUGAUUAGCGGUGUUCUUUUCACAGACAAGUCAGGAUCAGCCAUCCAGCUUAAAUUCCUACCGCUGCUUAGGGAUUUUUCAAAUGCUGGACGACUUAGCUGGGGCAGUGCUGCGUUGGCAUUUCUUUAUAGGGAACUCUGCCGUGCUAGUAAGACUGGUGCUAUUGAGAUGUCAGGUCCUCUAAUUCUGUUGCAGGUAUGUGACACCAUUAGUUGUCGUUAGUAUAUUAUCUAUAGGGUUUAAAGAAGAAUUCGUAGGAGGAGAAUUCAACAGCUAGUGAAUUGAAAUAGCUAGAGAUUUUGAGUGUAUAUGCUAUUAAAAUAGAUUGUUUAAUUUGAGAGAUUUCAAUUCCCCCAAAUCUCUUUCAUUUUUACCAAUUCAAACAUUUUAUUUCAAACCAAUUCUCUGUGUUAGAGAUUUGAGACUCAAAUCACCAAAGAUCCUCCACUCAAUUCUCCUACAUAAACAAUGUCAUAGAGUAGCAUAGGUUCAUAAUCUUACUAACAUCUCUCCACAGUUAUGGGCAUGGGAGCAUUGGCAUUUUGGCCGUCCUGAGAAAUUCAGUUCACCGAUACAGAAUUCGUCUCCACCAGAAUGCAAGGUAGCAGGGGAGGGGCUGUCAGUAGCAAUGGCUGCUAGAGUCGACGGGGAAUCAUUAUGUACAGGUCCAUUAGGAUGUAGGUAAGUGUUGGCUGAAAUGAAAUCUAAAGUAUCUAACCGUUCUUAUGCGUUUCCCUGAGUAUUCUAACUUUUGCCUCAGGUGGAGGUCUCCCGUGAUUCGUAGAGAUAAUCCGAUCCGAACAUUAUUUCUAUAUCGAGAUCAAAUUGAUCAACUAACAGAAGAUCAGGUUUGUCAUUCUUGAAUGUUGUAUUGCUAUGGAUGCUUACGUAUUGAUGAUAGUCAAAUUAUAAUAGAUAUUUACUCCUAUGUAGAUGAUAUGGCAACCAUACACAUCUGAAUCACUAGCAACAGUUUCAGAUAUAUGCGUGAGAGACCAGGAUGUCUGGCGAACGGUUGCACCACUAAUUUGCUUCGACAUUAUAGAGUGGCAUCAUCCGGAACGAGUCUUGCGCCAAUUUGGUCUCCAGCAAGGGAUCCCCGAGCACUGUGAUACCGACGCAAGACUCCACUCGAUCGAUAGACGAGGGAAACAUACACUCGACUGGGAACAUUAUCAUCGGCAGUAUCUCGAGCUCUGGGAAGCUUGCGAGUCAAGUGUUGUCAUUGGGGAGCCGGCAGAGUCACCUAUGCAAUAUCAUGAUCCAUACAUGGAGUGGUACCGCAAGAUUACCCGUCGGCUCAUAACCCCGUUGACUCAAAGGUCACACAAGUGCUUUCAGCCUGCUAGUGGAACAGCUCAUUUGCUGGUAUGAAUUAUGGUUCAACGUUACAUUCCAAAGCUUAUAUAUCUACAUCCAAACUUUGUGUAAACUAAUCAACCACAUAGGACUAAACUACUUAAAUUAACUUCUUUUUGGUCGAACUAAACCUCUCAUAGGAUGUAACUGGAUUCAAACUCGGUACCUCCGGGUCGCCAACACACAACUCUACCAGAGCAACUUCUUUUGGAUAACCUAAAUUAACCAAUGCAAUCAAUACUUUUAUAACUCGGUGUGUGCUAGUUUGGAUAAAGAAUGCCUUCUACAAUGCCCUUUUCUAUUACAGGGCUGAACUUUUAUAGUAUUCCGGCCUUUGGUCAAUUUUUUUGGCUCCACCUCUAUUUUUAUCUUAUGAUUUAUUAUUUUUAAUUAUGAGUUUCAGGUACAGAGCUUGACAAACAUUCAUUCCCGGUGCACCGCUGCUCUAAACUCUGCUUCAAGUGACAAGGUGUUGCCAACGUUGCAUGAGAUUCAGUCGGUGUGCAACCGGGUACUGGAGUUGUUCGGUGAGACUCGUCGUCUCCAGGUAAGACCGACAUCAGUUCCAGUUGGGGAGAAUGCUAUAUGCACAAUGUCACCAUUUCUAGAAGCUCUGGACGGAGAUUUACAGCCUAAUUAUGAGAAACCUGCUGCUAUUUCGCACGAAUCUUCGGUAAAAGCUAGAUCAAAGAAUCCGGCUAUUAAAAGGCGAGGGAGAAGCAAAGAUGAUCAUCAUAGCCAGGCAGGAGGAACGGUAACAGGGGGACUCCAGGUUGAGGAUGAAGUUAAUGAAUUAGAGUGCGUUAGUUCAGAAGUGUGUCCCGCAAGCAACCUCUUACCCGAGGGGGGGAUAGUGGUGGAGUCAAUUCGGAAGAAGUCACAAGAAACUAGAAACUCAAUGUGAUGAGACUUGUAUCCCUCGGAAGAAGAAGAAACAGUCUGCAAAUUGCGAUGAUGAAACGUAGUAGUAUCUAGCACAGAUGGUAGAAGUGUAGAACAUAGUCACUGAUUACAAUGUAAACUAAACUCGUAACUGUACUUUAUAAUUAGAGUAUCUUGAUUACAAUGUUAUCAGACUUACAUACACUUAAGAAAUCGUGGGAAUAGUGGUGACACAUAAUAAUAGCAUGCCUUGAUGUAUUUAUGGCACUUUGCAAUGUAGUAAUCAGUAAGGAAAACAUAGUGACGACGAAUCUCUUAGGAUAUUAUUUGAUCUUACUUGGAAUUGAGAAGUAGCAUUAUUAUUGUAUUGCCGAUCCCCAUCAGUGUGAUGACCGAGCUUUUUACAACAGUGAUAACUUGUUGCUAGUUGCUGCUAAAAGUUGUGGUGCCUUAGAAUAUACUAUUAUUCUACACUUUUUUUAAAAUUCGAAUGUUUUUCCAGCGAGACUCCAUGAGAUGGGACUCAUUUCGCUGCCCAUAGACACCGCAUUUGAAAGCGUGAAAUUUUCCACCACGGCCUUGAACCUCUAACUUGAGCUCGUCAUUGAUGUAAACGUUGAUUUUCUCGGAAUCAAAAUCAUCAAUCACGUUCAACUUAAACCACUUGUUGUAGACGUUUGGGAGCACAACUUGACGAGUGCUAUAAUAGCGGAGGGAGCCAUCGUAGACAUGGAGCAUCAAGGAAGUAGCUGUUGGAGGCCUUGAUCCAAAUAUUUGCAUAAUGCUCACUCCUGAAGUCCCACUUGGCACGUAACCAUACGCUUCGAAUUGCCAAGUACCUGACUUGUACCCAUAUCCCUACACAACCACAUACACACAUACAUACAUACAUGAAUUUCAAGUUCAAACAACCAGACAAUAAUCAAUAAAGGCUAAUAAAUAAGGUAAAGCUCCACAUCCAAAAUUACUUGAAGUUACUAGUGGAAACUUGAGAUAAGAAAGAGUUAUGGAAGGAAAGUUAAAUUAAGUGAUAUAAAAGAUUUUAAAAAAAAUUUCAUUGGUUUUUUGGUAGUUUGGGAAACCUCGACUCAACUCUCUUAAGAAUUAUGAUUCUACAUGUUAAACUUUACGUAAGUGUAAAAGACGACCUGAAUGGCGAUCUCGAUAACGUAAUCCUACAUGUCAAACUUUACGUAAGUGUAAAAGACUACCUGAAUGGCGACCUCGGUACGUGGCUUAGUACGGCUGGUCGGGGUAUGGGGUAGGUCAGUGGAGUAAACCCAACACUUGUGAACUCCAUCGACGAAGCUGUAACGUUGGCUUUCGGGUAAGUUGUAAGGGCUCUGAAUGUGGUAGAAGGACUCGUUGAACGGCUGGGAUACGAAUCCUGUUGUAGGAAUACCAGCACUAGCAGCUGAUGAUGAUUGGAUCAUCAUCAUCACCAUAAGUAGUUGAAACACUACUACUGAAUUCUUUAGGUUCCCCAUGUUUUGCAUCUUUCUUUCAGGUGUUGGUGUAGAACAGACUCGAUAGAUUCUACUUUUUUAUAGAAGGUGUGCGUACGUAAGGGUGCAGCAAUUUAAUAUUCCAAAUGGAACCAGUCCACCAAAGUUGCUAAUUAAUGACAUGAAUUAGCAACACCAUCAACUUGGCUACCACGGCCCCCACUCCACCGAAAUUACCCGUGAACUGCACUCCGAAGAAUGGUAAACAUCAUCUUCAAUGAAUAAUGUUAAAUAUUUAAAAGUGUGGUAGCACAAAUCGUUGCAUUGUAUGUUGGUAAUCUAGAAAAAUUUUGAAUUCAAAUUCGGCAAAUUUCACAUAUAAACAUUUAUAUAUAGUAUUUUUUUAUCUUUUAUAAUAACAAAUUCGUCCGGUCUAUUUUUUUUAUCUCUUACAAAAUAUAACUAGACAUGGUCCACUUUUGUUGUAUCAGAAUUUCUAUCGGUGACCUCACCUUUACUUUGAUGUUAUUGAGUUGGACAGUAAUAGUAGUCGGUAUUUAAUUCUAUCUCUUUGUGUAAAUUGAUUUUAUAGGUUGAAAACUUCGUUAAUUACAAAUUAGGUAGCCGUGUGAGGCCCUCACUUUAAUUACAAGUGGUGAUUAUUUCAGUUUGUUUAGUGCUUAUACUUAUGGGUACAAAAACAUGUUCACAUUUAAAGAGAUAAUAGUAUUUUGGCUCUUUAUCAACGUAACAACUAAGCCCAUGUACUAAUAAAAAUUUAAUUUGACGAUAUAUUUUUUUUUUUCUUACAGUAGAUUGAAAAUCGUCGUAAACAAUAACACUUAACCACAUAUAUUAUCCACCGUAAAUGGGGUACACGUGGCUGAUAAGUAAGGUAAUCAUUUAUGUUAUUUUUAUUUUGAAAAUCAAUUAAAAUAUUUUUAUGGCUAGAAACUUUACCCCACCCCAAUUACCUUAUCCAAAGUUAACCCUAGCUACCCCAUAAUGACUCCAGGUUGAGGAUGAAGUUAGAGUGCAUUAGUUCAGAAGAAUGUCCAGCAAGCAACCUCUUAUUAUAAUGUAGAGACAAUCCUGAUCCCUAACAUACUUAAGUUGGCCAUAUUAUAGAGACAUAGAGAGAAGUCCAACUUUGGGAAAUUGGGGUUCUUCUUUGUAUUUAACAUUCUAAACUUUCUUUAAAAUUCGAAUGUUUUUCCAGCGAGACUCCAUGCGACGAGACUCAUUUCGCUGCCCAUAGACACCAAAUUUGAAAACAUGGAAUUUGCCACCGCGACCUUGAACCUCUAAUUUGAGCUUAUCGUUGAUGUAGACGUUGAUUCUGCCAGAAUCAAAAUCAUCAAUCACGUUCAGCUUGAACCAUUUGUUGUAGACAUUUGAGAGAACAACUUGGCCAGUGCUGUAGUAACGGAGGGAGCCAUCGUAGACAUGGAGCAUCAAGGAAGUAGCUCUCGGAGGCCUUGACCCAAAUACUUGCAUAAUGCUCACCCCUGAAGUCCCACUUGGCACGUAAGCAUACCCUUCGAAUUGCCAAACACCAGACUUGUAUAUGUAUCCCUACACACACAAUAUAAACAUACAUUCAUACAUGAAUUCCAAGUUCAAACAAGUAAGGCAUGCAAUAAUGAAGGCCAGGUGAAGAAGGUGAAUGACCUGAACUUUGAUCUCGGUUCGUGGCUUAGUACGACUGAUUGGGGUAUGAGGUAGGUCAGUGGAGUAAACCCAACACUUGUGAACUCCGUUGACGAAGCUGUAACGUUUGCUUUCGGGUAAGUUGUAAGGCCACUCUAUGCGGUACAAGGACCGAUUGAAAGGCUGGGAUACGAAUCCUGUUCUAGGAAUUUUAGCAGAUGAUGAUUGGAUCAUCAUCAUCAUCAUCAUCAUCAGUAGUUGAAAUACUACUACUAGUGAACUCCUCAGCCUUGCCGUUUUUGCCAUCUUCUUGAACUUUAGGUGCUGGUCUGGUACUGACACUCUCACAAGCUUAUUUUUAUAGAAGCUGUGAAUCAAACAGGUACAGAAUUUAAUAUAAUAUCAUAUAUAAUGUUCAAUGGGAAUGAGUCAACAAUGUGCUAAUAAAAGCUAAGUAUUGGAAUCUAAUUAGAAAAGGCAUGAAUUCCAACACUAUCAACUUGGUUACCCGUGAUGAACUGCUACAGUUUGCAGAAUUAAUUAAUAACAUAAUUUGGAAUAUUGCCAAGGCCACUAAAUACGACAGAAAUGGCCGCUUUCACAAAUGUACAGACAGAACAAUGGCGGUUUAAUUUUCAUUCCUGGGCUGUAUAUAUAUCAGAUUAUCUUGCUGUGUGUUGUUGUUUCUCUUCUAUAUAAGGCAAUGCCUUAGUUAUCACCGGUUUAUCCAGCAGUAGUCAAUGCCAGUCAGACAGUCCACAACAUCGUACAAUGCUUAGACAACACAACAUCAUAGAAAUGCUUAUUAGUCAAACAAGGAGGAGUCCACACUAGAAUUGACCACUCAACCUCGGGAUAUUUAUUCCGUAAACAAGGGGAUCUCCUAAACAAGUAAGGCAAUGUUAACAAGGAAAACAAAACUAAAUAUCUAUUCAAACUGUGAAGUCGGUCUUAAUAAAAAAAUUCAUAAUUUUUUAAAAAAGAUUAUUAGAGGGAAGAAAGAGAGAUUUGGACAUUUGAACGAAAAAUAACUUUUUAUUUUCUUUUUAUAAAUUGAUAUGGUCAUAAAUAAAUAACAUGAAUUUUAGUCUUUUGUUUCUAUUUUUUAUUUUCUUUCUCUAUAAUAAUUGUACUUUUAAUUAAAUUUAUGGGCACAAAAUUGCCUUCAUGUAUUAUUUUUCUAUUUUUAUCCAAUUUUGAACUAUUGGUAUCUCUAAUGAUGCAUUUGAUGUUUAUAAAAACAAAAUGGUUGGGAAUGAAAAUAUACAUUCAAAUCAACCACUCAAAAGGUCUUUUUUUAAAAAUAACAGAUUUCAUAUGAUUAGUUUUUAUUUCAAAUGUCUUUCGUUUGAAAUUACUCAAUAAAAAUAAUUUAAAUUCAAAAGUAAUCUUAUUAUUAUAGCUGAUGGGAUCAACAUUAUGAGAAUUACGACACACCUAGUUUCUACAACAGUGAUAAAGUUGUUGCUACUAAAAUUUCAGAUCCAGAAAGUUAGGAUGUAAGCCUAAACUUUUUUCAAAAUUCGAAUGUUUUUCCAACGGGAUUCCAUGAAAUGAGAGUCAUUCCGAUUGGCAUAAACACCAAAUUUGAAAUAGUGGGAUUUGCCACCACGGCCUUGAGCCUCUAACUUGAGCUUGUCAUUGAUGUAGACGUUGAUUAUGCCAGAAUCAAAAUCAUCAAUCACGUUUAGCUUAAACCAUUUGUCGUAAAUGUUUGGAAGCACGACUUGACUCGUUCUAUAGUAAUACAGGGAGCUAUUGUAGACUACGAGCAUCAACGAAGUAGCUGUUGGAGGCCUUGAUCCGAAUACUUGCAUAAUGCAAACCCCCGAAGUCCCACUUGGGAUGUAACCGUACCCUUCGAAUUGCCAAACACCUGAGUUGUAUCCAUAUCCCUACAAACACAUAAACAUCUAUACUUACAUGAAUUCCAAGUUGAAACAACCAAUUAAGAAUAGAAUGAAUGAAGGGUUAAGGUGUGAAGGACCUGAACGGCGAUCUCGGUGCGGGGCUUAGUACGACUGGUGCGGGAAUGAGGUAAGUCAUUGGAGUAAACCCAAGACUUGUGAACUCCAUUGAUGAAGGUGUAACGUUUGCUUUCUGGUAAGUUAUAAGGGCUCUGGAUGUGGUACAACGACUGAUUGAAAGGCAAGGAUACAAAUCCUAUUCUGGGAAUAAUAGCAGCUGAUGAUAAUUGGAUCAUCAUCAUCAUCAGUACUUGAAACACCAGUACAACUGAACCCCUCAGGCUUUUCAUAUUUUCCAUCCUUAUUGAAUUUUAGGUACUAACAGGCUUAAUAGAUUCUGAUUUUUUAUAGGAAAAAUCGAUUAGAAUGAGUCAACAAAUUAAGUUGGUAAUUAAAUGCUGAGUAUUGGAAUCUAAUUAGAAAAGACAUCUAUUGAAUGCCAACACUAUCAACAAUAUAAUUGGGUGCCCCACUCCAUCAAAAUUACCCAUGAAGAUAAUAACAAUGGAACCAAGCACACUAAAUACGACAGAAAUGGCGGCCUCCACAAAUGGACAGACACGAGAAAAUAGUGGGUUUAAUUAGAUUCCAUGUCCAUCAUCAUAUAAACUCCACUGAAUCAAUUUCUCUUUAGCUUGCUGUUGUUGUUUCUCUUCUUUUGACAAAUUAUGAUUACUCUUUGUUUUCUCUGCCCCCUUAAUUACCAGUUUUCCAGUACGGUUGACUUUUUUCUGGGUAGGUUCUUGUGUGAUUGAGAUGGAAUACUUGCAUAAUGCUCACCCCUGAAGUCCCACUUGGCACGUCACUGUACCCUUCGGAUUGCCAAACACCCGACUUGUAUAUAUAUCCCUACACACAUAAACACAUAUGCAUGAUGAUGAAUUUCAAGUUUAAACAGACCAGCUAGAAUGAAGGUUAAGGUGAAAGAGCUGAAUGGCGACCUCAGUCCGAGGCUUGGUAUGACUGGUGCGGGAAUGAGGUAGGUCAGCGGAGUAAACCCAACACUUGUGAACUCCAUCGACGAAGCUGUAGCGUUUGCUUUCUGGUAAGUUGUAAGGGCUCUGGAUAUGGUACAUGGAGUGAUUGAAAGGCAGGGUCACGAAUCCUGUUCUGCGAAUACUUGCUGAUGAUAAUUGGAUCAUCAUCAGUACUUGGAAUGGUACUACUACUGAACUCUUCAGGCUUCCCAUUUUCUUUCUAUCUUAUUUUAGCUAGGUGGUGUGGUACUAACAGGCUCAAUGGUCCGCGUGCACCAGUUUAAUAUUAACAGAUAGUCAAAGUGGCGGCAAGUAUUGGAAUCUAAUUAGAAGAAGACAACACUAUCAACAAUUGGGUUCUCCACUCCAUCAAAACUACCCCAUCCAGUGUGUUUGCUUUUGUUGGGUAAUUUCCCAUCGGUGAACUCACCUUUGCUUGGAUGUUAUUGAGUCGGACGGCAUGUAUACUAGUCGGUUUUAUUCUAUAUAUAUGCCCAGAAAUUGGAUUCAAGAAUGCACCUGUUCGACAACUUCAAGAACCAUUCAGAGCAGGGUUAUUUUGAGGAUUAAAAAAAUCAACUUAUUAUUCUCACGAUUUAUGUCCGCUCAUUUCUAUAAGCUACUCCGGUGGCCGACCAUUGGGUCAAUGUUGUGCCAAUAACCAGUCAUUAACACUACUAACUGGUUAUACAUUCCAAUCAUACAACUACUUAUUCCGUAUUCUAAAUUAUUUAUUUAUAACUAGUUAUUUUCACUUAUAAUCAGUUACAUUAUAAUUAUAUAACCGGUUAAUUUUAUUUUUAACUAGUUAUAUUUUUCGGUCAUAAAAGUCACCGGCGAGUCGUCGGAUUAUAACUAGUUACUAAGCCUCUUUUUUCCUCUCAUUUUCUCGGUAUUCAUCCCUAUCUAUUUCCUCAUCGCUCUUUUCCAGUGGAUCACCAUCUUCUGACGUUGGAACCCUCAAAUGCCAUCCAAGUUUUAAUAACCUAUUUUAUCAUUUAAAACAAAUAAAACAAACAAACACAUUGUUUUCGUGUGAGCGACAUAAUCGAAAAAGGUGAUUAACGCAACAAAGACAUCGAGAAAAUCAUAAUUACCAUGGUGAAUUUAGAUAUUAGGGAGCCGUUAGUAGCCUCUCAUAAUCAACGAAAAAACGGUUAACUGAUUACACAGAAACUCGAAACACUUCAUUUCAAUCAUGACAAUCAUCCUCAUCUAAACACAAAAUCAGAAUCCUGCCAUUUUUUACUUCACUUUUUUUACAGUUAUGAACCAUUUUCCACCAUCUUCAGGAGAUAGAGUGUCUCCUGUGCCUUGAAGAUGAACCAGAAGACUUGGCAUCUCCAGGAGCCAUUGAAGGUGGGCUCUCUGAGCUGCCAGAAGUCUCAGAGCUCUUGCUCUCUACUACAUGCCCUCCCCUCCCAACACCCCACAACUUGUCGAAAAUCCUCCUUGACCGAGACGGUAGUAACUGCAAUCCACGUUUGCUGUUCUUGCUGCUAUUUUUCUUCAUCACCCUCACAUUCCUCUGUUCCUCCUCAGCCUCACCAGUUGCUACCUUCAAUUUCACGCUUAUUUGCUUCUCAAGGACUUCGCAACCUUCUUCUGUGUUUUUCAUCGCAUUCGAAGUGUAAUUCAGGUUGUGGUUGAGGCUUUGAGCAUUAGCUGCUACUGCUGCUCUGACCUGCUCAAAGAAGAGAACUUGUACAACCAAACGAAGCGGGAGACUCUCGUUUUGUGCUGCGUGCAUUGAAGCAUUCAUUGUCAGCUUCUUGACAUCCAACAUGCUGCACAUCUUCUUUCUUUCAUCCUUACUCAACCCUGGAUGCUCCUGAAUAAUAAUAAUAUUACUAUUAAACCCUUUUAAUAGUAAGCACAUGAAUUACUUUCAACUCUGGAAAGGAAAAAUGAACAAAAAAUGGGAUUAUGAUCAGUUACAACAGAUUAUAAUUAGUUACAGCGAUUAUAACCAGUUAUAGGAAAUUAUACGUGUAACCAAUUAUAAUAGGAUUAGCUUACCUUGAGGUAGAUGUCAAUGGCCAUGUAAAGACCAUCAUGAAUCGGCCUUGCAGGCUCUGGAACAGAUCGAGAAAGGUCGAUGAAGCUAUUGAGGCCAACAUUGGCAUCAUGAGCAAUCUCAGCCAGAUAGCCAUCAAUCAGUUGGCCAAUAUGCAUCAAAGACCUAUGCUCAGGUGGGAAAAGGAAUCUUUCUACUUCCCCACCAUUCUUCUCAAUGCUCGACUCCUGACAAUGUUUUUCGUUCGUCAGGAAUUGAUUCACAAGGCUCUUCACCAACUCAACAUCGUACUUUGUAGUAGACUGAGGCAACUGUGCCGGGAUCAACAGAUCCUGAACAGAGGCCUCCUGCAACUUCAGACCAGCCCUCUUCACUAGAUCUUCCUUGAGGGUAUCAUUAACUCCAGCAAAGAUGGCAACUUUCAACAAUUUGAGUAAGAAACUACAAGAACAGUCACCACCAGCCUUUUCAGCAGGCAGAAGAUGGAUUAGUGUUUCCACCAGAUACUUAUGCCACGACGUACUUGCAUCGCAAGUCAAGUCAUCUAGGGAAUCAGGAAGCCAUCGAAGGGCGUAACAUUUAAGAGCCUCACCCAUCACCAUACAGUCCAUUCUCCCCUUUGAUUUGACAGCAAGAAUCACUCUCUUGUAGAGGUCAAUUUCCAGCUCACAUGCAUCUUCAACCCACCAAUCGUUUGGAACACCAUGAUGAUGACUGUUUCUCUUUCGAAACUUGCGAUACACGUCAUCAUCAUCUUCUGGUAGUAUCUCAUUGUCUGCAUCAUUCAGCUUCCUAUUAUAAGUAUAAGACCAAGUGAUAGUGGAAGGGUCAAUAGAAGUCUUGGAUGCAAUGGAAUCAAUGCAUCUCCCAACAAUCUUCAACUCAUCAGACCAGGGCAAGAGAGCCUUGGUGGUCUGAAGAACAAUGAUAGAAUCUUUCCAGCUCCGGAAAAUGCUCGAGUUGAGGAACACCUCAAUCUUGAAAAUCAGGUUCCCUGAAUCGACAUCCUCAGUCAUCUCAAGGUACUCAGCUGCACAUCGAGCAGCUACGACAUUGUAAGCGUUGAGAGUGACUGUCAUUCCGUAGCAGAAUUUGGCACAUAUUUCAAAGGCCUUGUGUCCACCGGGAAAAUCGAGUAUGACAAUCUCAUCGGAGCUCUCUUCAGUAGCUUUCGCCACUAGUUUCUGCAAUCGGCUGCUCUUCGACAGGAGAGGGAACUGAAGAUCGCUCACAUGCGUAAAAUGGGCAGAAAUUAACCAAAUACAGUCAGCUCUCAUCAUAAGAGUAAGCAUAUGAAUUACUUUUAACUUUGGAAAGGAAAAAGGAACAACAAAAUAGGAUCAUAAUCAGUUAUAGUCGAUUAUAACUAGUUACAAAAAAUUAUAACGGGUCACUAAAUCGUGUAACCAGCUAAUUAAUAAGUGAACGUAAAAACAGCAGAAUUAACCAAAUGCAAUCAGCCCUCAGCAUAAGAUCAAACAAAUGCACAUAGUUUAAGCAAUGGACUUCCUAACUACUCUCAAAAGGCGGAAUUUCAAACAUAUCAGCAGCUAUUGAAGAAGCACUGAAGAAGUUACCUUGUGGAGGUAAAAUUUAACUUCACCAACAUUAAUGGUGACAUCUGUAGCCAGCUCGGAUGGAACAUACCUACAUGUAACAAGAGCACACGUGUCAUAAUCUCCAGAAAAAGAGGUAGCCAAAUUGAAUAUACCCACCAAAUAAAGGACAAUGAAUGAAUGCACAUUCAUCAAACAAUGCAUGAAACCCCAGCCACUGUUUGUAAUUAAUUUCUCAAACCAACCAUCCAGAUUUUUCGUUCAUUUGUUUAGUCAAAUCAUUCAUUAACUCAAUGAAAUUAUAGUUUCUCUAUUAUGCUGUAUCCAGAAAGCCAAUAGUUUCUCUAUUAUUCUGUAUCCAGAAAGCCAAAGAAAAGCAAGCAGCAAAGUUGCUUUCAAGUAGUUUGACAACAGUGCUUGGUUACAAAAGCAAUCACUUUCCCCAUUCCAAACCCAAUGAUUAACUAAAAUAAAACUAGUAGAGAUAGAGAUGGUCCAGAUCCUCGCUGCCAAAUCAUCAGAACUUAGCUUUGAACAAAUGAAAUUAAUUAAAACAUAGGAAAAGGGGCAGUAAAGUAGUGGGUAGCAAAGAUUAAAGCUUUAUAAUUGUUUAUUAAGAGAGGGGGGAACCAACUAGCUGUAAUGAUGAUUAAGAACCUCAGAUUACUCAAAAAUGGUCGAUUAGUCUAUAUUUAUUACAUAACAUAAAUAAAGCUCCCAUUUAGACCACGAAGCAUUAAUAUAUCCACUUGGAAGGAGGACCACCUUCCCCCUCUUCAUUCCAACCAUUCUUCCCCAAUCCUGUUGAGGGCAGAAGAACUGGUAGUUCAACUGACGACAACUACUGCAAAUAAAUAGUUAACAAAAUGGAAGAAUUGCUUGGUUUCUAUAUUCAGGAUGUGAAAUGAACAGUUGAACGUUGUGAACUGAAGGAGGAAGAACACAUUCAACUAAACUUUGUACACAUCGACCCUGUUCAGAAGAUGGCAAAUGGAAGGAUACUAACAAAAAUGGGAAGUGGGAAAGCGAGCUUCUUUAGAGCUUUUAGUACAGUUAGAAACAGAGCAUGGGAAAAAUCACAAAACGCAGUAAACAAAAGCAGAGAAAAAUCAUGUAUGUGUGUGUACCUGCUGGUUCCUUCGGCCUGAAAGACAUCCGGCUUGCACCCUAAUUUCAUAAACUUCAUUCUUUGCUCGGGGGUGGAAAGGGGGGGGGGGGGGAAACUGACAGCAAGGCGCAAGCUUCUUUCUGGGUUCUUGGGAUGAAGGAGAAGAAACAGAGCAAGAAACCCAGAGGUUAUGGUAGGAAGUGAAGUUGGAAUUCUCCCUUUCAAUGUAUGUUUGAGUGCUGGUUGACCAUAAUAUGCAUUGUACUGAGAGAGACAGACUCUGCUGCAUCUACUGCUACUAGUCUAUCCAAUAUCUAUCUCUCCAGAAGCAUAGGGUGGAGAGCUGUCGACCCCAUUGAUUUCGGAGUCGUCAUUGAUGAUGAGUAGUUGGAAGGAAAGAAAGCAAGCAAGCAAGGAAGACCAAGGAGGAAGAAAGAUGAAUAGAAGAUUUUGUCAGAUGAAAUAAAGAAAGAAGAGGAAAAGUAGGAAGGAAGCUAAGCUAAGGCUAAGGCUAAGCUUCUGAAGUUGGUAGGUUGGCUGGGGCUACAAUAACAAAAAAAUUAUUAUGAUAAUAAUUUAUAGUAGUAAACUUUAGUUAAUAAUAGUAAGGAAUGGCGUCAGCGUUUAGCCAAUAAACUUUACUUACCAGAGGCUAAAUAAUAAUGUAAUGAAACAGGGGAGAGACAGAAGAGAAAUGGAAAGUGUGGAUGGAUGGAUGGAUGGAUGUGAAUAAAUUCUCGGCCGCCUUUGAUUGAUAAUAUAAAUAUAUGUCAGGCACAGGCAGCCAUAGCCAGUCUGAUCCGCUGCAUGAUCUUUUCGCUUAACUUUUGCUCCUUUUUGGGGGCGCAAAUCUCAAUGGGGGGCAGCAGUAAGAAGGGGACAAUCAUAUUUGGAUGAAUGGUGUGAGAUUCGGUUUUACUAAGUCAACCAGGUUUGUCUCCUCCUGCUAAAUGCUCUUCCUGCUGUCUCAACAAGAUCAAGUAUGGGGGAGGGGAGAGCGGAGGAAAUGUAGAAUGCGUGCACUUUUCUUGGUGCAUUUCUAAUGAGGUUUUGAUGUGCAUCUUCAUAGUUCAAAAUCUUCCUCAUGGACCUAUUGAUGGGCUACGAAGAGAUGGGCCAUCAAGUUUGGAGUUACAAGCGUUAGAGGAUGUAUGGGUAGUCUCAUGGACCCAAAACUUCCGUAUGAAGAAAGGCCCAGCCAGAUCCACCUUUACACGCACCGACACGCGAGAGCUACCUCACUCCUUCCCGGAUCUACUCCAGUCUCCGAAGUCGCGUUCCCAUUUUUUUAAUCUUUUUAACUUUUUUUUUAAUCCUUAUUUCUUUUUUAACAAAAAUAUUUUCUCUGGUGUUCUUAAUCGGCUUCCAUCUCUGCUAGCUCGAUUUCUUCUCCCUCAUCAUCUCUCUCUCUAUCCCUCCGUCGUGUUUUAUAAUUUUCGUUCCACCAGACUUUACAACUACAGCGAAAACAACUCACCACUAGCUCGCUCUCUCCCCCACCACCCUUCCAGAUCUGGAACCCUCACUCUCUCUUCUUCCUCUUCUCUAAUUCUCCUCGCUCAUCAAUGGCGCCCGGAGGAGGAAGAACAAGUGGUAGAUUCACAUCGGCUUCCCCUCUCGCCCCGAUCUCUUCAUUCCUCUUCUUCUUCUUGCUCCUCGUUCAUGGCGCUCGCUCCUUCUACCUCCCUGGUGUCGCCCCCGAGGAUUUCAUCAAGGUAUUUUUCCCCUCCAUUCUACCUGCCUCGCCUUCGAUCUGGAUUUCCCUGUCCCCCCGAUCUGCUCCUUCCGAAUAUUGCUUUUCCAGAUUCGUAUGUGCUGUGUCUACGGUUUGAUUUCUGCAUGAUCGUAGAAUUGAGUCUAGUCCCGAAUCUAACUCUUCUCCGAUUUAGUUCACCUUGUUGUCUAGAUUUGUUUACCUGUUUUGGAUUUCAGCUCCGAUUUCUGAGAUUUGAAUUAUUAGAAGUGCUUGAAAUGGUUAAGUAGAGCUAGUUUGAAUCAGUUGAUUUUUACUAGAUCAGUCACCAUGUAAUUAAGCUUAUUGCUGCGCUUGUCUAUAUUUGUUCAGGAUGUGUAAUCUUUGUAUUCUGAAUGAUUAAUGUAGUAACUGUAAUUCCUUGUUGAUCUUCUCAUCUAGUGUAAGACACACUCGUUUUCUCCGUAGAUGUGUUUUAGCUUUCUGUUAUUUCUUUUCUGCUAAUGGUGUUGCUUGGGAUGUAGGGUGAUGAGUUGAAGGUGAAGGUGAACAAGUUGACCUCGAUCAAGACACAGCUGCCUUACUCCUUCUAUUCUCUGCCUUUCUGCCGCCCUGGUAAGAUCGUUGACAGUGCAGAGAAUCUUGGUGAAGUCCUUCGGGGUGACAGAAUUGAGAACUCACCCUAUGUGGUCAGUUUCUAUUACUGUAGUUAUUGUGAGGCUUAUCGUUAAAUUUGACGUGUCCAACUUCUUCACAUUGUUCACAUUCGAUGCAGUUCAAAAUGAGGGAUCCUAAAAUGUGCAACAUUCUUUGCCGGGUUACUCUUGAUGGAAAAACUGCCAAGGCAUUUAAGGAGAAGAUUGAUGAUGAAUACAGAGUCAAUAUGUAAGGAUUGCUUUACAGUUAGGUUAAGUUGAAUUUGUUCGAUAGUUUCUUUGAAGCUUCACCACUGACUAUUCUGUAUUGCUGAAACAGGAUCCUUGAUAAUCUUCCUCUGGUGGUACCAAUAAGGAGGCUGGAUCAGGAGGCUCCUACCAUCUAUCAGCUUGGUUACCAUGUUGGAUUCAAAGGACAGUACAGUGGGGUAACUAGCCAACACUUGAAACUUAUUUGUUUAUUUUAUGUUGGUUUGUCCUGUAUGUUUCCUUAUUGCUUUUGAUUUAUGCAGAGCAAAGAGGAAAAAUAUUUCAUCCACAACCAUUUAGCAUUCACCGUCAAGUACCACAGGGACUUGCAAACCGACUCCGCUAGAAUUGUUGGAUUUGAAGUGAAGCCCUACAGGUUAGUUGCUCGUAAUUAAUUCAUUUCUCGGUGUUACAUCACCCAUUUCUCCUGUUCCCCUUUUUGUUCAUUGAUGAUGUUUGGUUUGGACAUUCUUUCAUCCAUCCAGUAUAAAGCAUGAAUAUGAGGGGAAAUGGAGUGACGAGAAGACCCGUUUAACCACCUGCGAUCCUCAUACUAAGCGUACCGUUAUCAAUUCCAACACUCCUCAAGAAGUUGAUGAAAAGAAGGAAAUUGUUUUCACAUUUGAUGUUGAUUUCCUGGUAAGUUUAUCUCUCGAAUACUAUGCUUUCAUGCUUGAAGAUUGAAUGUGCAACAUCAGCAGACAUUUAUCAGACCAGUUGCAUUUUGUCCUCGGGUAAGGUACAUAAGCAUCAUUAUGCCAUCAUUCUAAUCCUGGUGUAACUUCUUCCAGGAGAGUGACGUGAAGUGGGCAUCUAGAUGGGAUGCUUAUCUUUUGAUGAGUGAUGAUCAGAUCCACUGGUUCUCAAUUGUCAAUUCAUUGAUGAUUGUUCUCUUCCUCUCUGGAAUGGUUGCAAUGAUCAUGCUAAGGACACUUUACCGUGACAUUUCCAAGUACAAUGAACUUGAGACCCAGGAGGAGGCACAAGAAGAGACUGGGUGGAAACUUGUUCAUGGAGAUGUUUUCAGGCCCCCAUCUAACUCAGAAUUAUUGUGCGUCUAUGUUGGAACCGGUGUCCAAUUUUUCUGCAUGAUGGUCGUAACAAUGCUCUUUGCCAUUCUUGGUUUCCUUUCCCCAUCGAACAGAGGGGGUCUCAUGACUGCCAUGCUGCUACUCUGGGUCUUCAUGGGCCUGUUUGCUGGGUAUGCAUCAUCCCGUCUCUACAAACUAUUUAGAGGGACAGAGUGGAAGAAAAUAGCUCUCCGGACCGCAAUAAUGUUCCCUGGGAUAAUCUCUGCAAUUUUCUUCGUCUUGAAUGCCCUCAUAUGGGGACAGAAGUCAUCUGGAGCUGUUCCAUUUGGCACAAUGUUUGCUUUGGUGUUCUUAUGGUUUGGAAUCUCAGUCCCACUUGUUUUCGUUGGAAGUUACAUCGGAUUCAAGAAGCCAGCUCUGGAGGAUCCAGUAAAGACCAACAAAAUUCCCAGGCAGAUUCCAGAGCAAGCUUGGUACAUGAACCCGGCAUUCUCAAUCCUGAUCGGAGGGAUACUUCCAUUCGGAGCUGUCUUCAUCGAGCUCUUCUUCAUCCUCACCUCAAUCUGGCUGAAUCAGUUCUACUACAUAUUCGGUUUCCUCUUCUUGGUGUUCAUCAUUCUCAUCAUCACCUGCGCAGAGAUUACAGUCGUGCUCUGUUACUUCCAGUUGUGCAGCGAGGAUUAUCUAUGGUGGUGGAGAUCAUACCUUACUUCAGGCUCUUCUGCACUCUACCUCUUCCUCUACGCCACAUUCUACUUCUUCACGAAGCUGGAAAUCACAAAGUUCGUAUCCGGACUGCUGUAUUUCGGGUACAUGCUGAUCGCUUCGUAUGCAUUCUUCGUCCUGACCGGCACAAUCGGUUUCUACGCUUGCUUCUGGUUCACUAGGCUCAUCUACUCCUCCGUGAAGAUUGAUUGAUUGAUUGAGACAGUCAGGAUCCAGUAUGGAAGCGAUCAUUUGGCUGGCGGUGGCGGUGUUUAUCUUUCUAUCGGCGAAAAACAGAGUAAGAUUCACAAUUUGGUAGAUACAAGGUUGGUUAUGUUAUUCAGGUGUAAAACUGUUGCUCAUUUUUGUAUCGAGACAAAUAUGAUGAUGAUGAUGAUGAUUCCGUUGUAAUAACUCUCGUUAAAUUGUGCCCUUCGUUUUCGUUUUUUUAUAUUGUCUGAGGAAUUGGUGUUUUUGGCACAUUGUUAGUCCCAAGUAUUAGUUGCAUAUUGCAGUCUCUGUCUUAGCUCCUCCAUUCAUCCCUUCCUUCUCCUUGUUUACGCCUGAAGUCCCCAGUUAGUCGACCACUCCUUCGGUUAGCAUUUAGCUUUAUCAAGGCCAUAGUUUCAAAUUUGCGUUGUUGCAGCUGCUGCUUCACUUGUGUUGCCAUGGCUUGCUAUUGACGGUUAUGAUUCUCGUUGUGCCGAAAUGGGCAAGGUUGCAGUCCCUUCCAUCCAGAUUCUCUACUAGUCCAUCCCUCAGCUUGUGAUCGUGUCUCCAGUGUGUGAGGGGAAGGUGCAUUUGCUCUCCGCUACUCCCAACGUGAUAUGUUUGUGGGAUUUGAUCUUUCACAUUCGUCUCACUAACUUGUUUAACUCGUAUGAGGGUUCAUAAUUCACACUGUAACUAGUUUUGAGCAUGUUGCUCCUAUCCGGCACACCAAUCCUUCAAUCCAGGAGUGCUAGUGGCUGUGUUCGGUUGGUAUCAAAACGCUCCUAGAUCAGCCGGAUAAGAUUGUUGACUUGAGCCUAAGUGGUAUUGGGUCUGGUGGGGCUAGACCCAUUCUAUGAUGGAUCGAGACAAAAUUACUAACUUUGGUUAAAGUAUUAGUAGCAGCCUUCUGUCGAGAAAGCAUUGUUCAAACGAAUUGGUACGAAUACAAACAAGCGCACAGUUCCAAUGAUUUCCUUCUUAAAAGACAGCAGGAACACAUGAUGCAACCAAGAGUUGUGAAUUCCACAAGACCAAAAAAGUUACCAGAAAAGACCUCUACUGUACAGAGGUUUCUAAAACAUAAUGUGGUUCCACAAAAAAAAAGGUAAGCACACUUGCAGCAACAGCAGUACAUGAUCGGAAUCAACUCUGUUUUCUGUACAAAUGGGAGGGCAGAAAACUAAAACAUCAGACUGACCGAUGUUAAAACAGACUUGGGAUCAUCUGGCAACCUUCAUUCACUUCCUUCAGGUCUAGCAGUCGACUCAUUUUCAACGGGGUUGGCAGAAACUUCAGCUUCAGAUAUUUGCUCCUCCUUCCCAGGGCGACUCGACUCGGCUGGUUUCUUAAACUGCACUAAGAUCAUUGUCAUAUUGUCACAUCCCUCUCCCCCAGCUGUGGAUGGUGCUAAACACCUAUCGAAUACCCUCUCGCACACUUUAGAUAGCUUAGUUUCCUGCAAAAGUGCCACCAAUCGAUAAGCUAAAUGAUCGUACCGUAAAAAGCCACCGUAUGUAUUUCAAUAGCCCCAAUAUUUCUCAAAGAGGUGAUCAAUUAUUUCAAAGACUUGUUCCAAUUAAUUUAUGACAAGGCAAAAGCAGUUACCGAUUUCAGUUGUUCAUGAAUGAAGUCUACUAGUUGCUGGCUUGACAUGCAGUCCCUGAAGCAAUUGAGAAAAGAAACCAAUCAUCCCCACUUGUAAUUGCAUGAACAGCAGAGAAGAAAUCCGUACUGUUCUAUAGUUUAUACAAACAAUAUGAAAGUGCACAUUCACAAUCUUCCAUGAUUAUCGGUGUGUUAAUGACUUAAUUCAUUAGGGAAGCUGCAACAUGAUGUCAUUGAAUGUCUCAUGUAUAUCACUAACCUAUACGUACAGUACAGUGCUUAAGGGAAGUAGCCAUAAACAUAAAUGAAAGCACAAGGCAAGCCCUACGACUCAAUUGACUAAGGCAUGGUGUCUCAGCCAGUAAUAUUAGACAAAGCAAGGGUUACCUCUAAAAAUUUGCAAACUUCACUAAUCAAAUACAAGAUCAAUUAUUGAUCUAAAGACAACAAAGAAGAGUCAUACAAGAACAACCAUAGUAGAGUCAUACCAUACUCCAUCGCAUGCGAGAACAAAAAAAUCAUCAUCCUCACAAAGCUCAAUCUGGUCAAGGGAAUAACAAUAUUAGGACAGAGAUGACGAUAAUGCACACCGCACAUGUAGAAUCAGAAUAUACAUAUAUAGGUUGCAGGCAUUGGCGAAAAAAGAGUAUUCAUACAGUGUUAAUAUCAGGAUCCGCAGUCACAAUUUGCUUUUCUGCAGGCAAGAACUUAUUCUGCUUGAAUUCCAUAUCACCUGCAUAGGGGCAAAGGAAAACAAUUGAUGAAUCAAAAUACCAUCAGCACCAGUUAUAACCACUUAUCUUUGGUAAAUGGUAUCCUAAAUGUUUUCCCUUGACGAAACAGCUAGGAUUCACAAAGAGCUAGGAAAACAGGGUCAAGUACCAAUAGCUCUAGCAAGAUUCAAGCUGCCAUUGACACGCCCAGCAUGUAUGAAACCACCUGCUUUUAAAAUCCUUUCUUUCUCAACCUCGAGAUCAGGUUUGUGAUCUAUGGACAAAUUGUAGGCCUGCACCAACAAGUACCUUCUUAUUUUAAUGUAUAGGACCUUAGUAGCAAGCAUAAGCUGUAGCUAUUGAGUGCCGCAGGAACUUUACCGUCCAGUACUAUUAAAGUUUACCUGUCCCUUUCGAGAUAUCACACACCGAGAAUCACCUGCAUUUGCUACAACAAGUUUGUUGUUUCUUAUUACCGCUACGCAAGCCGUGCAGCCAGAAGUAGGUCCAGAAAAGUCGGAAUGAGGACCCUGCACAAUUCCACGAAAAUGAUUUGUCAGUGAGAAAUACCAAGUUUCCAGCAGAGGUUCAGUUGGAACGAAAAGAUCAAGUGAAAUAGUUUAUGCAGUAGAUGCAACAAAUGCAUGAGGGGUAAUACAAUAACUUUGGUAAGAAUAUUCGCAUACAAAGCCAAUUCAUGUCCGAUAUGGGUUCAAACUCCAAGUUCAAAUAUUGACAAAUGGCUACACAUUUAUCUAUCUAACACGUAUCCAGUAAGAAUAUUUUGGGCACGAAACCAAUUCACUAACAACGUGUUCCAGUUCCAAGUUCAAAUAUGGCUAAACAUUUAUCCAACCAAUGCUACAUAAUACCGAGGAAAGACAUUGAUUCAGAAGGACAACCUCAAUCAAGUACCUCUUCAAAAGCCCAAUCAUCAUGCUGUUCACUAUUCUCACCAGCUCUGGGAGACCAUAUAAACCCUUCAAUCAUGCCAGAGAACUUGUUAAUCUUAUCACCUAAAACAGCCAACUCUCUCCAUCCUCUUUGUCCACGCAUCAUCUCAUCCAUUCUGCACGGAAAAACGUGAGGUGUUCAGUGAUAAUAAACAGAGAUGUCUCUCACCAAGAAAUGAGCACAACUUUCAGAGAGAGAUUUUCAUCACACAAAUCCAACUGAAGACGAGUUUAAGAGAGAUAUAUUUUCAUUUUGACGAUAGGAAGUUGAAAGUUUUAGAUUCUUUUUAGGAAUGUGAUGAGAAAAUUCCGUAAGCUAUUUUCCAUUGACAGUUUGUGAGCUAUUUCCAACUCCAUUAGAGGCUUAAGAAAUGGAGAUAGCAUAGCCAUUAUCGAAGCAGCACCAAUAACCUGAAAUAUGCUUUCUGAAGAGAAGUUCCUACAUCGCCAGCUACAUACGCCUCAUGUUUCAGAACCUGUUGAUGAAGAUAUUUGGCACAGAAUUUGGCGACCACUUUACCUGCAAGUCAUUCAAACAAGUGUAGCAUUGCUCAAGCUCAAACACCAGAUGAGGGAUUGUUAAACAGUGUCCCAUAAGUAUUUAAGUGGAAGAGAAGCAAAUUAUUCAUCCAUCAUAAUGACUUGAACAAUCAAAGCUAUACAUUAUGCAAUUCCAUUUCAGAUACAAAAAAAAAUCACCAGAAAACAAGUGCAUGUAUUGCAGAGAGAAAGGAACUCACUUAUAUGUUAAGCAUAUAAAACACUAAACAAUUCAGUACUGAUGCACUUUAUCAACAAUUAACAUCUGCCCAAAUAGGAGGAGCAAAUACUCACAUAUCUCCUUUACUUAUCAGUUAUCAGUACCACAGCAAUCAUUGAAAAUCAAAAGAACACAUUCUAGUUAGAAAUAAUAGGUCUGAUAAAGAGCUUAGAAGAAAACUCGGACCGUAACCACAAGUACACAAAUAACUGACCAGGAACAAACACGGCAAACAACAACAGAAAGUGGAGGGAAAAAAACAAAGAGAAAAUCAUUCAGAAAAAAAACCCAAAAUUCUCAAAGUGCUCAAGAUUCCAAAACCUCUUACUAACCUCCAUGGCCAUCAUAGACACCAAAGAAUGAAGAAGAACUAUCCAAAUCCAGCAAAGCAGCAUGCUGAAAAACGCCAAAGAGAGAAGUAAGUACCAGAAGAAGUAUUCAUGCAAGUUACUACCAGUCGAUGAAAGAGGCGUAGUUUAGCAAAAAUGCCUUCUUACUAAGGUACCAGUAACAUUAGACACUAAAAACGCAUGCACAAUAGAAAACAUCACAAAUUACAUGCACUGCAGAAAACAACACAAAAUUAUGUCUAUGGAAGUUAAUUAGAAGUGGCUACAGAAGCUAUAAUAAUUGUUAAACCCACUUCACUAAGGUUCUAACUUGUGCACAAGGAAGAUAGUUGCCAAGCUCGACAGGGAGAGAGUAAGAAAUAUCAGGAGGACAUCUGAAUCACAGAGACUGACACCAGAAAAAUAAAAUAAAAAGCACUGAGAUCUGACUUGAAUAAACAAUAUCCCAGUAUGUGGGACAGAAGAAGGAUAUGAUCAAAUAAAUGAUGCCUAGAAUGUUGCCAGUAGUGGAUAAGAAUCAAAAUGAGAGUGACAAAUCAAAAGGAGAGGAAAAAACAAACCUUGCCUAACAGAUAAUCGUAGGCAUAGAUAACUCAACAAGCUUUCUCCAAUUCCUCUAAGUAACAGUUAAGCAUCUUGAAACAAUCACAUUGCAGGAUGAAUUUAAAACACAACUAACCGCAUCUUCCAUGGUUGCACGCCAUCCUUGCAUGGAUGAUAACCCAUAUCUGAGCUUAUCGUUUUCUCCAUCCUCUGAGAAUUUCUCGGUUUUGGGAGAACUGAGGUAUACACCCAUCUCGGCUCAAGACCAACUGAGAAUGAUCCAUAAACGCAAGUAAAGCGUAUAAAAACUAAGCCACGAAAAAUUAAGAUCAUGCAUUUUGCUUCUAAGAAAGAUCAGAGAGCAUAUAUAAAAACAACCCUUUUACAGAUCUUUACCAUAUUUCCAAAGCAAUAAGAGAAAUUGGCCGAAUGACACCAACCAAACUUCAUUUUAUUUCCACGACACAGAAGCAGAAUUGAAAAUCAAUCUGGAUUAGCCAAUCCAAAUUUCCAUAAUAAAAAUAAAAAAAAUUAAAUCCAGAUGCUAAUUUGAAACUAACUAAUAAUAAAACAUAAAGAGAUUAAAAAAGAAGCACUCGAAUUUGUUUGUACAUACGAUGAUCAUUCACCUGACCAAGAGAAGUAGCAACAAACGGUCCAGUAAGUAGGUGCCAACCUGUAACAGAAAAUCUCGCUACAGUUGAUCGAAAACAGGGGAUCAGAAGGAGGGGGGAAAUGCUCCACGGAUUUCAAGAGAAACAAUGGAACCGAUUGCGGAAAAGGGCACACAGAUAGAUACAGCGAGGCGUAGAGGAACUCAGGAAGUGGGCGGAAAGGAUAUAAACAAAAGAAAGAAGACAACUUUAGGAAGACUGGGGGGGGGUUUAUUAAUCUUAUUGAUUGGAAGACAGACAGAUAGACUUGGAAAUUACGUCUACGUUGAUUUCUUUCGCCUUUUCGAGAGUUUGGAGCUCUUUCACCAGGACAGGGCCGACAUCCAGUCGGUUUUGGAAAUGAGGUUGGUGAGAUGAGCAAUAAAUUAAAUCUUCAGUUGUCAAAUAAUUUGAGUAGUUAGCCGGUAUCCGAAGGAGGAAUCGAUAUAGAGGAUCAACAAAUAAUUUAUUUCAAGAGAAAUUUAUUUAUAUUCGCUGAAAAUUACACCACUUUGAAGACUUUAUCACAUCGUAUAGAUUUUGGGUCGAGAUUAUUGGGGUGGUUUUGAUACGUGAUCAGUCUGUUAAUAUUGAUUUAUUUAUCAAGACGGUGGUGGAUGUCUCUUGCCUGUCUCCGCUACCCGAGUAGGUUGCUCACCGAUGAGGGGUUGGAUACACUUGGAUGCUUGAUAUGAUAAUGAUGUGCUUGGAUUAUGGUGUUUUCAACCUAGAUUGUGUCAUGACUUAAUUUAGGUCAAAUCAAUACUCUCAUUUACAUGACUUUACUUAAGAUUGUGUUAGUUGUUAAUCCAAGAUUGAAUUAAGGUAUGUGUGGACCAAGUCACAUCCCAAUUCAACUUUUAGUGUGCAGAUUUUCUUAGUGACAUUUCAUCGAACACUUAGAACGCAUUCUGGUAAUCACUUAGGUAGUGCCAACUUGAGUGAUUGGGAUGUUUGGGGGUGUCAUAAGGUGACUAGCACCCCUUGCUUGGUGUUUGUGAUGUCAUUAAGUCUUUCUUAGCACCUCGGUAUUUUGUCGAACACCUUGUGUUCACUACCAAUUGGCUUGAUCACUUGCCAAUUGGUAAUGUAGUCCAUUACAAGACCUUGUUUUGGAAUUCUACGAAUGCUUAGAGGAGAAUCAAUGUCAUAGUCGGUUUCCAUUAUGUCCAACUCUUCUUGUGAAUGGUAUUUGAGCAUCGACCUGUCUCGAAACCUAGCAACAUCUUUUUUUAGUGGUUGACCAUUGCUUUCCUUUUGCUCAUCUAGUUAGUGUAGGUAGUUUGUAGUAUCUUUUUAGUUUUUUUGUAGUGAUAGACCAUCUCCUUUGUUUGAGGAACUAGACCGUGAAACCUAGGUUGAGUAAAGUCUAACGAAGGGACCUCGAGUACAAAAUGACCCCGAUACUUCUCGGGAUUCAUGUGGUCCUCAUUUUUUAUCGAUCAAAUUGGCGUCGUUGCCGGGAACACGGUGUGCAGCCAUCCUCCCAAGCGGAAGGAAAUCACCUUCUGAGAGGUGGAAGUGUACUUGCCAAUCUCGAGUGUGCAGUAGAACUCACGAACCGCAUGAGGCAACAUCAUCUCUAGUCUAGCAACAACACAAACUAGCUUAUCAUGGCAAAACUCAAAGGAGAAAGAGAGGUUACAAACAUGACAUCUAGGUAGAAGGCUUGACGGUGAUGCUUUCUUGAUCCUCAAUCUUGACUCCAAGCUCCACUCAAUCCAACCUUAACUCCGAGGCCUUCAAUUGCUCCUCAAUCUACUCAUCUAGGGCUUCUAAUUUGGGGAAAACUUGAAAGAGAAAUCGGAUCUAUACAAUUGUUAUGACUGUAGUGUGAAUUCUCUUUCUCUAUUCCAAAAAUACCCUUAAAUACUCAUGUUUGUAGGGUCCACACGUCGUGUGAUCCCACAUGGCUCCACACGUCGUGUGGCCUCAUUUCCAGCCAGGGACUUCGUUCUUCGAUCGCGUGUAUCUCCUUCGUCCAACCUUCGAUUGAGCUCUGGUUGGUCCCUUUGGAAUUGUCUCGUCGUCCUCUAUCCAUCAGCUACCUGCAAGCUCAAUGAAACAAUGAGAAAGCAAGUCGAACGGACCGAAAUCGUCGGUUCGAGAAAACGAAAAACAAAAUCCUUAUCUCUUCCAACCAAUCACACAAGGGAGUAAAAACUCGGUCAAGAUGGGGUCAAACCUGCUACGAAUAAUCGUGCUAUCACUCACAAUUCUGAUGAGUUUGUUAUUUUUUAGACUGGAUGAGCAGCUGCAGGAGGCUUGUUCCGUGAUGUUGAUGGUCAUUACUUGGCAGCUUUAUAGCAUAAACUGAGGAUUUGUUCGAUUACCAGGGCUGAAUUGAGAGCUGUCGUGAUAGGUUUGCAGAUGGUUUGUGAGAGAGGAUAUCGGAAGGUACAAGCGUCGUUGGAUUCACAAGCUGCGAUUUAGCUUCUGUUGGGAACGGUGAACUCGCACACCAACAUUUUCAGACGUCGCCAGUUUCCUUGAGAUGUUGGGUCGAGACUGGCCUAUCAAAGUUGAGCAUAUCUAUCGGGAAGGUGGCCGACCCGCUAACUAUUUAGUUGGCCUUAUCAUAGUUUAGCACUUGCCGUUCAUCAUAUCUUUAUCAAUGAUCCUACUUUAAUUUUUUCACUCAAAUAAUCACUUCAUUUUUGUCAAAUCAUCCUCCAAAUCACUUAUGACCCAUUCAGUGAUUUCGAAUCACCUGCCAUCACUCAAUUUUCAUAUCUAAACAUGCUCAUCUCAGCCAAAUCAUCUAGACCCAUCAAGUCAACUUCCAAAUUUUCAUAUCUAAACAUACCAACUCAGCCAAAUCAUCUAGACCCAUCAACUCAACUUCCAAAUUUCAAAAUGAACUCCUAACUUAAUUAGCAUCCUUGUUCACAACAACACCAUUUUGAAUCCACCUAUUUAACCUAGGAAGCUGCGAAGAAUUAACGGUUUACAAAAAGAUAGCCAGUUAUAGUUCAAGCUUGUUAAUUUCUUGUGUGAUUCUAUGAACCGUGAUUUCGGACCUCUACGAAUCUUACCGCUUCGAGUUUGAUAUUCAAAUGUACGUUUUUUGUGAUCCGAAUUAAAAGAAGGAGAAGAAGUAACUGGAAGCUAGUUAGAUGUCAAAUCCUAUAUAGACUCUGCUUCCUUGUUUUAGAAAGAAACAAAGAUGAAGUGGAGCAUGUACCACGUGUAACAUUGCAUUCCACGACGUGAACCAGUCCAGAAGAACAAAUGACAAAUCUCUUCCCGUUUCGGUUCCCCACUUCCUGUUCUCUGGAAGUCUCGAAAUGCCGAUAGAAGAAGACGUUUGUAUAUAACAUAUCAAAGAACCGACAUUUUCUGUAUUUACUUCCGAACACAACACAAGAGGAGGAAUUUACCAAAGAAAGGAGCUUCUGAGUUCUGCGAUCAGACACGGCGAAUAUGGCUUCUUCUUUGCCGUUCGCUACAGCUUUCACUUCACCUUUGCACAACAUUUCAGAAAUGGCAAGGUCUUGUUCUCCAUGGCAGUCGUUAGGUGUUUCUAGUGGAUCAAUUAGGUUAUCUCUACUCGGGUCUUCUAGAUCCGGGUUUCUGCAACAAGGGUUCUCGUUGCAGUCCCAGAAUUUAGCUGGGUUUGUUGCAAAGUCUCGAUCUUUUGGUGUUUUCGCCCGCGCCUCCACCGAAAAAUCCAUUCAUGACUUUACUGUCAAGGUACGUUUUAGGCAAUGGAUGAGGCACUGCUUCAGUGUGCGAACGCCUACCUUUUUGCAGUUCAAUUGAGGGCUUCUGUGGGGUUUUCUGUUGGUUUUAGAAUGAACUUAGACUGGGUGAGUAAGUAUGAUCCCUGUUGCUGUUAUUACUGUUCGAAAGGAAGAUUCUUGAACUUAUCCAAGCUGUGUAGUGAUGUAAACGGGUAACUCAGUUUCAGCUUAUUUAUGUAUGCAACUGAAACUGAUAAAGUGUUGCCAUUUUGGUGUGCCAGGAUAUUGAUGGUACCGAUGUGGCUCUUAGCAAAUUCAAGGGAAAAGUUCUUUUGAUUGUCAAUGUAGCCUCCAGAUGGUAUUAAUUUCCUGAGUAAUCCAUACUUUAUCCAGCUAAGAAUUAUCAUUUUAUUAUUGUUUGAUUGCAGUGGUUUGACAUCAUCCAACUAUUCAGAACUGUCCCAGAUUUAUGACAAGUACAAGACCCAGGGUAAGAAAACCCCCACAUAAACAAACUCUUGUAUUCAAAAAAUUCAUGCUCUGUACUGUUUCAUUGCAGGACUUGAAAUACUAGCAUUCCCUUGCAAUCAGUUUGGAGGCCAAGAACCAGGAUCGAAUCCAGAGAUCAAGAAUUUCGCAUGUAGCAGAUUCAAAGCUGAAUUUCCUAUAUUUGAUAAGGUAAUUAAUCCACCUGGGUUCUCAUCCUUUUUCUGUGUUGCUAUCAUAUCAUGUCGCAAGCGGAGGAUGAACAUUUCAGAAUUUGUGACUGUAGGUUGACGUGAAUGGACCAAACACAGCCCCAGUUUACCAGUUUUUGAAGUCCAACGGUGGUGGGAUUUUAGGGGAUUUGAUCAAGUGGAAUUUUGAGAAGUUCUUGGUGGACAAGAACGGUAAGGUUGUCCAACGGUAUCCACCAACAACAUCACCUCUCCAAAUUGAGGUAUAGCUACGACUCAGUGGCAAAUUGCUUAGUUCUUGGCGCAUUUCAAUAUGAUACUCUUUUCUUACUCAUUUUAUGGCUCUCAAAACUUGAAAUCAGAAUCAGUCAGCUGGUUAAAAGAUAUGCCUUCCUGAAAGUUUGGAUCUUUGUGUUGCAGAAGGAUAUUCAGAAACUGCUGGCGGCUUAAAUAACUCAACAACAAUAGCAUGGCUGGCGCUCUGUGUGUUUGUAUGUGUAUAAUCAAUCCUUUUUGGUACUCACAGAAAUAAGGGCUAUGAUUUAGAAGGUGAAUGGAGGAUUGUGUGUAUCCCUCAUAGAAUCAUGUUAUUCUUAAAUGGCUGUGUUCUUUUGUCCAGAUUGUUAUUAUAGAUGUAUGUUCUUCUUGCUUCAUAAACUUGUGAGGAUGAAUUAAAAUAGCUAAUCUAUCAGAGUAUAUAUACUUUUAUCCGAAUAUAUGGAUACUCGCCUCUAGCUGAUCGGAAUUCAAAUUUAUCAUCUGCAUUGAGUUGUUGGUCCAGAACUUUUAUCGAUUUUGAUCAGGUUAACUGAUCAUCUCAACUCAAAUUUGUGAAGGCCUAGUCUAGUCUAUUGAGCCCAGCUCUAUCGUUGCUCGUCGGUAGAAAAGCUCCAGUUCUUUUUUUUUUAUGGUAAUCUGCACGAAGCUAAUAUUAAGCAGAAACAAUCGUUACAUCACAGAUUGAUAGCCCUCCAGAGCAAUGGGCUGAAACCAUCUCCACUCCUCAUCGAUACCAUUUAAAUUCAACCGUUUGAUGCAUCUUUUCGUUAAUCUCACAAGAAUUGGAGAAACUGCAUACGUAUUUCUUCACAAUCAAUGUCUGAUGCUGUUUGUUCCAUCCUUAUUCAAAUUUUUUCCAGACAAAGCAAACAUAACAGUACAGGAUAAACGAAAAAUAUAUAUAACAUCGGUAUCCAUAUGUAAAGUGCACCGGAUUUAGACACGGUUCUUGCAAGUCACUACCACACGACGAUAACAAACUGUGUUACUCCACAAGGACAAAUAAAAUAGUGAAGAUGGGAAUGGGGGCAUUUUGAGAAUUAAACUCAAGACCUCUCGCAUUAUAAACAAGAGCCAUACCACUAGACCAAAUGGCAUGUUCUAUCCUUAUUCAAGCCUUGUAUGGAAUUGGGACAAGACGCAGAGCAUAUUUUCUCUUGAGCGCCACUCCAAACACUUCAGUCAUAUCAAGAUUCUCUUGUUUGGUCUCGUCAGGAAGUUUCCAGUCGAAAUGAAAGAACAAAUUGGCUAAAGUUAGUUUCACGAUCGAAACUCCAAACGAAACACCAGGGCACAUCCUUCGUCCGGCACCAAACGGAAUGAAGUGAUGGUAAUUUCCCUUGUAAUCUGCUGAGCAAUCUGUGAAUCUUUCAGGAUAAAACCUGUGAGGAUCGGCCCAAUGGCGAGCAUUUCGAUUGAUCGCCCAAGCAUUCACGAUGACUUGGGUUUUCAUGGGUAUAUCGUAGCCGUUGAGCUCUGCCUUGUCGUCAUUCUCUCUUGGGACAAGUAGAGGCAAUGGAGGGUGUAAUCUUAAACUUUCAGAGAUGAUCAUGUCCAAGUAGUUCAGUUUGUGAAGACUUGCCUCCUCAACCCUUGAGGUGUCGCUGAACACCUUCCGUACUUCUUCUUGUGCUUUUUGUAAAACUCUAGCAUCUUUGAGCACUUCGGACAUAGUCCACUCUAUUGCUGUUGAUGAGGUCUCAAUUCCUCCAAGAAACAAUUCCUAUAAAUUAACCCAAUGAGUUUAAACUGUAAGGAGUGUAAUUACGUCACUACUAUUGUAAUAUUUUUUAUUAACUUCAACAUUUUUCUUAAUAAAGUUCAAUUAUUUAAUACCCACGAGGGUAAAUUUAAUAAUAAGGGAAAAAUUGUUUAUAUUUUUAUUCUUUUUAUUAAAAAUGAUUUCAUAUGUAAUGUUUUCUACAAAUUAAAUCUUAACGUGGAUAUCUCUGUAUUGUCGAUUUAUUUUGACUAACUUAAACAUUUAUCUCGUCUAGUUUAACAAUAUUUAUUUCUUUUUUAUAAAAAAUAAUAUUUAUUUAUUAGUUAGAACAGUCUGACCCCAAUACAUUAACGAACUUAUCCCGACUAAACCAUGAAGUCAUGAACCCUUAAUUUCACUUUUUCGAUGCGAUCCUGAAAAUUAAGAAGAAGAAAAAUCAAGAUAGAGUAACUUACCAAAGUGACGGCUUUGAUAACUUCUUUUGUUAUGGAAACUCCAAGGUUUUGGUUUUCCUGAAGAUUCAAGAGGACAUCUACAAGGUCAUCCUUUUCGGCAUCAUCUUUGUCCUUUCUCGCGCUACUCCUUUUUGAUAUAUGUUCCUCGAUUACGCGGUCAAGAAUGGAACCGGAUGCUCUGUGCAUCUCUUCAAGUGUUGCCUUGAAGCCAGUGAAGCUAGCAAGGAAUUUGAGGGAAGGAUAGAGAUCCGAUAUUUUGAAACCUGCAAGUACAUCAGAAAUGUUGUCGACAACCAUCAUGAAAGCAUCGUUCAGCUCUUGCGCUUUGCCGAAUGUUGCCCUGGAUGUCACGCAACUCGUCAGCUUGGUCACCAUGGCAGUUAAAUUCACAGGCUUAUGGGCGCUACUAGAGAUAUUGUCCACGAGCUUCGACACCUCGUCCUCCCUGAUUGGACGGAAGGAAAGAACGCGCUUGGUGCUUAGUAGUUCGAGCACGCAGACCUUACGCAUCUGUCUCCAGUACUCUCCGUAAGGCGAGAAUGCUAUGUCCUUGGUACCGUCGUAGAGGAUAUGCGGGGCCAGCAUAAAGGGUCUCGAAGCGAACGCUAAGUCGUGAGUUUUCAUCACCUGUAUGUUAGAAACUGAACAUAAAUAGAUUAGAAAACCCGGAAUUUCAUAUUGAAAACCGGUUUACUACUACCUUGGCUACACAUGGUUCACUUUUGAGACUUAUUUACUUUUUACAGACUAUUCAUAUUUUCUCGGACAUGACCUGUUUGGCAGCUUCGGGUGAGGAAAUGACGAUGUGAAGCAACUCUCCCAACUGCAACUGCAUCACGUCGGGGCCGUAUUUCUGUGCCAAGUCGUGGAGUCUUCGGUGAGGUUGUUGGUCCCCGGCUAGCUGGUGGAGGUUGCCUAUUAUAGGGAGCUUCCAUGGGCCUGGAGGCAGAUUUUUCGAAGCGGCGGCUUUGGAAUGACUGAAGAAGAUGAUUGUAAGGAGAAUUGCUGUCAACGUGACAAGGAAGAAUAGUGAGGAGAAAUCAUUGAAUAAGGGGAUGAACUUAUGGUGGAGACUUUCCAUGGUGAAAACUGGAGCUGAAUUUGGGAUAACACAGAGCAUAAGCUAGCUAGCUAAUAGCUAUAUAUUUUAUAAUUGGCAAAAGGCUUAAUGAAUUAUUUCGUUUCCACACAAAUUAAAGUCAUCACUCACUCUUGACAAAUUGAUAUUUUGCUUUUAUUUUAUUUACCUUGUCAUUUUCUUGUUUUAGGUGGACGACAGCUAAUAAUAUCAAAUUUUCCUGUUUGAUGAGGGAGCUGUUCAGAAUUCAGGAUUGCUCGGGUUCCAGAAUCUUCAUAUCGUUUUUGGAUUGUUAGAUCUGAUGAUAUUUACAUCUAUCCACUUAAGUUUUUUUUUUGUCUAAAGAAACACACUGUCAUCUCAACGGCGUCCAUGAGUUUUUGUUGACUGACUGUUGACAUUUCCGAUAAAAUUUUGGUGGCCAGUCGAUGACUUUUUCGGUGAGAUUUCAGUGAUCGAUCGGCGAUUUUUUCGAAAAAAAAUUGUAAUCGAUUAUGUUUAAAAAUUAGUAUGAGUUAUAUUUUUUAAUAACUACAAUAUAAUUGGUAAUGUUUUUGAUAAAUUAGAUUAAAUGAAACCGUGCUUGACUAUGUGGCCCCUCCCAAUCAUUUUUGGAUUUGGAGACGCUUUCUUUAUACCAUCUUCGAUGCAUAAUUUCAAAUUGACAAAAUGUUAAAUUAUAAGGCUAAAACUCCUUUAAUACAUAAAGCUAACGUUUAUUUCCUUUAAUCAGGAUUUCAAUCCUGUGUGGGGUGGGCGGCUCAUGCUUGAAUAUUCUGUUAUUGUUACUGCUGUUUAGGAAACAUUUAGAGCUAGCAGGGACGAAGUUGGUUGGGCGGAUCUUGUUUGGAAAGCCCCGACUAUUUGUAAAUAUUGUUUUAUUAUGUGGUUUGCUAUUUAUGGAAGAUUAAUCACUAGAUCUCAGAUAGCUUCUUGGGGCUUUUUGGUGAAUAUUUUUGUCUGCUUUCCGACGAGAGGAUCAAUAAUAUCGCUCAUAUUUUCCAUGACUAUCAAUUUUGAAGCGACGAAGCGACGUUUAAGACUAUACCAUGCAUUUUAGUUUGUGCGAUGAAGCGACGUUUGUUGUAACCCCUAUCUAUAUCAACGAGUUGUUGGUGUGGUGAUGUCAAGAGUGUAUUUAAAAGGGCAAAAUAAGGUUCAAUCUCCCACAAUAAUAUUGGAAAAGGAGUAACAUAUUAAUCUUAAAAACCAUCCUCAACUGAAUUAGUCGACCAAUGGACGAAUACUAGGUUCAUAAAAAAUGGAGAGCUAUCUAUAGUUUAGUGUGGUAUGAGAGAUGUUGAAGGAAUGAGAGAUUGUAGCAAUACUAGGUUUGUACUGAAUAAUAGAUAGAUCUUUUCUAGUUUUUCUAUCGGUGUACAAUUUUUGUAAUGACACUUCUGAGCUGGAUUUUCGGCUCCUUGCGAAGACAAAAAGAUAGCACACAAAGACCAAAAAACUUAAUCAACCACGGAGUGAGAACUACCGGCAACACUCCAGGGAGAUAUCUAAGGGCCAUGCGAGCUACAUAAUGGACGACCGCGUUACCUGUCCUCGACAGUGCACCUAGAAGCUGGCUGUCAUGAUCGCUCCCCUAAUGACCUUGUUAAAAUGUUCAUCAUUGAUUGUCCCAUAACCGCCUCUACAUUUCCUUCCGUUAGAUAAAUAAUUCACACGAACACACUAAAAACAGGCAUUCUUAAACAAUUAAUAACUAAAAAAGGAAAUCCGUCGGGAAAAAAUAGAAUUAAUUAUUGAGCAAAAUAAAAGAGUUAUUUAUUUUAUGAGAUUAUGAUGAUGUCUCCGGGCCGGAGCCUCUUUGGUCUACCGUUUUACGCCGUACCCUCUUUUCUUUUCCUUCUAAUUUCUCUCCGCCGAAGUCACCGGGCGUAUCAUUCUACUGCCGCUAAAUAUUAGCGCCGCAGCAAACACUUGUAUUUAUAUUUCCUCCCACCUUCACACUCCUCACUGAUUCUACCUCCCCUUCAUCUGCUUCAGCUGCUAGCUGUGCUAUUGCCGCUGCUCGAUUCCUUUAACAAGUGCGAAGAAUUCCCCGUGCGAUUGCGCUCGUCAAAGGUCCAGUUUCGUAUUCUACUUCCUUUCGGGCGACCCGUGUUGUUUCUUCUUCCAUCCUUAGUCUAGGUUUUCUUUUCCAUGUCUUAUUGGACACUGGGUUUGUUCUAGUUUUUUGGUAUACGUGUUGGAUUUCCCUUCGUUUAAUAUGAUAGAUCUGCUCUUGCUAGCUUUUCAUUCUCGGAUUUACUUAUGAUCACAGUUUUGUGUCUGGCUCGUUGCUCCUUAGGUUGUGGAUUACGAUUAAAGCAGAGAUUGCCUUGGUAGUAUUAGGGUUCGUAGCGGCAAUGGUAUUGUGAACUUCCGAUGAGGGAUUUUGUUUAUCUUCCGACUAUUGUACCGAGAAAAUCGAGAAAUUAAUCCAAUGGCUGGUGUUCUUCGUUAAAAGUUUCUUCCUUUUUACGAGCAUUUGAAGAUCAAAUCAGCCCCUGCUGAUUGUACUCUUCUCUGCCCGUGUAAGGGAAUCCUUGAUUAACUCUUUUGACUGGGAAAUGUCUUCAGUGGAAUGCUGAAGCACAAGGCUGCUUAAUGUCUUUAUAAGCAGGAUAUGGUGUACCAGUUCGAUUCAGUCUGGUUUGAACUGGUUGUUUCUGGCCAAUUUUGUCCUCGUAAACUUAUCCGGUUUUUAAGUUUUGUCUACAUGUUUUUUGCUUGUUCUCGGAAGUGUCUGGCUUUUGGAUUAUUUGAGCUCAACGAGUUGCUGGAAAUUUUCUAAUCAGGAGUUGGAUGAGAGAUGAGUUCAUUCUCCAUUACUCGCAAGAAAACCCCCUUUCAGAAACACAGAGAGGAAGAAGAGGCUAGGAAGAAGGUAUUUGCUUAUUGUUUCCCAUUAUCAUUGGCAUGUUUUUUCCUGUUAUCAAGGUGAAAUCCGAGCUGUAUUCCUGAUGGGUUCUUGGGUGUUCUAUCAUUUGUUACUUUGCUUAGAGGGAGAAAGAUGAAGCGGCUCGUGUGUAUGCUGAAUUUUUGGAGUCAUUCCAAGGGGAUACGGCUCCUGGUUCAAAGACUUUUGUCAGAGGUGGAUUGAUCAAUCCCAAUGACAAAGCGAAGGACGAUUCUGAAGGUUCGUCUGAAACAUGUCUUCCCAUUUUGUUUAAUUUUUUUCACUGUUAUGUCAUGUCAAUGCCCCAUUUGACAGUAUGGAUGCAUAAGAUGUUUUUCCUUCUAUUUUGGGACCAAAUUAAUAAAAGUAUGGACCUUUUUAUGCAUUGCCGGAUGACAGGUGAAACGUCCAAAGAUGGGGUAUCUAUUCCAAAGAAGGGAAGUAGGUAAAAAUGAUGCUUUUGACUGAUCAACCAUGUUAAAAUCCUAGUUUUGCAAGGCGUUAUAAAAGAGCUGUGUUCACUGAUGGAAUCUCUACGUUAUCAGUCUUUAGGAUACACAAAAUUAGGAUAAUCGACUUCUGCAACUUUUGUACUUCAUCUAGUCGAGUCUCUGUCUUAGGGUCUUAAUUUUUUAAUGAGGUUUUCUAUGUUGUGAUUUUGUCAGAAGGUUGUCUAGUUAAUCACAAGUUGCCUUCUUUUGUAUGCCAUUGUAAACUUCUGAUGUGGCUGUAUAUAGUAGUAUCAUGGGUGCCUCACUUGAAAUUUUCUCGUGCACUUCCAAGGAUAUAACUGAGUUCUCUGGCAUAACUUAAAAUCUAAGCAUUUAAGAUGUUUACAACCAACCUAGAAGUUGUGUUGACUGAAUAAUUUUGCAUACUGUUGUGUACUAAGCCUUGUGGGGAGUCUAUACUUGUUCUAUGGAUAGAAUUUUAUCCUUCAUAUCACCAUGCAGGUACGUCCCAUCCUUUUUACCCCCUUCCAUGGCAUCCAAAGGAAAGGAAUCUGAGAAGGUCUGUUCUAAAAAUGAUUAUUAGGAUGAUGUGUGAUUCCCUGUUUCUUCUGUACUGGACUCUUAGCCUCUUACUGUGUCAUAUACGUGACAGAGGGUGGAGGAGGAAAGACCAAAGGACAGGGAAAAAGGAAAGAGCAGAAAUAUAGAUCAUUUUAUGGAAGAGCUGAAGCAUGAGCAUGAAUUGAGGGAGAGAAGGAAUCAGGAACGUGAGAGUUGGCGUGAUGGACGUCCUAGUGAGAGUUCUCUUGUAAGUGUUUACCCUUCAUUUACCUAAUCGUAAAAAAUGAUAAAUGUGUAAAUUCUGUACACAGAAUUCUGCAUUGCUCCUACAAUUAUUUGCACUAGUACUAAGGUUGAUAUGUUCCAGUCAUCCAGUCGCUUCGAUGAACUUCCUGAUGAUUUUGAUUCAAGUGGAAGGCUUCCAGGAUCAUUUGAUGAUGGUGAUCCGCAAACUACCAAUCUUUAUGUGGGAAAUCUUUCACCUCAGGUAACUUUUUUCUUUUGCAGAAUUUGGUUGGUUCAAUAUCAUUAAAAUGCUUGCUGUCCAUAUAUACUAAUUCCUGGCGAGUUAUUUAAAUGUAGGUUGAUGAGAAUUUUCUUUUGCGCACUUUUGGGAGAUUUGGGCCUGUCGCUAGUGUAAAGAUAAUGUGGCCUAGAACAGAUGAAGAGCGGAGGAGAGAAAGAAAUUGUGGAUUUGUAGCAUUUAUGAACAGAGCUGAGGCUCAAGCAGCAAAAGAUGAAAUGCAAGGUUUGGUUUUUUUUCUUCUCAAUGGAGUCUGUUAGUGAUCUGCUUAAUGUCACCGAUGACUUAUGGGUCCAUAAUCUUUGGGCCGAGGUUUAAAUAUUGUACUGCUUUGUCUUUCAGAAAAUGAAGCAAAUUCUAAACUUUGCCACAAAUUGAAUGUGUAUUUUUGGUGUGGUAGAGGGCAAUGGUUUUCCGCUAGUAAGUGGGAUUUAUGUGUUGUAGAUUAAUUUGUUCUUCAGUCAUUGUGCCAUUGUGUGUAAUCCACAGGUUGGGGACACAUUGUCUGAAUGUUGUGUAGUUUGACUUGUUAUCUUUGACUGCUGAAAACAAUUUCCCAAGUCUUAAUGUUAUAUGUUGUAUGUUUAUCUUUUUUUCUACUUGUUAUAUUUUGUAAUGGUAGAUAUCAUGUGCUUUGGUUUUGAUGAGUAUUUCAAAGGUUAAAAGGGGAGGUUGAUGUAAUAUAUGAAUUUUCUCAUGGAUGUGCAGGAGUGGUUGUUUACGAGUAUGAGUUGAAAAUUGGAUGGGGCAAAUCUGUGGCUCUUCCUUCUCAAGCUCUGCCUGCUCCUCCUCCGGGUCAGAUGGCCAUCAGGAGCAAGGAGGUCUGUUGCGUUAUCUUGUUGAAUUAUUAAGUUAUAUGGUGCUUUCAAUUUGAAUAACUAAACUUCGCUCUUUUAUAUUACGUGUGUGAGAAGCUCUUGACUUCUUUGGACAAUGUGUGCAUUACAGCUGUUUCAAAUCGUGAAUUUCUUUUGUAAAUGGUGGUUUACUUGUUUUUAUUUUAUCUGGAAGAAGCUUGUCCUGGCUUUGCGUGCCUGGGUAGGGGUUGGUUGGUUGUUAAAGGAUUUACUGUUCUUUUUUUAAUAUGAUUUAAUUCUGAUUAGACACUCACUCUAUUUUAUAGGGUGCCACUGUCAUACUCUCCGGUCCAUCAGGUCCACCCGUUACCUCUAUUCCAAGUCAGAACUCUGAACUGGUAAGUUUGCUAACUUCACUCUUACACAAAAAAAAUUGCUUGGUUCUUUGGAUCUCAUAACCAAACCGUAACGGAGAUCUGGUAGAAAUUUUAUCAUCCAGUAUUAUGGUGGUGUAGGUUACUUUGGUUUAAAAUGAAGGUUGACCCGCAUUUUAAUUUACAAUGAUACGAGGGUGAAUCAUAUCUAACAGAGGAUGCUAUCUAAUAGGGUUUGUUGAUGAGUACCGUGGUCUUUUCCCAUUUGUAGAUCCAACUUUUGUUAUUAAGCAGGGGCCUAUGCACCUUCGGAUGGAUUUACUUUUCCUAGUGCCACAUGCUCUAGCUUUGAUUUGAACGAAAUAUUUGAAUCAAAUGCCCCUGCUGUUUAUAUGUUUUCUGUUUGGUUGUAAUUUAAAUUUGUUUUGAGUUUCAUAAACUACUUGCAAGAUAUUAAGAUUUUUGUUUCACAAUCUCGUUAUGGUGUGCAGGUUCUUACUCCAAAUGUUCCUGAUAUAAAGGUUGUUCCACCUGAUGAUGUUCAUCUUCACCAUGUGAUUGAUACAAUGGCUCUAUAUGUGCUUGAUGGAGGAUGUGCUUUUGAGCAAGCAAUCAUGGAAAGGGGCCGUGGGAAUUCUAUUUUUAACUUCCUCUUCGAGCUUGGCUCGAAGGAGCAUACAUACUACGUCUGGAGGGUCUAUUCAUUUGCACAGGUAAAAUGCUCCUAGAAAUGUUGGGAGAUGUCACAUCAGAAUGAGAUUAGGUGGCAUAAGAAUGUCUUGGUGGGGUAAUUAUUUGCUUUAAUAAUACCAAGAGAUAUUGCGCAAAAGGCAAUCUUAUGGUGUCUUACUGUUUGGGUCCAGGGUGAUACUCUUCAAAGAUGGAGAACAGAACCCUUUAUCAUGAUAACUGGCAGUGGGAGGUAUUAUUUUAUGCAACCAAUUAUACAGUUGCCUCUCAAAGUCUGUUUAGAUGCUUUUAAAUUUUACAUAUGACGAAUACUUUCUUUGACCUCUAUCUAUUUAGAUGGAUACCGCCACCUUUGCCAGCUGUAAAAUGUUCGGAGCAUGAAAAGGAUGCUGGUACUACUUAUGCCGCCGGGAAAAGCAGGGUAUUCAUACAUUCUUCCUGUGAUGGGUGGUUGAAUUUGUGUGGGUGGGGGCGAUUUAUUUCUAACAAUUUUUAAAAUUGUGCAGCGGCUCGACCCAGAACGAACACUGACAGAUCCACAGAGGGAUCAAUUUGAGGAUAUGCUGCGUGCACUGACAUUAGAAAGAAGUCAGAUAAAGGAUGCCAUGGGUUUUGCAUUGGACAAUGCUGAUGCAGCUGGAGAGGUACUUAUUUCAUACAUGAAGACUUUGUAACUUCCCUCAAAAUCAUUAUCCGCCGGUGCAUCAUUGAUUCAUUAGGAAAUGUGAUGAAAAUAUAUUUUCUAAGAACCAGAAAGAUCCUGAAUCAUCUGCAGUCUGCUGUUCUGAUGCUUUUUGAAGCUUAUUUUCUUAGUGCCUUUCUGCAGAUAGUGGAGGUCCUGACAGAAUCACUGACCCUGAAGGAAACUCCUAUUCCAACAAAAGUUGCAAGGCUCAUGCUUGUAUCUGAUGUCCUUCACAAUAGUAGUGCGCCUGUAAAGAAUGCUUCUGCAUACCGGACCAAGUUUGAAGCUACUCUACCUGAUAUAAUGGAGAGCUUUAAUGACUUGUACUGCAGCAUAACUGGGAGAAUGACGGCUGAGGCCCUCAAGGUCGGUUGAGGUGACACUACUGCUCUCUCGCCCUGGUUGUCCUUCAGUGCUUUAACUUGCUUCUUGUUUUUCUUGGUUGUUUUGUUCAUCUUCAGGAGCGAGUUCUUAAAGUUCUACAAGUAUGGUCGGAUUGGUUCCUGUUCUCAGAUGUAUAUGUCAAUGGCCUUCGGGCAACAUUUCUUCGAUCCAGUAAUUCUGGCGUGGUCCCAUUUCAUUCUUUGUGCGGUGAUGCUCCUGAAAUGGAGAAGAUUGGUUCAGAAGAAGCUGGUAAUGGAGUGAAGACCGACCAGGAUGCUGCACUGGCAAUGGGGAAAGGAGCAGCAACAAAGGAGUUGAUGAGCCUUCCCCUCGCUGAGCUGGAAAGGCGUUGCAGACAUACCGGGUUGUCUCUUGUUGGUGGUAGAGAAAUGAUGGUUGCACGAUUACUCAGCCUGGAAGAGGCAGAAAAGCAGAGGGGUCACGAGUUAGAUGACGACUUAAAAUUUUCUCAAAGCCAGUCAACCUCUGGUAGACUUAUGAGUGGUUACAAAGAAACUGGUGUCGACCCCAUGGGAUUCUCUGGGCGGGAUAGUUCUAGGAUGGAUGACCUGCAGAUAAAAGGCACUGGCACUGAACCCUUUGCUUCAACCCUUAAAAUUCCUCAACCUGCGUUAAAACCCUUCACAUAUAAGACAGAUACUGUUUUACGAUCCUCGAAAUGGGCUAGAGAUGAUGCUGAUAGUGACGAUGAACAAAAGAGAAACACUGGCGGUAUAGGGUUGAGUUAUUCAUCUUCUGGAAGUGAAAAUGCUGUUGAUGAUCCAGGCAAGGCAGAUGAAGAUGAGUUUGCUAGGAAUGUAGCUGUUUCGGCACUACCAGAUAGCAGGAUAAAUGAAGAGCAGAGGUAUCAAAGUGCCGUUAUGAUUUCUAGAUAUGUUCUGUACUUCUGUUUCCAAUAUCUUGCUUUCUUUCAGCUUAUAGCUGUGAUUAAGUUUUCAGCACUAUAUCUUAUGCUAGGUUCAGUCAUAGUACUCUACACUUAAUUAUCAUCUGCAUUUGCUCGUUUCUAUUUGCUAUUGCAGACAGAAGUUGAGGCGGUUGGAGGUUGCUUUGAUAGAAUAUCGUGAAUCCCUGGAGGAAAGAGGAAUAAAAAGUUCAGAGGAAAUUGAGAGAAAGGUAACAAUCCAACGGAAAAGGCUGGAAGGUGAAUAUGGUCUCUUGAAUUCAAAUGAAGACACAGCAGAAAACAACAGUAAGUUUCUGUUUGACUUGUGAGGAAUUGAGAGGAUCUUUUUCCUUGUGCAAAGAUUUUAAUCACUUAAACUGUUAAACUUGGUACUGUCUUGACAGAAAGAGCUUCUUGGGAAAGGAAGGAGAGCAGUAACCAAGAAUCAUCAAGAAAGCGGCCGAGGACCCAGCAGAGUGGAACUGACAGUCCUCGUCAGAGACCUUCAGCAAGUGAUAGGGAUAGAGGUCAUGAGAUGGAGAAUGAAGCACGAAUUCGGCGUAGAAGUAAAGAAGAUAAUUAUGACAGAGAUAGAAACAGAGACAGGGAUAGAGAUGCUGAAAGGCGGAGGCGACUCAAGUAGUGAUGCUGCGGCCAAAUGUUCGGAUUAUUGCAUGUAACUGAAUAGAAAAUCAAAGUCUGCUUUGUCUGUGUAUUGUUCUUUCAUCAAUGUUAAUUUAGAUAAUUCGAUCUUAUACAAUUGUCUUCUUUAUGUCUGUCAUUUACAAUUUUACAAAAUUCAUCACGAUUCUGGGCUACUAACCAGCAGUAAAUGCUUUCCAAACAAUUCCUGCACCACGUUAACUUUGCUCAGUAACAGUAAGACCUCACUAGCCUGGAUUGGUUAACGCUGUCAACUAGUGUAGCUAUGGAAAUUUGGAUCACCCGAAUUUCAAUCCUAACUUCUCGUUGGGGAAUGGAAGGGGAAGUGAGAAAUUAAUUUGGUUGACCAAGGCUAUAAUCGACUCCUUACUCCACAAGACAAUGAAUUUGAUUUAGGCCGAAGUGGUAUUGGAUUUGAUUAGGAGCCAACCCCAUCCUAUUGUGGAUCUAGACAAUGUUAUAAUAAGCAUUGGAAAAAAAAACAAGUGUCCUAUGCAGGGGAUUGUCCCUGGAGCAGGACCGAAGUUUCACCAGCUGCACGUCCUGGGCAAGCCUGUCCCUAGAGCAGGACAGAGUUUUACCGGACCAGGACUGUCCGAAGAAUGGCACAUCAACUCAGUAACAGAAAAACCGACACUUGGUCUUUGUCUCUGUACGCUAUGACACUUGGUUGACCCUGCAAAAGAAAAGCGACAUAACACAAACUGAGUUUCCCUCAACGGUAACUUUGUGGCAGUUCAUGCACCACUACUAAGUGAAGAAUGCACCUCAGCAUAAGCUUCCCAAACUUUGUCAUCUGCAACUAACAUUUCUCGGCUCUCAUCCCAGGUAAACUCAUUGCAACUGAGAAGACCGCUGAUGUCAUUACACUCUCUCAUCAGUUCCAUACAUCGAGUUUCUAAAAUGCUUUUGUCCAACAAAUGGCUGAAUCUGUCGUUGAAUGACUCGACCAUUUGAGCCCAUGCUAGCUCAUUGCAGCUGUUACAAUACUUAAGGCCUUGAUGCAACGCCUCCAACAUCAGGUCAAUGAAAUAACGAUCCAUUUCUGGUUGCCACUCUACUCCACAAGGACCAUCAUCAUCCUUGCCUGCAGCAUUAAAUCAUAUCAAUAGAAACAUUCAGAAAUUACCUAGGGAGUUUUUUUCCACUGUUGUCAAACUGCAAUUCAUCAUUUUCAAACAUUAAACAGAUACAGAGAUCUGAUAUCUACGCCACACACCAUUCAUUCACGCAUAGCAACAGAUGAAGCAUGGAAAUGACACGAGGCAUCGACCCAUUCAAAAUCAUUAGUUACCAGUCAUUGGAAGAGGUGCGUCACUGCAAUCAUCGGUGGCUGCAUUCUGAGCCAAACGGCUGUAUCUUCCAUCAAAAUUUUCCUGCUUGAAUAUGAUUUAUUUAUAUAUGAUAUUCAACAAUAUUAUUGAAUCUACUAACGAGCUAUAUACUCGAGGUAGUAUUUGAUUUGGCUUUCGAGCGAGUUUACGAGCCUAUCGAGUCGAACAUGUCUUAACUCAAUCUCGACUCAUUUAAAAUCGAGCUGAGUUACAAACAAAGUUUAUUCGAGUUAUAUACCAAGCUGCUCGCGACCGACCUAGCUCGCCAAGAGCGUGUACUCAAAGUUUACUCGUACACAUUUUUAUCGACGGUACACGUUUCAUGUUUGUACAUGAGUGCAUGAUGUAUACAUAUUUUUGUAUUCGUGUAGAGACGCUCUAUAUACAUGUAAUCAUAGACACACUCGUAAUCAUUUUUAUACGUACUUGUUUUCAUACAUUAGUACGUAGAAAAAUGCAACAUGGCCACAUCAGCCUACUGGUGUCGCGUCACCCUCAUCACUGUUCGCUCAACUUCUUCUUCCUCUUAACACCCUUUCUUCUCCGCCAUCCCAUUAUACAAAAGUCCAAGCUUCAAUUACUGAUCUCUAACGUCGCAGGUAAUUAAACUUUCCUUUUCCCCUCCAUUAAUAUAUGUGGUUGUUAUCCCUACAACUAUAAGAUAUCUCUAUCAGUGACGCAACAGUUGUUUCUCCUUUGGUGUUGUUUGCUACUUGUUGUUGUCCACCAAUUGUUCGUUAUAUUUCCUGAACCAACCAUGGAGUCCAACGUCUCCUCACUGACACUGACUCUUUAUUUCUUAUGGGAACAGAGCUUCCUCAGACAAUGGAACCAAACGUUUUCUUAUAGCGCGCGAUUCCAAUUUCACCCCUUGCAAUUCUCGAUUCCCUCUUCCAGCCGUCGUGGUGAUAAACGAAAAUGGGUUGGAGAUACAGAGCUGGAUUGGGACUCAUUGCUAUGGUUGUUUUCAUUUGGGUUGCCUGCGCAGAGAUCACUCAGGUUUCAUCUCUCUCUUUCCUCUUUGUUUGCCCAGAAAGUUAAUCCUAGCUAGUAAAACUGUAUUUUCGACAUUCUUUUUUUUGUAGAGAAUCUUCGACAAGUAUGAACAUCCUUUUGCCCUGACCUACCUUGGAGUGUCACUAAUGCUGCUCCAUCUCCCAAUCGCAUUCUUGAAAGACUGGUUGAGUAGCUUGUUCGGAGGGAUUAAAGACGAGAUUCAGUUACAGAGUCACACUAAUUACUCUAACAACACAUCUUCUUCUUCAGAACCAGAAACUAAUAAGAUUACACGUAGCAUCGGUUUAAAUCACAAGGAUCUUAGUGAGAGGGAAGAAGGAAGGCCUUUGAUUUCUAACGACCAAGUUGUUGGCCAACACGGUAUUGAUCAUCAGUUGCUCAAUAAGCAGAUCGCUCCCCAACUAGGUUCCUCCGAAAUUGCUAAAUGUUGCUUGUAUCUCGCUCCAAUAUGGUUCCUAUCAGAGGUUUGAUGAUCUAUCUCUGCUCAAAGUUUUAGUGAGUUCUUGACUUGAAUGGUUUAUCAUCUUUGAAAGUAUUCUUUUCCUAUAAGCUAACUAGCCAGCGCUACCUUCUUGAAUGUGCUACAGUAUCUAUCAAACUUGGCCCUUGUAUAUACAAGUGUUGCAAGUACGACCGUCAUAAGUUCGACCUCAGGGUUAUUCACCCUUGCAUUUGGUGCAAUUCUUCGUCAGGAGUCGGUCAAUGCUGCUAAGGUGGUUGCUGUUGUUAUUAGCAUGGCUGGUGUUGCCAUGACUACGGUUGGAAAGACUUGGGAAAUUGAUGAAAGGUCGGCCACGCCUCAGUCAGUCAUCAUUCCCUUAGUUGCUUAUAAUAGUACUUCUUGUUAAGAAUUGUUGUAAUCUUUUUAAAUGCACUGGGAUAAGUGAGCUGUAGAUGCACUCCUCACUAACAUGAACCUUCAUGCAUUGUGUAUGAUUUUCAAGGACAAGGAAGCACUGUAUUGACGGCGACAUACUUAGCCUAUUGGCAGCCAUAACAUACGCCUUAUUUACGGGUAAGUUCUAGGAAUAAAUCCAAAAAUCCACACAAAUGCCCGAAUGAAUGCAUGCUCUUUAACAAUGUGAUGCGUUUACAUGCAGUUCUACUCAAGAGAUCCACAGGAACACAAGGGCACAACGUUGAUAUGCAAAACUUCUUGGGAUACAUCGGCCUUUUCACCCUUGUUGGCUUUUGGUGGCUGUGUAAGUAGUUCUAAACCUGCCACAGGUCUUUCAUGCUUAAUUAAACAACAUAAAUGGAGCUGUUAAUUCAUUCUAUGAAGGGGGCUUCAUUUGUUUAUAACUGCAGCGUGGCCUCUCAGUGCAAUAGGAAUAGAGCCCAGAUUUAGCUUUCCGGAUUCAGCAUCAAUUGAUGAGGUUGUGGUGUUGAAUAGCUUCCUAGACAGCUUUUUAGCAGACUACUUCUGGUAAUGUUAACUGGAUGAUUUUCCAAGCAGGACAUGAUUUUAGAUGCUCUUCCAUUGCAAAACGCAAUAUAUAACAAGUCAUUCAAUAGAGAUCAAUCAUAUUUGCAUUGAGAAGUUGAUGACAUGAGGUAGAAUAGCUUCCUAGACAGCUUUUUAGCAGACUACUUCUGGUAAUGUUAACUGGAUGAUUUUCCAAGCAGGACAUGAUUUUAGAUGCUCUUCCAUUGCAAAACGCAAUAUAUAACAAGUCAUUCAAUAGAGAUCAAUCAUAUUUGCAUUGAGGAGUUGAUGACAUGAGGUAGCUCUUCCUUACAAAGCAGGGCUCUUUCUGUGAUAUGGACUACACCAUUGGUGGCCACGCUGGGGACGUCCUUGACAAUUCCUCUGGCUAUGGUGGCUGAUAUGGUGAUUCAUGGUCGUCACUACUCAGCGAUAUACAUCUUCGGCUGUGUCCAAGUAUGUGUCAAACCAGAGCCCAAAAUAUCUCUUCUUUUUUUCUCUGGUCUUUAACAACCAAUAGGUAGAAGUAUCUUCAAUGCCUCCAGAUGAUUAUUCCAUUUCAGCAACGAAAUUGGGUUUUGCAUGCUGCAUUUUCUUUCAGGUAUUUGCAGGUUUCAUUAUAGCCAAUGUUUCAGACAAGUUCUCAGGGGAAGCGGAGUUGUAGCUGCAUGACAUGGCCCAAAAGUAGGACAGAUAGAUGAGUGAAUUGAUCCUGUGAAGUGUAACCAAAGUUGAUGUAGCGUUCUAUCAGAUAGAUUUAUGUAUAUCGGUGCUUGGCUUCUCUCAGCUUGUUGGUGUUAAUCAACAUUGUCACCAUCAUCUUCAGAACCUCCCUAUAAAGUGUAAGAGGAAAAAUGUAAUUAAGGCCACGAUUUCUGCCCCUCAACUUCCAGUUCUUUCCCGAAUUCCGAAAUCCACUGAAAUUCCGAUUCUAAGGCCAAAUCCAUCUGAUUAGGUAAUUUUGUACCAUUCUGAAUCGAAUUUAAUGUUGGGAAGCCUUAAAAUCCGAUAUAAUUAGGGAUGUCACUUUGUGAUUGUGAAAAAAGUAAUUGACGAAAUUGAUCUGACGUCUGUAAUUAACCCCAUAUCUAGCCAAUUCCGCAUUUAAUUAACCCCAUACUCCAGCUGCUGAAGAGCUUAUACAACACUUGAAAGAUGAAAACAAUAAGCUACAUUCAGAAGUUAGCGAGUUGAGAAUUGAAGUUACCUCAAUCAGGUAUGCUUCAAGAUAUUCUGCCAAUAGCUGGUUUCCAAUCAGUGACAUUUGUAUAGCUUCAGAGAUAAAUAGCGUAGAUCUAAGUUUGUAGGUCGGAGAAGGAUGUGGAAUGUGCCGAGUACCAGAAGCGGCUUAUGGAAGAGACUGAAAAGAGUAAGUUACAUUUGAGUCCUUUUAUUAUUCACCCUUUUGUGCAAGAGACCACUUCCUGGGAAGAUCCUCCUUCUAGCUCGGUAGUUCAUUUAAUAUGUUUCUAUAUAAUCCUUGUGCUAGUUAUUUAUUAAAAUGCUUUCUAUUGAAGUAGAGAGGAUUCAGAAACUACUUGAUGAAUCUUGUAGUGUAAAGGAUGGCACCACCAUACAACGAAAAUCAGGUGAAGUAUUGAACAGUUCAACGAGAAGAAAAGCUGGAAAGUCUAAUAAUGCAGGAGGAACGAUUGAGAUCGAUGAGUGUACAGCCACCCCUGCUCCCAACAAGCAACCUCUCAAUCUCCUUAAUGCUGCGCGUCAAAACAACGAUAGAAAUGAUGAAGUUAUGUCACAUGAGGUGUCUAAUGGCUCAAGGAUAAUGACACGAAAGCGCAGCCGAGAACCUAGGACCGAAAAGGAAGAUGGUAUUCGUAUUCAUGGUUCCGCUGGUCCAGCUAAGAAAAGGAUAAAAGAAUCAGCUAGAGAUUCACCCCAAGGUCUCCGGUGGACUUUGCUGUGACGAGCUGGUAUGUUUCAACUUUGAAUGUUCGGAGCUAAAUCUAAAAUUUCUCAUAUCUCUAACUAAUAUCCGGUUCUUUUCAGCCCGCAUGCUGAGAACAGCUUCUUAUAAAACAGGUGCGAAUGUGAGAUUUUUUUUAUGUGGCAUUAGAUCGGCUAGCACGUUUAUUCAUACUGUGUCAACUUUCCAGGUGAUGGAGAGCCAACGAACUGUCAAUUUCAAGCUCUUAUUGAGUGCUUGCUGGGCAUGAAAUUAUCUCCUGUCAAUCAAAAUGGAGGGAUAUGCAUUUCAGCUAUGCAUCAAACAAGUGGUAAUACUUUCUGUGUUGGUGCUGCUAGUCAAUGUGCAUUGCAUGAAUUGGCUUGGUCCACUCAUAGAAGAAACUGUUAAAGGAUUUAUAGUUAUGAAACAUAGACGACGAAGCCAUCGCCAUAUGUUUCCAUUUGUUUUAUCUUUGAAAAUUCGAAUCAAUUAACAUCUGUAAUUAAUACGUGUGGUUGAUAACAGGUUAUUCAUUCAGUCUAACACGGGUCCAGAACUCAACAAUUGGAGAAGCAGAGCUUGUGUAUCGGGUAGCAGCACUAGGGACAUUUGAUCGGGUAGCACCAGAGUGGACGAGGUCAGUGAUAAUGUUCAGUAUCAGCAUGUGCCCAGUCUUCUUUGAAAGAUUAGCCCGGGUAAUCAAGCUCCAUCACUGAUAUUAUGUUACAACUGUGGUGUUUCUUCCCAUAUGGCACACUCGUAGCAUUCCUGUUUCAUUCCGUAUGCGCCUUAUAACUGUAGAUAGAUAUCAACCAGUAAAUUUGUGGUUAGCUUCAACUUUCCUUCACCGGUGUAUGUACUCUUAAACCAGAACUAUAUGGAUGUAUGAUUGGUAUUCCGAGAAUUAAGUAGCGGAAAAAUUAAAUCGAUGGAAUUUAGAUGACAACAUAAAAGUCGGUCAAAUUGUAGAUGCUUUGAUGUGUAUAAGUGUAUUUGCCCUAUUUGGCUUGCCUUUGUGAUUGUGAUUAUUGGACGAUUUACAUUUUAAUUGACUGAAAUUGACCGGUUAAUAACUAAUUUAACCAACUUUCAGUUUAAAAUUUUGCUUUUCAAAAUCACUUCGUCGAAAUCUAGUUUGUUAGUUGGCUGAAAGUCCGAAACACAAUUACAUAAACAUGUUUGAAUCGAUAAGAAUUUAUUUUCCUUCUUUCAAAUUUAUUAGAAGAUUACAAAUAAACUGAAGAAGUAAUCAAAUUAACAAUGUAUUUACAUUAAAAUCAAUCAACAUAUUAACUGAUCCAUUAGACGAAUAAACAUAAACAGUAGUGUAUGAUACAGUCAGUGAAUUACGCUCACAAUUAAAAAAUAAAAUAAAAUAACUGGUCAAUUAAUUAGUCCACCGGAAACGAAGACCGAUACUUUUCCUUUUCGGCCGGCCGAACAAAGACCACUGGGAUCAAUAAGCCUAGAGACAUCAUCGUUCCUGCUUAGCGUGGGGAGAAGUCAGGGGAAACAGAGUAAGCAGCUCGGGCGCCUCGCUCCCACCGCGCGGCGUACUCAACGGAGACGGGUGCAGAUAAAACCUCUUCUCCGCAAUCGCCCUUUCUUCCUCCGUCGACGGCGACGUCUCCGUGCUGGAAAAGAAUGGCGAGUCAGCUGCCCCGGAAGCCAUCAGCGGCGUCACGGGGCUGGCAAUCGGAGACUCCGCCAAGAAGCAAUUCCCCGGGGAAGAACACGGGCUCGUUCCAGAACUAUUAUUCCGGAGAGACGCUCUGCUCAGCUUGAUUUCAAGCUUUCGAAUCGUGUGCCGCCGUUCCUGGAGCUUGAACGACGACCUCCUCGGCGAGUUUAUGGGGCUACUAUUACCGUUGAUAUGGUGAUGAUUGGCAGCCUGUUUAGCAGUCCUGGAAGGGAGAGUCACCGGGAACUUGGCGUCAGCGUCGGGAGCUAAACCAGUUAGCUUCUGGUCGAGUUCUCGGAACGUUGCCGCGUCGGCUUGGACGAAGGUGGUGGAUGAGAUAGGGGAGGGCGGUGGUAACGCCGCCGUCUUCGUCGUGGUCAUUGUCGUCACCACGUGGCGGCGGGUCUCCGUUCCCAUCGGCGGAUUGUUGUUUGUUUGGAUGAAUUUGAUUAUGUUUCAGGGUUUUAGAGGAGAUAUAAGAAGAAGAAGGGGGGGGAAUGGUUGAAUGGAUUCCGAUGGUUGUUUCGUAAUGAUUGUUGUUUGGAGUCAACAAUCUGUUUAGAGAGAUUGGUUACGUUUGUUUUGUGUGAUGAUAGGAGCCAGAAAUUAGAAUGUAGUCUUGCAAUCUGGUUUUAUUAUUUGACUGAGUACUUAAUUUUAUAAAAUUUAAAGGGAAAUUAGGGUUUGGAUUGUGAGGUUAUGACAAGAAGAUGGACAAUUUGGAUUGCUAAUUAAGAGAGAGUUUGAAUACAAAGUUUGACCAGAUGGCCUUUGUUUUUGUUUGACUUGGUUAAUGAUUGAUGGUAGUGUAAAAUGUAGUCAUGAAAAUCAAUCGUUGAAAUUGUCAAAACUGUAGUGUCCGGUUAAUGUAGACGCGUUAGGGGCUAAAUAGUAGAAAUAAAUGUUAUAUUUAUGUGGAGGGUUAGGAUUCAAUUUUGGUAAUUUCUAUACACAAUAUAACUAAUUGCAUUACUCUACGAGGACAAUAUGAAGAUUAAAUUAGGUUUUAGAAAAAAAAAAUUAUUUAAGUAUUUUACGGAUCAUCUUAACUAUUUAAACUAUCAAAUUUGAUCUAGUAGUUAAAUCCAUCAUUCUAUGACCAAAUUAAGGGCACGAUUUCCAUUGCUAUGUUGGAAUUGGAAGCAAAACUUUGUGUAAUAAAUCUUCAUUGGUCUUUCGUUGAUUUGUGCAUAUUGGAUUUUCACUCAACGGCGCGGCCUUUUUCAUUGUGAAUCUGGAAUCCUUUCAUACUGUCGGAUCAUUUGCGCGGAUUUUAUGUGGAGGAAACAUAUCAAACUUUCGAACAAUGUGUAUAGAUCAAAGAAGUUGUAACACAAAUUGUUAUACAAACAAGCAUGUGUAUAGCUAAUCUGAUUAACGUAUUACAAGUUAAAUAUGCAUGCGGUAUUCAGGUUAUUUUUUAGCGAAUAAGUUACUAAUAUGUUGGAACUCAAUAGAUGAGUAACUAAAAAUGUUAAUUUCAGACUUAAUAUACCAAAUACCACUAUAUUGUUUAAAAUCCAUCACAUCAACUACUAAACUUUAUUUUAUUCACUGGAUAUCACUAAUUUUAUUUUAGUGUUCACCAAAUACCAAUUUAAUCGAAUUUUGACCGAAAAAUGACAUGGACAGUUAGACUACCUCCUAUCAAAAUUCGGCUAAAGUGGUAUUUGAUGAACACUAAAACGAAAUUAGUCGUGUCUGAUGAACAACAUGAAGUUUGGUGAUUAGUGUGGCGAGUUUUACGUUCUUUAGUGAUACCGUUGUAUUUUUGAUAAACUUGAGUUUAAAAAUAAAAUGAUUUGGUGGAAAAAUCAGCGAGAUUCGCAAUCAAAGUGAAGGGAGGACGUGGUUGAGAGGAGGUCUCAGGUGAAAAGUCUUUGUGGCUGAUUUUUGCACACCAUUUCGAGUGGUGGUGAUCGAUCAACGAUUCCCAAUGCUCACCAACUGUAGACGUGUCCGCCAAACUGAAAGACACAGAGGAAGAAGAAGACGACGAAGAAGAAGAAGAAGAAGAAAAGAAGCAACAGCCAGCUAAACCGCUGCAGCACGUCAACCAAAGCUCAAAAUCAUGCUCGCCUGAGUUAUAAUAAUCCCGCCAUUGGCUCCUACCUAGCUAGCUAGCACAUGGACGCCAUGGCCUUGUCAUCAUCAUCCUCAUCCUUUCACCAAUUCCUCUCCCACAGAGCCUCCUCCCGAUCCCCUACUUUCUCUCCCCCGCCUGCCGCCGCGAUCACCGUCUCCUCCAAGUCUCAUUUCCUCAUGCAACAACUCAAGGCCCGCCGCUUCGACAAGUGCCACGCGAUGACCACCUCGCCUUCCUCCAAUUCGGCUCUGGACGACGAUGGCGGAGUGUUGUACGGAGAUCCGGCGACCGAAGAGGAACGGAGCGGGGAGAGAGUAGCGGUGGCGGAUUAUGACUGGACGGAGGAAUGGUAUCCUCUCUACCUCACUAAGGACGUUCCAGAUGAUGCUCCUUUAGGCCUCACCGUGUUCGAUAAGCAGGUUGUGGUCUAUAAAGACGGACAAGGUCAGAUCCGUUGCUAUGAAGAUCGAUGCCCUCAUAGGUGAGUCUGUCAAAUGAUCGAUCCUGUGUGUGUUCGAUCAAAUUGGGCGAAUUGAAUUUUUAGUUCUGAAAUUUCAUGAUUUCCGGGUCUUCAGGUUGGCUAAGCUCUCAGAAGGUCAGAUUUUAGAUGGGAAGCUUGAGUGUCUAUAUCAUGGCUGGCAAUUUGAAGGGGAUGGUAAAUGUGUGAAGAUACCUCAGGUCAGGUUUGCAAAUAUUUUACUCUUUUUCGUUUACAUUCAUUCUUUUGGGUGUUAUGUGGGAAUCUUAUUAGCAUCUGCUGCAUUCUGCAACAGCUUCCUGCAGGGAGCAAGAUUCCUAAAUCAGCCUGCGUCCAAGCUUACCAAGUGAAAGAUUCUCAAGGAAUCUUGUGGGUUUGGAUGUCUCCAAAAACUGAACCUAAUGUGAAGAAGCUACCAUGGUUUGAAUCGGUGGACAAGCCAGGGUAUCAAUCGGUCUCGACCAUCCACGAGCUUCCUUACGAUCACUCCAUACUUCUGGAGAAUCUUAUGGACCCUGCUCACAUCCCAAUCUCCCAUGAAGGGACAGACACCUCCACGAGUAGGGCAGAGGCUCAGGCGCUAGUCUUUCAGGUCACGGAGAGGUCUGAUCGAGGUUUCGCAGGGUAUUGGGGGAAGGAAGCUGACGGGGUGACAUCCUUCUUACGGUUUCAAGCUCCUUGCGUCAUGUCGAAUGUGAGGGAAUUUACCAACGAGCAAGGGCAGAAACAUUACUUCACCGGCUUGUUUCUGUGUAGACCGGCAGGGCAGGGGAAAUCAAUGGUGAUUGUGCAAUUUGGAACUACAAGAGGUUUCAAGGCAGCAAAAUGGAUACCGACAUGGUUCGUACAUAACCUCUCUUGCAAGAUAUUUGAACAGGACAUGGGAUUUCUAUCGUCUCAGAACGAGGUUCUGAUGAAGGAAAAAGUUCCCACUAGAAAGCUGUACAUAAACUUGAGAUCUUCCGAUACGUGGGUGCUGGAGUACCGGAAAUGGAUGGAUAAAGUUGGCCACGGAAUGCCUUACCAUAUGGGGCACAGCACAAUUUCUCUGCCUCAAGUCCAAGCUGUUGUGGAGCAUGCACCGGCGGGGUUUCUGGCAGGGUCCUCUUCAGCUUUGCCGGCUAAAGGGGCGCUCGCGGAGUUGCACGCUCCUAACUUGACAAGUCGUUAUUUCAGGCAUGUGGUUCACUGCAAGGAAUGCUUGAGUGCUGUCAAGACAUUCAGUGCUGCUAAAAAGGUUCUCUCGGUAGUAGCUGUGGCCCUGGCCGGGUUGGCUAUCCUCGCAUCGCAGAGGCAGUGGAAGAUCUUUCUCUUAGUAUCGGCGAGCUUGUGCUUUGGUGGAGCGCAGUUGUGCGCUACGGCUCUCUCUAGCAAGACCACCAAUUUCAUAAGAUCACACAGGAGAUAAUGGCUGGCUGGCAGGCUAGUGUUGUUUUUGUUUUGUUUGUCUUCCGUUUGUGUUAAUGUUUUUGAUGGAACAAUUAUCAAGUGCAGUGAUUUCCUAUUACCAGGUGCUUGAAAGCUAAAAUUCAUCCAUAACAAUUAUCAAGCAGAGAAGAAAUUUCAAUCAUUCGGUAUGAACCACAAAAUCAUAUGAUAACAAAUGCGAUCAAGGAUGCAAAUGGCUUUUAAUCUGGCAAUCCCAACGACUGAAUUCGAUAUAUGCAAUCAAGGCUCUCGUAUGUAGGGCCAUAAUUUAGUCAAUCUGCAGUUUAGUGUUUGUUUACAGUGCAAAUACAAAGAAACUUACUCAAGGGACUGCCGACUAACUAACUGGUCUUCUAUUUCUGUUGAACAAUUAGCUUGCAAGCCUCAGCUACAAUCUCCUUCACUUAACCAGUGUGUUUGUUAACAAGGCUUUCAUUAAAAUUAAUAUUGCAGCACCUGCAUAUAGUCUUUGAAGAUGAUGUCAAAUGAAUCCCGGAUGCGUUAAUGAUUGCAAAACCGAACAUCUAGUUGUCCAACUGAUAGCUGUUCAUCCCAAAAUUGAAUUGCUGAUCCCAAAACCGAGAUCAAAUAUCACCAAUGACAUCUCUACUACUUUGACUACCUGUGCUUUUGUCCCUUCACAACAGCAAAAGAAAAAGAACAAAUUAUAAGGGGCAGCGUGUUGAUGUAUAUCUUAUGUACAGAUCUACUUAAUUCAUAAGAAGUUAUGAUAACAGAGAAGGGGUAAGUUUUCAGAAAUGGCGACUCAGGAAACCUUAAAAUCGACCAAUGAGUUAUGCAGCACAAUCAACAAGAACAUUUGACUGUAUUUGCUACGGAGGCAAAAAGCUCUCAGUGUCUGACAAAAAUGAACCAAUUUUUCUUACUUCCAGGCAAAGAGUGAUGAGUAUUUAGCAGACCUGCUGAGUAUGUCCUAAACGAAACAUAAAACCUGCAAGAACAAACCUACCUUUUACCCGGCCUCUUAAGGUGCAACUUCAACUCUUCGAUGCUCAAGUCGUCCCCAAGCUUAGACUUUAGUAAGUUGCAACCAUCUAUGUACGUUGCAGGCUUGUCCAUGCCAGGUACUGGCGGCAAAUCCUUUAUCUUUUCUCUGAAAUGCUCCAUGACAACUAGCCCUGCAUGGGAAGGCAAUCAGAAACCAGUAAGUAGGAUACAAAGAGCAGGCGUGACAUUCAAUCAUCAAUCACGUCAUCCAUAUGAUUUCGGUAUCAAUAUCGUAGCCACAAGAAUAGUAACAAUCCAUAAAGUCUCAAUCUUGUUACCCUAUCAUUACUCAUCAACAUUUCUAGCAACCUGAGCAUGGCAAAGCUGACUGUAAUUACAUACCAAGUGCUCGGAGCAACUUCAAGCCAACUUUCUCGGCCAGUUCCUCAUGACCAAUAGCCGUUGCCCGUCGACCCACCAUCUUCUUCAAGCUGAUUAGAACGUCCUAUCAAUAGCAACAGAUUCCUAUAAUCUCUUUUCGAAAAAAAUCUGAAAAUUGAAGGCACCUUUUUUUUAGAAAGGCACCUAAGAGUGAAAAGCAACAAACUUUUUCAAUCACGGUAACUUACAAGCUCCGACUCGGAGAGGGAACAUAGCCACUGUACGUCUUCAAUCCUGUUGUCCUCUAUAAGCUCGUUUACGCCAUCCAUUGCAGGAAAUUGUGAAGGUCACUGAAUAAAGACCUGCCAAAAUUGCAGUAAGAUUCACCCAAGCUAAUAAGCAAGAUUUUCAAGAUCAUAUCAUGUUGGAAAGAUUAAUGUCUUUACCAACAUACAAUAUCAGCCCAAAAUCAAUGUCCACUGCAUUGCACGUUGAUCAAAUCAAUCAAAUUAUGCCCUAACUACAAUUUUUUAAUCAAUUCAGUAAACACUAAAAAUAAUAAACCAAUCACUCAAAACAGAGAGUCGUCCUUUCUAAAAUAACCUGAGCUGAAGACGCCAGAGUUGAUUAAGCAGAUACCGCCGAUGAUGGAGCAGGGGGUGGAGGCUCUGAAGUGUAAACUUUUCAGAGUUGGAUAAGGGUGGAGGUGAUUAGGGCGAUUGGGGGGGGCGUAAAUGAUAGGACAAACCGGCCGGCGAAAAUAUAAUCGGUGUGGUGACCGGACGGCGAUGAUGGCAGAUGGUAGAGACGAUGAUUAGUUGUUGUUGUUGGUGGAGACGGCGGGGCUGAUUCUGCCUCCAAACUCGAAUACAAACCUACGAAGCAGAACAAAACGGCGCCUGUCCAUUAGUCUCUUUUAACCAGCGCACUCAAACGACGCCGUUACUUCUUUUUUCAAGGGUCAAAUUUCAUUAAUGCUUAACUUAGCAAAUAGAGGUUAUAAAAUGACAAAAUUAAUUAGAAUUAGCGACCCUGUGAAGGGCAAAGUUAAGAAAUUUGAGUGACGAGUUAAUUCGUAAGUUGUUUGAUUACUGAUUUUUUUAAGGAAGACCACUUUAUUUGUAGUGUUACAAAAAAAAAAAGAGAAUAUUGCUAGCAAGACAUCCUUUUUCUGAAACAUUUUUACGGCAGUGGCGAAUAGUAUGACAAGCGACAAAGCAAUUCGUUUCGAAGGUGUUGUGAGUGAGGCCUCGAGCAUGUGUUCCUUGUAUGGUAAGAGGGAUAGUAGAAAAAUCUCCUUUUAUAGGGAAUAAACGCGAUAGUGUGUCAGUUUCAAAACUAAAUAAUUAUUUUGUAAAAUUUCAAACAACAAAGAUUAUGCCACAAAGUCUGGUCCGAUAAAAAGAGGCAAAAUCGAUGUUGAUCUUCAACCACCCGCCGGUGGAUGCCAUAUGGGGCAGUAGGCACUCGGCAUGCCUCAGGUAAAGGGUUGCUACCACACAAUAAGUGUAGCAAUGGGUUUAUCACAUAUUCAGUUCAAAUGUGAUGUUGAACUUGUGGUGUGAAGGGUAAACGAAGAGAUGGUGGAUCACUUGGAGUUUGGUGUCAUUAUGCGGUGUCGAUGUUCAUAAUUUUAUCAUGUUUUUUAUGUUAAGAGGAGUAACUAUACGAUUGUUCAUGAACCUGUUAGAUGAUCGUUUUUUUAGUCUAGUCUGGCGAUAGACGAGAUACUUUUCAUUUUUUUAAUUUAAGUCCUAAUCAUUAAAAAUAAUAGAGCGAAAAAACGAGACUCCAAUUAUGGUUAUGAAAACACAACGUACAGAAACCACAAACUUGGGAAUGUAGCGUUAUUGGAAAAAAAGAGUAAACAAUGAUGACAAUUGCUUCUAUCCUCCUCUUCCUAUCUCUGAGCUUGUUUUUUCUGACCAUCAAUGGCGAUCAGGAGCAGCAGCAUAAUUUCCACAUCAUUCAGCUAUCUUUCGAUCUCAAUCUUCCCCUGCCGGCCCUUUUUUGUAUAAAAUAGAUGAGAUGAAAUUGCUCUUACAAACGAAAAUUAAAAUAAAUAUAUAAUAGGUAUUUAUUAUUCUAUGUGAGGUGGGAUUAGUGGUCAAAUUUGAAAUCAAGCCACACAAAACAACCAACUAUUUUACUUUAUCAUUACAAAAAAUUUGUUAUUUAGCGUUAGUCAUUUUUAAGACUUAAUUUUGCUUGUCGAUCGCGAUUAAAAAAUUUUCCGUCGAUUAAAAAUAGAGCUUCUUUUUCUUCUUCAAUAUCCAAAGUUAAUCUUUUUUCUUGCAUAAUUUCAAAAGGAAGGGGGAAGCAAAAUUAUUUGAGAAGGAAGGAGGGAAAGGAGAAGAAGGUGGAACAUUAGACAGCCAGACGUCGCAAAAUGUGUCUCGCUUUCACCGGGAAUGGGAUGUGAAUGACGUGACAAUUUUUGAAAACGCGCAACAAUUGAUGUUUGAGUGGUGUACGACGGUGCCGGCGGAAGGAUUGAAUUUGUGACCGGCGACUAUAGUUGAUUGUAGCUUAAAAGAUCUUUAGAGAUUAGAGUUUAGCCUCCCUACAUAUAAAUAUAACUCUUUAUCUUCAUUAUAAGAGAUAAUUCAUUAUCGUCAAAACCUAUUAUGUAUAAUGACACACAAACUUUUUUUAAAAUGAAGGGAGAUUAAUGUUUGGUAUGGUAUUUGGUUUAACUAUCAAGUCUUUACCAACAAACUGACAAGAGAUAAUAAAAAAAUAUAAUAUAGAUUUGUAGAAAGGAAAAAAAUAACUUAUCGAUUUGUUUUAUCACUUAUAAAUGUUAUAUAUAUAAAAAAUUCAAAAAUUUGAUUGGUUAGGAUAUUUCCGUUGCAAAAAUUUAGCAAUUGCUAAGGUGUCAUAUAGGUUUAAUAAAUUAAAAAUCUUUCUAGUUUAUAAAGUCAAUUAGCAAUAUCAUAUAUGCAAAUGGACUUAUAUUUAAUUAGAAUUUAUAUGAUAAAUAAUCUAUUAUUAUUGGUGAAAAAAUAUUAUUAAGAAAUAUAUAAUCUAUGCAACUUCUCACCCCAAACAGCUAUCCAUUGAAAGGUUUACUUGCCAAAAUAAAAUGUGGGAUGAAAUCUUGAACAUUUUAUUUUCGAAUAAAAUAUUUAAAUUUUACUAAAAUUUAUUUUCAUUUUAUAUUCUACCUUGCAAACUGACCAAAUAUUAUUAUUAAGAAGUUGUAUGUUGCUUCCUCCCCUUAGUUGUAAAAUAAUGUUGAAGAUGGAAGAUGAGGAGGACGAAACUGAAACGUCAAAGGAUAGAGGAUAACACUAUAAAGAGAAAAUGUAUAAUGUUUGGACCUCUAGAUUCCAGCUUGCAUCCACUCAACAUAUUUGGCCAAGAUUCCAAAGUACCCCGCAACUCCUCCAAUCAUGCCUCCCCCAUGUUCCUCCUAUUUUCGAGAUAGUUUGGAUUCGACGUCAAAAACUUUUUAUUCCUUGUACCAGAUCGAAUCGCAUAAAAGUUAAAAUAUACUAAGUUGCGUAUAAAAAAAAUAUACCAAUCAAAGUAGGUUGAGCGGUAGUCCGGGGGAGGUCACCGUGUAUCUACUCACUGUUCUCGACUCUUGCAAUCGAAAACGUAUGAAUACUUGAACCCUAUUGUAGUACCAUGACUAAUAUUGCUUCAUACGUCGUAUAAAACUAAGAAGAGUGAAACUCUGGAGUGUGUUUCCACCGUGUAUAGUACUGCUGCAAACCCAACUUCAACCGAACUUUCGAUUUUAUCAGUUAAACAAUAGUCAUCGUAUCUCCCAGAAUAGAACGGAGUUGGAUAUUCUUUUGAUAUCACUAUGUUUGAAUCGUAAAUAUCAAUGAUUAAUUAAACAAAUUUUUAUAGCCUUAUUCUUCAAAGUAUAUAAAUAUGAAAAUGUUUAAAUGAUUAGUUUUGAUAAAAUGAUGACUUGACACCUAAUUUAUCGUUUAAAUGGUACUUGAAUAAAAUACAAAAAUAUUGAUGGAAAAAAAGCUAAUUAAUGGUCAAAACAAACCGGCGAAAGAGACUUGAUUGACGUUUGUUUCCGGGUCUGCAAAAUCAGACCCACCCAUGUGAGUUAAAGCAACAAUUGAAGGGGAGAGGAGCUCCGGCCGACUCACUACCGCAUGGUACUUACGCACGUACGUGGUGCAUGGCAUGUGGACACUUUGUUAGAGCCUCUCUAAUGAUUUUAUAAAAUUGGCUCGAUAUUGUAUAAUUUUAUUGGUUCAAUGUAUGACUUAAUUAUACAUAUUAUACUAAAAAUUACAUUCAACUCAGUCGAAAAUAAUAAACUAAUACCGUAAAUAAUUAUAACUUAUUAUUAUCAGACUAAAAAAAAAAGUGUUGUAUGGUUUGGGUUUUUAGCAGACCUAUUGAUAGAAAAUAGAAAUUAAUAAUUUUUUCCAGGACAUGUAAUAAGGAAUAGAAAAAAAAACAUGAAAACAAAGAUAAAUGAUAAUAUAGAGUCGUGUAAAUUGGAUUGAGCAGACAUUGGUGGUGGGCCAAACCAGCACUAGCUAUAGUAGUUUGAUUGAUUUCUGGUAAUUGGUAUGAUUGCGAUUUCCCAUCAGCAAUCAGUGAGAAAUAGUAAAUGCUUUGUAAGAAUAAUAUAGAAUACUAAACAAAGCUUGCACUCAUCAAAAAUACAAGGUUAGCGCGUGGACCCAAUUAUAGGCCUUUCGAAGAAUCCAAAUCAUCUUUUGUUCUUCUCUCAACGCUGGGGCCAUGCAUCGAAUAUUCAGUUUUUGUUAUAUGUUCCAUACAUUUAAUUAAUAUAUAAAUUUCAGUUUCUAAUGUGAAUUGAGAAAAUUUAUGUUUGAUGAAUGGAUGUGAAUGAGAAAGUUUCAGUGAAGAAAUAGGUGAGUGAUGGGGGGGGGCCUUCCGGCAUAAUUACCGCUUUCAUUUUGAAAACAAAUUGUUAUUAGGAAAUACUACAAUUCCGAAAAAUUGCAAAUCCGAUCAACACCGAGUUGGUUAAAUGAUUGGUUUUCGGUGCUUUUUUUUUUAUGAUAGCCGCACCGUAAAGUUUAGCGAUAGUAGAUAUUAUGUUAUUCAAACCGUCGCAUACCCAUUAAUAUAAAACGGCAUAUUUAGCUAAUUAAGAAUUAUUUAUUCUUCUACAAAAAUACAAAACAUCGGGUUUAAACCCCUAAACUCACAGGUUUUUCCAAUCAAAUUUCAUUAACUAGUUGAAGAAACUCACUUGCAACAACAAAUCAGAAGAACAUUCGGUUGGUUUGUUUGAUUAAUAAUAAUCGCCAGUUAAAACCGCAACACGACCUAAUAUAUCAAUGAUAUUAAAAUCAAACCCAAACUAUCAAACUUAGUGACUUUUUAUCAUAACCAUUAUUAAAAUGACUAAACAAUGAACAUAUAUGCACUAACCAUUAUCGAUUCGAAUAAUUACCAAACCUAAUUAGUGGAUGUCCCCCAACCCCCCAUUAUUUGUUAGUGGGUUUGGUUAUAAAAACAGGACAGAAACCACAAACUUGCGAUUGUGUAGUAAGUGUUAUUGGGGGAAAAAAAAGAGUAAACAAUGACAAAUAUUGCUUCUAUCAUCCUCCUCCUCCUAUCUCUUAGCUUCUUUUCUCUGGCCAUCAAUGGCGACGAGCAUGAGCAGCAUAGUAAUUUCCACACAAUUCAGCUCUCCUCUCUGUUUCCAUCUGAUUCUUGCUCCAGCCCUUCUUCACCCACAGGUAAUCCUUGCAAAAUCUCUGCUGCUUUCCAAGUCUGUCUCGAGCUCACAUGUCCUCUUUGAAGUAAGAACUGGCUGGAAUGGUACUUAUGAAUAUGAAACAGUAGCAUUUGUUUUGGGAAUAGUACGUACGUACGUACGUGGUAAUUGUUAAUCAGAUUAGAGCUAAUAAUUCACCGGUCCACGUUUGUGUAAAAGUGAGAAGUUUGAUUGGUCUGAGGAAGAGGAGAUAUCGCAUCCUAUCCCUUUCCCAUCCCACCAUUUCUGCAACUCAUUUUUACUUUUAAUCACUAUUAUAUUUCCUUAUCCUGAUUGCUUUGGUCAACUUUGUUAUGGUUAAUUUCCCACCUUGUUACUAGUUUCAGUUAGACCAUGUUUGAAAGCAAAAUUUAAAGCACCUAAUUAACUCCAUUGGUGGUCAUAUCCAACAGCUAACUGUAGAUACACUUACCCUAGAACCUUUUUACCUCUUGAUGUUGGAUUAUUAUAUUUCGGAAUAAAAUUAUGUGUAGCCUCAAUUCUAAUCAAUCUCUGUUAACACUUCAUUUGUCUAAUAGUAAUUAUUAGGACAUAACCAAUGAUGAAAUAUAUCAAGCAAAGAGGGCUCCAACUAUACAUUAUUGAAUAUAAUUUACAAACUUCCUCCAGUCAUGUCGUGAUUUGGGUGGACAGCAUUAUUGAGGGUGGAAUCAUUUUUUGAGCUUUUUGUUUGAUUAUCAAUAAAUUCAUUAAUUAGUUUAAUCACAAUGUUCUUACCAAACACGUUACACAAUAUAAUUGUUCCAGAUCCAACUUGAUUUUCAGACCUUACAAUUUCAUCAUAUUAAUAGUAUCCCUAGGAUCAAUUCGAUCACCUAGAUUGAGUUGUGAAAAACUAUGACAAGAUUACAUAUCGUAUAGGAGAGACGGACUACUAGAGGAUUCGUGUGACAUUGGAUUCGAGCGUUGUAAUCCAACUUUUGUUGGUGUACAUGUGAAAACAAAAGUAUACACGGACAUGAUAAGCUAGCUUUUAUAUAUCCGUGACUGUUAAUCAUACACUGAAGUCAGAAGAGUCAUUUCAACAAAUACCUACUUUGACUUUGACUUUUAUUUCAUUUCCUUGCUGUGAACUUUUCUUUUAUCUUCGUGUUCGUUUUUCUUUCAUCUGGAAUAUUGAAAUCUCAGAAAUUGCUACAGGGUUGAAAAACGAGGCAUCUCUGCUGCAAGUGGUUCACAAACAUGGGCCAUGCGCUCAGGCCCAGCAGCUAACCGCCCAACAACACAAACCCAGCCCAGAUGAAGUCCUUCGCCAGGACCAAUCCAGGGUCAAGUCAAUCCACUCCAAGACGAGGAAAGCCGCUGGGAAUGAUGUCAGCGUCACGGAAUCCACCACCAUUCCGGCCAAGGACGGCAGCACCGUCGGCUCCGGCAACUACAUCGUCACCGUCGGGCUGGGCACUCCGGCCAAGCAACUAUCUCUAAUAUUUGACACCGGGAGCGACGUGACGUGGACUCAGUGUCAACCUUGUGUCAGAGCAUGCUACCAGCAACAGGAGAGGAUCUUCGAGCCCACCCAGUCCACUUCUUAUCGAAACGUUUCCUGCGAGCAAGCCGUUUGCGCCGCCCUUUCUUCCGCUACCGGUACGUUUCGGCUCUCCCAUUCUUUUCCGAGUCCCAUUCUAGAUUCAGGGACAUUGCUUUUUAGUCCGAUUCUGGAGUAAUCGGAGCCCUAAAAUAUUCAUCUAAGAGCCAAAAUCAAUUAGAAAUUAUAUUGUCAUGUUUUUUUAAAUAUUUUUAUUGGAUUAAAUUAAAAUAUUUUUAAUUGUCGGAUCAUCAUUUUAUCGAUCCUGACCAAAAUAAAAAAAAUGAAUAAAAACACCGCCAACUAUUAUUGCACUAGGGAAUAAUUUUGCUCCUUCGUUACUUUCUAUAUAAAGAAGCAAUCUGCUUCUUAUUCUUAUAUAUCUCACAUCUCAAUCUUCCUCCACUAUCAACGUCCAUCUCUGUUUUUUACCUUGCUUAUUAUGUUUUCAUUUUUAUAAUUGAGAUAAUUUAUUUUAAUUGGGUAGAUAGGUAAGCGGUAGAAAGUUUUGAUAAAUAUUUUAUCGUGGUAAUAAUAUUUUUUUGUGAGCGAUAAAAAUAGUGAGACAGUUGUUUCGGGGUUGGGAAACACUUGAGAGAUACUAUUUUUGGAUCGACUCAGAUCGCCUUGUAGCUGCCUUGUUAUAGUGAAGAAGUGCUCGUAACUGUCGCUGCUGCCGUAGCUGUACUCUUCGCAUUGGAGGGGAACUACGUAAAUUAUAGUGUUAUUUACUUACCGUUUUGUGCUUGGCAAUUUCGAGAAUAAUUGUUGUAUAUUGCAUUAUUAAUAUUGCCAUAGUAAAUUGGUAUAAGGAGGUUGGCUUAAUUAUCGUCAUUAUGGUAUUGCGGUGGUAAUCACCCAUCCAUAGUGAUUUUAAGUGUGGCGGACUACCGNNNNNNNNNNNNNNNNNNNNNNNNNNNNNNNNNNNNNNNNNNNNNNNNNNNNNNNNNNNNNNNNNNNNNNNNNNNNNNNNNNNNNNNNNNNNNNNNNNNNNNNNNNNNNNNNNNNNNNNNNNNNNNNNNNNNNNNNNNNNNNNNUUUUUCGACAUUUUCCCCAUCCGUUAAAUUUUUUUUUGUAUCUACAUGAUCACCGUCGUCGGCUUUACAUUUUUAUAAAUAUUUUUUGAUGACCCUCUAUAUAACUUUAUACUAAAGAGUUGUACGAAUCAUAUAUAUCAAUGUAUAUAUGUUUUUACAAACUUGUGCAAAGUAUAAUACUAAAUUAUGUAUUAAGUAUAUACAUUUGUAAUAUUAUAAAAUAUCAAAUCUGCCUUAUAUUUUUAACCAAUAAAUCUAAAACACAAUUUUAUAAGAUUUGUAUAUGUUUUCUGAAUAGAAUCUAGAAACCAUUCCACUCGCUCAAAAUUCCGACUUAUUAUUUCACAUUGUAAUUAAAUGUACAGGAAACAAUGGGGGAUGUUCAUCCUCGACAUGCGUGUACGGGAUCCAAUACGGAGACUCUUCAUUCUCAGUAGGCUUCUUCGCCUCAGAGAAACUCACCUUGACAUCAACUGACGUCUUCGACGAAUUCUACUUCGGAUGCGGCGAAAACAACCAAGGAAACUUCGGCGGCGCCGCCGGAUUGAUCGGCUUGGGAAGAGACAAACUAUCCCUAGUCUCUCAAACCUCCGACAAAUACAACAAGCUCUUCUCCUACUGCCUACCGUCCACCGCCUCAUCUACCGGCUACCUCUCCUUCGGGGCCACCGCCUCCACCACCAAAUCCCCCACCAUUUACACUCCCAUCUCCACAGGCUCCGGCGCAGCCAACUUCUACGGCCUGGACAUCACGGCUAUCAGCGUCGGCGGUCGUAAGCUCCCGGUCUCCGCCUCCGUCUUCUCCACUGCCAAGGCCAUCAUUGACUCUGGCACCGUCAUCACCCGCCUCCCGCCGGCUGCCUACUCCGCCCUCCGGACGGCGUUCCGGCAGCAGAUGUCUAGGUACCCCACGGCCCCGGCGCUGUCUAUCCUAGACACGUGCUACGACCUCACCAAGUACAAGUCCGUUACGGUGCCGAAGAUCGGAUUCUUCUUCGCCGGCGGCGCCGAGGUGGACAUUCAGUCCGUCGGGAUUCUUUACGCAAGCAAGGUGUCGCAGGUGUGUCUGGCUUUCGCCGGGAAUGGGGAUGCGGGUGACGUGGCAAUUUUCGGAAACGUGCAGCAACAGACGCUGGAGGUGAUUUACGACGGCGCCGCCGGGAAGAUUGGGUUUGCCAGCGGUGGGUGUAGCUGAUUGAAGGGUAAACGACGCCGUACUUGAGUUAAGUACGUACACUUUGGAAUUGAAUAAUAAUAAUAAUAAUAAUAAUAAUGAAAAUGUAGUAGAAGCAAAGUAGCGAUUGCAAAGGGCAAAAGGGUUUGAAAGAAGGUAACAGAAGAAACACAGAUGGAAUUAGUAUGAAAUUAGUUUACGAAUCUGGAAAAAGAAGAAGGAAUUGGGCGACGAAGGAAGAAGAGUAAUUAAAAUGUCAGCGUGGAACAAAUAAGAUCAGAUGUUUGAUGAUGAACUGUGAAUAUGAUGUGUUGUUUUCUUAAUCUACUCUGUCAUUACUUUUUCAGUCAUGCUUUAAGCCAAAUUAACUUGAGCCAAAUAGAAAUUUCUAUUAGUGAUCAAUAUUAGCCCGUGACGGACAAUGCACAUCCUUCAUUGUGGACUGGAAUUCAGCCUUUCCUACAAGCUUAUAUCCUGUAAAAACUGGUAAACAGAUGUGGGCAAGGCUUCAAAAUCUACCCAAAUAUUUGGCACCUUCCUCCUGAUUUUGAAUGAGCCAUUGAUACAGAGUAGUUUCAUCUUGAUACAGUGAGCUGCCAAGGUAAUUAAAUUUGACACGGUUAACUUUUAUUGUUACCUUUUUAGACUGUGGAUGGUCUAACGUUUAGUGUGUAGCACCUCUUCAAAAAAUCCAAACUAGUAGGACAUACGUCUUCUGUGUCUUCUGCUACGGAGGGCGAUGCAUCAAGUAUGAAUGGCUCCUUUCUAAGUAUGAGAUAUUCUUGUGGGGAGGAUGAGAUAUUCUUGUGAUGAAUGAAUGAAUGCGUGGACGAUGAAAUUGAAGUGAGCAAUAGCAGUUACAAAGUUCAUUGAUGAAAGCUUCUUUUUUUGGUCAAUUUUCAUUUGACCGGCUGUCUCCACUACCGUGAAUCAAUACAACGGUCAUUGUGAAAAAACUGCAAUUUUGUAGGGGUAAGUACGUUUUGGGUACCGAAGUUCUCCGUGCACCGAACACGUAGCUGACCGAAUAAGUUACGACAAGAGUGAAAAUACAUGCUACGAAAAAUAACUAGAAUUUAAUACAUCAACCAUCGAUUCAAUAUCAAUAUCUUCGUAUACGAGUCCACAAUCACUACCGUUCCAGCCACCACACACCACCGGUGAAGUGAUAUCUACUUUUCACCAGCUUUUUUAAAGACAGAGGCACGUGCCUCAAUUCCUUUGAAAUUUUGAAACCCGUAGGACCUAUAACCCCACAUGCCAAUAUAUGACCAUGCUACAGUCUCCCAACAUGCCAAAAUCCAUUGCAAGUGUGUUUGGUUAUAAAAAGCGAGUGACAGUAUUGCCCACUCAGACACCACAAAUCGGGAUUGGGUUACUGCCUCAGAAGAACACAAUAAUGGCAGUUGCUUCCACUACUUCCCUCUUCUCCUUCACCACCCUCCUCCUCCUCCUUGUAGCUCUUAGCUUCUUUUCUCAGCCCAUCAAUGGCGACGAGCAGCAUGAUUUCCACACCAUUCAGCUCUCCUCUCUGUUCCAAUCUCAAUCUUGCUCUGGCGCCCCUUCUUCUUCUUCUUCUUCAACCAAAGGUAACUGUUCAAAACUUGUCAGUUAAGUACAUUAUACUUACUUAUAUAUGGUUAACAUUUCGGUAUUUAUAAAUAAUUUGGGAUAUUAAACGUUUUUGUUUAAACUUUAGGAUAUACUUAUGUUUAAGAGGUGUCAUUUGCUAGGUUGUGUCACUGGAAUGACCAUGGAGCUAUAAUUAAAAUGGAAAAUUUUGUUAUUUUAUUGUGAGACAACCAUUUAUGCAUAAAUGUUAUAUUUUCAAGUUGAUUAUUAAUUAUUCAUACAUAUUUAUUUUUAUUCGUGCGCAUUUAUCAUGUAUAUAUGUCACGUAUAAAUACUAUAUUAUUUUUUAUUUAAUUAAAAAUUUCACCUUUUUUUAUAAAAUAAUAUUUAUGAAUGGUAAAAUAAACUAUUAAGAUAAAUUAGUGAGAUAUUAAACCUUUUCCUAAUUAAUAAAUGUGAGAAAUUACGGCAGGGUUGAAGAACGAGGCAUCUCUGCUGGAAGUGGUUCACAAACAUGGGCCAUGCGCCAAGGCCCAACAAGGCAAACCCAGCCUAGACGAAAUCCUUCUCCAGGACCAGUCCAGGGUUAAGGCAAUCCACUCCAGGUCCAGAAAAGCCUUCGGGAGUGACGUCGGCGUCACCAAAUCCCCCACCAUCCCCGCCAAGGACGGCAGUCUCAUCGGUGCCGGGGACUACAUCGUCACUGUCGGUCUGGGCACUCCCGUAAAAAAACUAUCUUUGAUCUUGGACACUGGGACAGAUCUGACGUGGACUCAGUGCAAACCUUGCGUGAAAUCAUGCUACAAACAAAAGGAAAAGAUGUUCGAACCCUCCCAGUCCACUUCUUACCAAAACGUCUCCUGCGAGCGCGCCGCUUGCUCCGCCCUUGCUUCCGCCACCGGUAAAUUUCAUCUUAAAGAUUAUUAAUUGUCAUCAUACAUUGAGUCUGAAUUUGGAGCAAGAGAAAUGACUAACGGAUUCAAUCUAAAAAGUCCUCAAAAAUCUCAGCCGUCUACAAAUCGUGUUAUAAAUAUAACGGUUGAAAAUAUAGAUCAAAAUUGACAUUUGAUAGUUAUACAAAUGUAUAUACUAAAUAUUAUAGUAAGUUGAAAUUGAAUCCAUAAAACAAUAUAUUAAUUGAUUAAUAAUAAUGUCAUACGUUUGUUUUUAUCUUGACAUAUAUAGGAUUUAGGGAUUGUUCAUCGUCGACAUGCGCGUACGAGGUCAAAUACGGAGACUCCUCAUUCUCAAAAGGCUUAUUCGCUUCAGACAAACUCACCUUGACAUCAGCUGAUGGCAUUGACGACUUCAACUUCGGUUGCGGCCAAAACAACCAAGGAAAGGACUUCGCCGGUGCUGCCGGAUUGCUCGGCUUGGGCAGAAACUCAAUAUCCCUUCUCGGUCAAACCUCCGACAAAUACAAAAAGCUCUUCUCCUACUGCCUCCCUUCCACCGCCUCAUCUACCGGCUACCUCUCCUUUGGCGCCACCGCCUCUACCACCAAAUCCCCCAUAGUCUACACUCCGAUCACUGGCGAUGCCACCACAUACGGGCUGAGCAUCACCGCCAUCAGCGUCGGCGGGAGCAAGCUUCCGAUCCCCGCCUCCGUAUUCUCGACCGCCAAGGCCAUCAUUGACUCCGGCGCCGCCAUCACCCGCCUCCCGCCGGCGGCCUACUCCGCCCUCCGCUUGGCGUUUAAGAAUAAGAUGUCUGAUUACCCUAUGGCGCCGGCGCUGUCCAUCCUGGACACCUGCUACGACCUCAGCAAGGCUAAGGACGUGAAGGUUCCGAAGAUCGGGUUCUUCUUCGCAGGCGGUGCUGAGGUGGAGAUUCAGUCUGUCGGGAUUCUCUACGGCAGCAAGGCGUCGCAGAUGUGUCUGGCGUUCGCCGGGAAUGCGAAGGCGACUGAUGUGGCGAUUUUUGGGAGCGUGCAGCAGAAGACGAUGGAGGUGGUUUACGACGGUGCCGGUGGGAGGGUUGGGUUCGGCAGGGGGGGGUGGCGCCAGGGGUGGUUGCAGCUGAACGACGCCGUGGUUGGGUAAUGCACACUGUUGGGAUUAAUAAGGGAGAAAUAGGCAAAUAUAUAAAUUGCCGAAAGUGCCCAAGUAUGGGAAGUUUAGAGAAUAACGAGUGUGUGCGACCAUUGCUUUACUAACCCAACUACUUGACUGGCCGACCUAAAGUUCAAAAACUUGUAUUUUGUAUCCCCACUGACCAACCCCCUUCUUUCGCCGGUGAACGAGACGAUGACUUGCAGUGCAACGAUGAGUAUUGACCAAGUUAAAAAAAAAACUCCAAAUUUAGCCAGUUUGAAGCCAGAAAAAUCCUCCCAACAACUACAACCAUAUAAUUUAGCCAGUUUCCAGCUUUCAUCUUCAGCAUUUUCCUUGCCUUAUUGUUAUGGGCAGUCACUAACUUCUUACAAUAAUACCAAACGAGUCAGAUACUUUAAUCUUUUUCAAAAAGUAUGAUUGCAACAUUGAAUUUGAUAUUUGUCCUUCUCUACUGCCAUUCUCUGACUCGUUUAUUAUCUACACAACAAUCACCAACACCAUUCAAGGACCAACAGGGCAGUAAUAAUAAGAAGAGACUUUUUAAAUAAAUUAACUUGUAAAAGAGAUUUUUUUUAAAAUUAUUAUAAAACUAAAACCCCCGCAACUUGGUAAACAAUUACAGUUUUGUCUUAUUAUUACCAUCCUCCUUGCAAUCAUCAUCGUCCUCUUCCUCUUCUCCGGAUUCAUGGUGGUUGACCUGAGCCAACCCUAUCCCACGCCCUCCUACCACCGUCGGCGACACCCCCUGCGUUUCCACCACCUCCGCCGACGACAUUUCCAUCUGACACACCCUGACCGCCCCGAUUAAUCUCUCUGGCAACUCUUCCUCCUCCUGCGCCUCCACCACGAACCCCAUGUCGAUCUUCACGCUCGUCACGCAUCCCAACGCCACGUGCAGGAUCGCCGUCGCUAUGGCGGAGCUACCUAUGUCGACGUCGAUCUCCAAAUAGUUAGGACCUCUGUGGUAAUUGCAGGUUAGAGCCUUCCCCAGCAGGCACGCGUUGUAAUUCCCCACUGUUUUCCGUACCACCCACGGCCCUUUCACUAUCCGAUUCACGAUUUUGAAUCGCUGAUUCCGGUACGCGUCGUCGCCGUACAUGAAUUUGUGCAGGAGGCUCCCCGGAGGAAUCGGAUCUGGAGCCGCGAAGUAGAAGACCGCGCUGUGUUGGUCUUUCCCCGGGACCUGGAGGUUCACCGCGAAUACGAAGCUCUUGAGCGAUCUCCCUUCCGAUUGCGCCUUGCGGAGGGCCUGAGCGACUCGAUUGUCCGGGUGGCCGAGUACGUUGUCGAGUUUGGUGGUGGACUUUAGCCAAUCCAUGCCGGCAGGGGAGAGCAGGUAGUCUCCCGCGGGGGAUUUUUGUUUCUUGUUAAAGUAAUUCUUAGAGCGGAGAGAGAAUAGGUUACCGGGAGGUGAAGACCAGCCGUUGGUUCCGUUGUCGAGGUCUACGUGGCGGAGAGAUCCGCCGUUGAUUGACUCCGCGAUCCAAUCGGGAGCGGUGGAGCUUAUGGUUGUGGCGGAGUCGGCGUCGGGAAUCCCGACCUUGGAAAUAGAUCUGGAAACGGCGGAGGCGGAGCUCCGGUGCUUCUGUUUGGAUGGGCUCAUGGCGCAAUUCUAUGUUGGGAUUUCUGUAUCUUUUUGCUCUCUCUGUGGUUUAAUCUGUUUGCUUUUUGUGUGUUCCGGUAUGUGUUAUUAUUACUCCGGGAAGGAGGAGGAGGAUGGAGAAGGAGCGGAGGACUCUCUGCAUAAGAGAGACAAAGUGACAAGUGAGGACGGUGGGUGUUACUAAUAAGAAACUACGGUUACAAUACCCUUAUAGUUCGACAAAUAUACGAAAAUGCCAUUUCCAGCUCAGUGAUUUUUUUUAAUUCAUUUUCUGUUAUUCGAUGCUUGUUUUUAGGCUUUUCGCUAAUUAUCCAUUUUGUUCACGAACUUUCAUUGCCAUUUGAAAGAGAGCGUAGAUCACGAGUUCAUUAUUUAAUUAUUAUUGGUUAAUAUCUUACUGAUAUUGUAUGCCUAUUUGGACGGUUUAAAUAUUGAUUUGCACAUGUUAUCGCAUUAUUGGCCCUCGUGGACAAUGAAUUAUCUCUACUAUUUUGGGUUGCCGAGCGUGUACUCUAGACUCAUGAGGCACAUGUUUAAGCUUUGCUUUUAUUCGUAUUUAAUUACCUUCAUUUAAUUAUAAGGUGUAUUUUGCUAGUAAUGAAGCUACGUACAUGUAUCUUUUGAAUUCCCCACAAUGAUAUACCGACCAUUCUAACGCUAAUAACAGAACACGCUUUCCCCGCAACUCUAGUCGUCGGGCAUGUCGGCAUGCCCAAGUUGGCCUUCUUCCCUAGGUAGCAAUAAGUCUUCAACACCCACUCAUCACUUUUUAGAGGUGGAUUCUCGUAACUUCAUUCAUAACCGAUAGUUAAUUACACAUAAAUGAGAGAGUCGGGAAAUAAAUAUUGAUAUAUUCGAAAAUAAAACCCUCAAUCUGUCAAAAUGAUGUCCAUUUUUUCAUUUCCGGAGUGAAGGCCACUUUGUUUUGGUGGCGUGGAAUCAUCAAAGUACUAGCAUCACUGCAUUCCCACAUGCACUUGAGAUCAGGGAUCAGUUGUUGAAAAACAUCAAUGAAAAUUAUGAUAUAUUCGGAGCAAAUGAUCAUGGAUUUUGCAUACCAAAUAUACACGUCAAAUAAAAUAAUCUAACAUAUUUUAAUUUUCAAAAAAUAAUUUUCUACAUUUCUUCUAUUCUCAUACUUUAAGACCGAACAAGUAGCCACUUAUAGCCUGUUUCAUGAUUAUGAUGGGUGUUGCAUGACAACAUGUUCAAUGAACCUAGAGGAUUUGCUCGAUUAUUAGGACCGAAAUAAGAGUAAUUGUGACAGUGGUUUCAAAUUGCUUGAGAAAGAGAGUACCAUAGUGUACGAGUGCAGCUGGAUUCGUGUGCUAGUUGCGAUUCAGCCUCUGUUGGGAGAUAACUAUACUCACACACCAUCAUUUUUCUGAGAUCGUCAAUUUUUACAAAAUGUUAGAUCAGAAUUGAUCAGUCAAAGUCCAAUAUAUAUAUAUAUAUAUAAACAAUCAGUCUGUAUUCAUUAUUGAUUUUAAUUUAUCAUUACACAUUUUGUACUACCAGAGAAUUCCGAAUCGCGGUUGUUGAUUAUGAACGGAAACAGCCUCCUGAAACUACGAUGAAUAAAUUACAAUGUGAGCGGUGGCGGAGGAGAAAAUCCAUGUUCAUCGUCGACCGUCAUCCAUGCACCACAAACUCCAACGCCGGCCCCACCUAAUCCAUUCUCCAACCGCAAUGUCUGUGUGGCUUCACAGGCUUCUGAUCUGAUCCGACGAACGAACUGAACAAUUUAAUAAUUUGAAAAAAAAAGGAAAAUACCACCAUUGGCGGCCAUCGUUACAUUACAUUGCAGAUAUGCUAGCCAGGGCAGCAGUGUCAGUCGCUUCCACCUCCACCACCGUCGCCGCCGUCUGCUGUCAUCCUUUUCUUAACCCCUCAAAACGCCUCUCAUUUCUCCCUCCCACUCCUUCAACCAAAUGGUAUCCCAAUCCUGAUCAUCGCACCACCAUCGUCAUCUCACAAAACCACCAAUCUCGCCGUGCAAUUAUGGAGAGUUUCAAGACUAGAGCAGCAUCCUCAGUACCGGCUCCGCAGUUGGACAACGCCGACGCACUCAUCGACUCCGUCGAGACCUUCAUCUUCGAUUGCGACGGUAAUCAUUCCAUACACAAUACUUCUGGAAUCCAAAUUAGUGGCAGAUUUAGAGCUCUGAUAUUACAUUUUGAAAUUCUAUACAAUCGUACAAUUGCAUUCAACUACUUUAAAUCAGCACAAAUGUACAGUAAAGAACGAAAACAAUCAAGAUUGUAGUCAUUGUUGUGGGUGGAUUUGCAGGAGUCAUAUGGAAAGGAGAUAAGCUGAUCGAGGGAGUUCCUGAGACGCUUGACAUGCUCCGAUCCAGAGGGAAGAGAUUAGUAUUUGUGACUAAUAACUCUACCAAGUCAAGGAAGCAGUACGGUAAAAAGUUCGAGAGUUUAGGUCUCACCGUCAGCGAGGUUUGUUCCCUUCUUUCUCAGCUUUCCGAUUCAUGACACUCAGGAUCAGGAUUCAGGAGUCUGCUUGUUAUCUAAGUGUUUCUGUUAAUUAUUGAAGGAAGAGAUUUUUGCGUCCUCCUUCGCUGCUGCUGCUUACUUGAAGUCCAUUGAUUUCCCCAAAGAUAAGAAGGUAACUUAGACUUUCUUUGGAGUACUAUAGAUGGACUGAAAGAAGAGAAUUUUGACUCCUUUGUGAUGUUAGGUUUAUGUAAUUGGCGAGGAAGGGAUCUUGAAGGAGCUGGAGCUUGCUGGAAUUCAGUACCUUGGUGGCCCUGUAAACAAAGCUUUUUUUACAAUUUCCAUCUCACCAUGCAUAUAUAUUGCGGAAGAAGCAACUUGACAUGCAUAAAUUACUUAUUGAUGUGGUGCUAGGGGGACGGUGACAAGAAGAUUGAGCUGAAGCCAGGGUAUCUACUGGAGCAUGACAAAGAUGUAGAGAUCUCUUUGGCAUUUUGGAGCUAGAAUUUGAUGCAGGUGAUAGGAUGUGUUGAUCAAUGAGUGUGUCUCCUUAUUUCAGGUUGGAGCUGUGGUGGUUGGAUUCGACCGUUAUUUCAACUACUACAAAGUCCAGUAAGCUAAACCACUGUUUGAGAUGCACCAGCCAACUAAAAAUGCAUUAGGAAACUGGGGUACGUGAAUGGACUGCUAAUCUUCAUGAAAUUUUUGGAAUGGUUGAAGGUAUGGAACUCUUUGCAUAAGGGAAAAUCCUGGAUGUCUCUUCAUCGCCACGAAUCGUGAUGCUGUCACUCACCUCACAGAUGCUCAGGAAUGGGCAGGUUCUAACCCAUCUUUUCCUGCUUUUGAAUUUUGUUAACCAAAAUAAUAUAUAUCUUCUCACCAGACUGCAACAAAGCUUUAGUAUACUCCUGCAAUCCUUCAAUAACGGUUAUGGCAGAAUCGUACUCAACACUCUGUCAUCAUACUUCAUACAUCCUGCAACAAUGCUCUAGAACAGUCUUGUACCAAUCCCUGUUGUAGUAACACUUGUUUGGUUUCAGGGGGUGGUUCCAUGGUUGGUGCUGUUCUAGGAUCAACUAAGAAGGAGCCCUUGGUUGUGGGAAAGCCCUCUACUUUCAUGAUGGAUUACUUGGCAAACGAGUACGACUCCUCCUUUCCUUUUGUUUUGCCGUCCAAUGUAUACUAUUGCAAUGUGACGUGAUGGGUUUCCGUUUUGACCAAGAACAGGUUCGGGAUAACCAAGUCCCAGAUAUGCAUGGUAGGGGACAGAUUGGACACCGAUAUUCUUUUCGGACAGAACGGUGGUUGUAAAACUCUGCUUGUACUCUCAGGUAAUUAACUACUUAGUUUGAUGUAUAAAUCUCUGUUGACUUUGGCGAUGUCUAGUGUGUGUCUAAUUGUGAACCCUUGUGUCAGGUGUAACCUCAUUGUCAAUGCUGCAAAGCCCCAGCAACUCCAUCCAGCCAGAUUUCUACACUAACAAGAUAUCCGACUUCCUUUCUCUGAAAGCUGCGCCUGUAUGAAGUGCAACAAUAGUAAUAUAGAGAAAAUAAUAAUAAUAAAGACACUCCGUGUAUAUUAUUUCCUCUGAAACAAGAGAAUUGCAGAUUCAUUAUCAGAGAGUUUUCUAGUUUACAAUUGUGUUGAAGGCUGCUUAUUUUCUGCAGUAUCUUCAACUAUCAACUAUUUAGUAGAGUUGGCUGGACUUGAGUUCUAUGUCGAUCUAUGAUGAACGUCACCGAUUAUCGACAUAUCGUGCUAUGCAAAACUAUGCAGCACUUCAACUAAACAAUAGAACAUUAUUUGCAUAAACACUUUACAGCAUUUGUUUAUAAAGAUUCAGUGUGCGAUUUGUUUAUAAAGUUAGCAAUCUUGCCACAUUGUAAUAAGCCGGACCAUCAUCAAAUGCCAAAAUAGCCCCCUCUAUAGGGAGGGAAAAGUACAGCAUCAACCGCCCCAAAAGAAACUUAGAAGAAGACGAAGAAGGGUAGAAUAGGCGUCAGCUAACGACGGAACAAAACAUCAUAUCCUCCUCCCCAGACCAGCCCCUACCUCAACUAGUAACCACCUGCGGAUAGAGUAAACAAAGCUUUCCCGUCAAAAUCAAUCAUCCACAGCUCUACUUGGGAGCAAGGACUUUAGAAACAAUAUUUGAUAUUUCUCAUAAUGGAAACAAGCAGAAACCAACAAGGGAAAUAGAUCAUGGUGCUAUCAGGAGAAGCAUGGGGUACUUAACAGAUACCAAAACCUGAUCACAUAAUCUUAUCAGCUUUGCAACAUAGGAUACUACGAGUCAGUCCAUCUGAUCUUUUUCAGCAGAUACAAAGCCUUUAUGGAAUUCUAUUACCUAUAUGUUAGUUUUACAAACUACUCACAUGAUACUAGUCUUUCAGCAGAUACAAUCAUACAAAGCCAUUUGUGGACAUGUUUUACCUGCCGAUUUCUAUGUUUUAUACCAUACGCUACAACUUUUAUGGUCAGUGAUCAACUAAAUACCAAAAAAACAUCAUCAAGGAAUGGAGAUCGUCUCAACGGUAUGACAGCCAAUUCAGACUCUCCAAGACAGCCAAGUGAUGUUACGUUCAAUGCAUAAUCUUUGGGAACGAACUUCUGAAAGCCACUCACAGUAGAUAAUAGUACCAUUACAUCAGAGCUAUUAGUGAAAUGUUCGCCUCUAAUAAAGUAACAAAAUAAAUGACAAUUGAUAAUGUCUAUGAUGUACACUAUAUGCUGCCACCUUUCAUCUCAAUUAACACUCAGUUUAUGGAUAUCUACCUUCUAACAGAAUAGACAUAAAUCAGUCGUCUGCAUCUCUCACUUAACUUACAAAAAAUGAGAUACGUAUCUCCUCAGAGCAGUUAAUGAAUCAGGAGGAUGAAAGGAUAUGAUUAUGCUUCAAAAUGGAUAAAACUACGAGCGUGCUACAAGAUCUGACUCUUAAUAAGCAAUCAGCAGCAAAUUCAUCUCACUCAACACUGUUAAUAUAAAAAUGAUAUCCACAAAUGUUUUUCAUCAGCUAACUCCUUACUCAUCAUUCCCCAUUCACAGCCUAGCUCUACUUGUAAUCAUGAUGAAAAAUUUGAUUUCCUACAAGAAUCCCAUAGCUCAAGAAAACGAGAAGCACUAAGGCAGGUGAGGGAAGUUGAGCUAAAAAGCCAACAAACCUCGAAAGCGCUCAAUGUUCCUUCCUCCUCGGUGGCUGUUUAUCGGUGGCUAAUCUGUACAUCCAAUAAACCUAAGACGAAUCCACAAGCGAAAGAUCAGAAGAUAGAUCAUAAACUUACUAAAACCUUAAGAAAACAGUAAAAAUGGGGGACAUCACAGUUAACGAGAGUGUACCAAAGCAAUCACAUGAGCUGCUAGCAGCACGACAACGGCGAAAGGCACCAAAUCGAGAGAUAACGAGCGCGGCGCUGAUUCCUUAGCCAUUGCUUCUGCAAGACGAACUGGAAAAGGCGAUCGACGACCGGAGCAGAAAUCGACAGCUUCACUUAACCCUGGAAGUCAGGACUUUCGAAGUUCGCUCUAGCACGGAAAGGAAAUGUGAUCAAAUACCUUCUAAGUACUAAGCUUGCAAACUUCACCAGCGGUGAACUUAUCACUU
rnacentral:lncRNA from 1 species